rnacentral:lncRNA from 1 species
AUUAAACGCAUGGUGGUCAAUCCCAACUGCAUUCCAGGACAUCCUCUACGGCCACUCCCAAACGGGAUGAGUUGGAAAUCAUGUCCUCGAACGUCUAUGUUGCUAUCCUUGAACCUUUCUGGAAAGAACUCUUCAGCAUUGUUUGACCAUACUUUAUGGUCUCGCCCGAUGGACCAAAUAUUCACUAAAAUUCGUGACUUCUUUGGAAUGAAAUAUCCAUUAAUGGUGAUAUCUUCUGUCGAUUCACGUGAAAGUAGAAAGGGCGCCACCGGAUGCAACCUUAAACUCUCUUUGAUGACCAUAUCUAAGUAAGUAAGCUUCGGUAGAUCCGACUCUUCUACCAUUCUAUGCCUUCCAACAAUUCUUUCUAGUUCUUGCUGGAGAACAACCAUUACUGGAGGAUGCCUUAGAAGCUCUGCAAGUGUCCACUCAAUGGCUGUAGUUGUGGUCUCAAAUGAAGCUGCCACCAUGUCCACCAUUAUGGCCUUGAUGUUUUCUCUACCAAUGAUGUACCGCUGCUCUUCAUCGUUAGGGUUAAUGGGCGUAUUCAACAAUGAAACCAUUACAUGAAAGAAAUCUGUGUAAGGUUUUUGUUCCUUGGCGUUAGUCCCUUGUAAAUGUUCAUCAAUCAUUUUGUCAAUAAUUGCGUGAAGCCCAUUGCUUGUCCUCUUAAGCCUUCUUCUAUAUCCCUGCAGUGAAACGAUAGAUGGAAUCUGUAAUAUAUUAUUUUAUUCUUCAUUUCUCUCAAGUCUUUCUGAAAAUACUAGAUUUAUUUGGUCAAUCAAAUAUAUAUAUAUAUUUUUAAUUCGAACUAGAUAAUUUCUAAGGAAGGUAAAGAUACAACCACUAUGUCACAACUUGAGAUUCAUCAAGUAUUUUAAUCUUUUAAAAAUUUAUAAAAUCAAAUUAUUCAAACAUAAUUAAACUCUUAAAACAGUACUUCUUUAUAACUAGUCUAGACCGAUUGAUUAAAUCAACCGUUGAAUAGGUUUUCUCUUUUUUAUUUUUAUGAUUUAAAAAUAAUUUAAUCAAUUGAAACGAUUUUCAAUGAUUAAAGUGCAACAAAUAAUUUAAAAAAUCAUAAGAACUAGUGUGACGCAAAACAACUAAAAGCAUGAAACUUGACUUUUUUUUUAAAAAAAAAAGGAAAGGGGUUGAAGUAAUUUGUUCAUGGAUCGGGUUAUCUAUUUAGGCUUGAAGGCCUGUCCGAAAUUUAGGAGGGUUUGGGCAAAAAUAUUAGGUUCGAAAAAUGAGUUUAGGCAAAAAAAUUAGGCUCAUUUAAAAUAUGGGUUGGGCUCGAGCUUAAACAUUCAAGGCUUAAGUCUGGUUCAACCCGUUUUAAAGUUUAUAAUACUUUAUAUUAUGUAAUUUAUAACACAUUAAAAAACAAACCUAUAGUAAAUAUAUAAUACCACUCUAAUGUAAACAUUAAAAUAAUGUUAAUAUGAUUAUAUAAAAAAUUUCAAAAAAUAAAAAUGUAUAAAAUUAUUAAAUAUUAAAAUAAUAUAAUAUAAAUAUUUUAAAAAAAUAAAAAAAAUAUGGACGAGCCUAAAAUAGGCUUGAGUUAAUUUUUUGCAAAUUUAAGUGAGUUUAGAUAAAAUUUUAAACUCAUAUUCUGGAUCAAACCGAACUUGAACAAACAUAAAAUAUAUUAUUAUUAUUAUAUUUAAUACCGACCCAUGAACACUUUAGGUUGAAGGGAGAAGAGACUAGUAUUUUUGGAGCUUGAAUUUUUGUUUUUAAAGGUUGAACCUUGAAGUUCUAGUUGCGAAUAAUUUGUGAAUAUUUUUAAAACUUGAAGCUCGAUGGAGUAAUAUAUUAAAUAUUUAUUAAAUUUAUAAUUAUUUUAUUUAAAAUGUAUUUUAUGUCACUCUCAAUUUGUAAGUCAUAACUCGGUAGUUUUUUUUUUAAAUUAUUUAAUUAUAAAAAUAAGUUUUUAUAAAUAUUAUUUACUCUAUUAAUAACCUUUCACUUUUUAAACAUAAUGUUAUUUUAUUAAAAAAGUUAUUUCAUGGAUCUUUCCUAACACAUUAUUUGCAAUCCCUAAUUAAUUAUAUAAGGUUUAACUCAUAAAUUGGUACUUAAACUAUACUGAUUUUUCCAUCUUGGUAUCUAAAUUUUUUUCAGUCACAUGUGACACUUAAAUUACUUUUUUUUUUCAAGUUGGUACCUCUGUUAAGUUAAUCAUUAGUCAAACCGUUAAAUCUAUUUUAAAAAAUAAGCUUAACCCAUAAAUUGGUACCUAAACUAUACAUUUUUUCCAGUUUGGCACCUAAAUAUUUUUUUAGUUACAAGUGAUACCUAAACAACCAGGGGCGAAGCCAGAAAUGAAAUUUUAAAUUUUAAUAGUUUAUAUAUUUAUAAUUUUUAAAGGAUUAAAUCAAAUUUUUAUAAUUUUAGGAGGCCAAAGUGCAAUUUUAUCUUUACUAAAUUAAAAUUUUAAAAAUUUCUAAAAGACCUAAAUAACAAUUUUUCCUUGUCAGCCCCCUUAGAUUCGCCUCUGUAAACUACUUUUUUUCCCCAAAUUGGUAUAUAUGUUAGUUCAAGAUUGUGGAUUGUAUGAAGUUGUGAUUCCACGUCAUCCAUAUCUCAUUCCAAUAAGAUAAUGACAAAUAAGAUUUUUCCUCUUGAUUUUUAGCAUUUUCAAUUGGAUUUGAAUUUUUUUCAGAAGAAAAAAAGCUAAAAAUCGAGAGGAAAAAUCUAAUUUGUUAUUCUCCUAUUAGAAAAGGAUAUAGAUGAUAUACAAUCAUAGUUUCGUAUAAUCCUUUCUCGUUAGUUCAAUUGUUAGUUAAACUAUUAAACCUAUUUUUUAAAAAGAUGACGUGUUAAAAAAGGCAAUUUUUUUUUCUCUUGUACAUAUAUAUUUUUAUUUUUUUCUUUAAAACCAAACUGAUGGUUGAACCGAUUAAGUCACCAAUUCUCAAUUUGAUCAGUUUUUUUGGUUCGAUGAAAUAUUAUUGGUGAUAGGCUUCUUUUUUUUUUUUUUAACUUCAGCUCUUGUUUUCAUGAUAGAUUUUUUUUUUCUAAUUUAGAAGGGUGUGCCUUGAUACAUUGGCAACAUCCACUUAAAAAUAUAUAUAUUUCAUUUUUCUCUCAUCAUGUAUACUUGUGAAAAUACAAAUAUUUUUAAAAAGAUAUACACUGGUUUCGCUAGACACAGUGAUGGCACUAAUAAUGUUUUUAAAGAAAAAACAUAAUUAUUGGCUGAUGAUUGGUCGAAAAAGUUGUGACGUAGCCGAUGUGUCAAAUGACACCUGUUUGCACAGUAACAAACAACUCAUUUUCGUAAAUAAAUUUUUAUAUUAUUUUUAUAAAAAGCGACAUCUUAUACAAUUUUCAUAAUUUAUUUAUUUUUAUAUUAUUUUGAUAAAAGAAAAAAACCCAAGAUGGAGCAAGUAAUUACAAAAUAAAUUGUGAAAAGGAAAACAGUGCAUAUAAAAUAGGAUAAAAUGAGAAAAAGAAAGGAUAUUCACCUGAAGGUCAAGUGGAGCAAGAAAAGGUAAAUAAUCGGACAGAUUAAAAACCCCAGCCAAGAUCAUGGUCUCGUCAAUUAGCGGUUUAAAUUGGAAUUUAUCAUCCAUGGAUUGCCCGAAAAUCACUUUACACAUCAUUACUUCAGUAACCUUACCUACCUUCCGGCUAAGGUCCACCGUCUCACCCGCCGCCACUGCCUUCCUCACCGAUUCAACCAAUGACACCACCUCUUUCUUUCGUACUGGGGCAAAGCAUUCGAUUUUUGAAGCGCCAAGGAAGUGCAAAGUGCACCAUUUCCGUACAGUUCGCCAAUAGGAACCGUAGUGGGUAAAAGCCAAGCCCUUGCCACCGUAGGUCAAGUACUCGGUAGAUUGGAGGUUAGGCCUGGAAGCAAAAACGAGGUCAUGGACCUUGAGGAACAGUUCAGCGGCUUCAGGUGAUGAUACCACAAUGGUUGGCACAUAGCCUAGCUUUAUUGACAUUAUGGGUCCAUAUUUUUUGCCGAGAUGGUGAAGGGUUUGGUGAGGAAGGUUCCCUAGCAUAUGGAGGUUACCAAUAAUGGGAAGAGGAGCAGGACCGGGUGGAGGCUUCCGGCCAUUUUUGUGGUGGUGUCGUGGGCGGAAGAAGUAGAUAAAGGAACAAAGUGGUACAAGGAGUACCAAGAGUAUGGCUAACGUUGAAUAAUACAUUUGGGAUGGGAAAGGAGAGGCAGCCGAUUGACAAUUGACAAUUGACAAUUGACAACCCCACCUUAAAUAAGAAAGGAACAAGUAAGAGUUCCAAGUUGGUUGACAAGUAAUAGUGUAAGUUCCAAGUUGGUUGACAAGUAAUAGUGUAAUUACAAAUAAAUAACCGAAAUAUGAACCAUAUAUUUCUCAAACAAAAGAAGAAUAACAUUAAACAUUUUUAUCGAAAACUACAAAAACAGAAAAAAAUAGCAGCAUCUUUGGUUGGCAGCCAUUCCAUUCACUUCAGAUUCAAUGUUGAACAAUAAUUCAAUAGUUUGAUUCAUUAGUAGGUUAUUCAGUGGAAUCCAUUUCUUCUCUAUUCAUUAAAUUCAUCGAAUCAACAUUCAGUAAAAAAAGUUAAGAGUAGCUAUUCAACAUCAACACAAAUAAAAAUUUUUUGUUUUAGUCAAUUUUACCCACUCUUAGUCAUUUUCAAAAGCUUCAAAAAUAAAUUGCAGAACCCAUUUCUGUUUCCAUUUUGUUUUUACUUUAAUUUUAUUCCUCAUUCUCUUCUACUCUCCAUCAAUUUCUAGAACAUAAUAAGAAAGAAUAAAAAUUCUUUUCUCAACACUUUCAGCUCUUGAUCAAUUUCCAGAAUAUAACCAAAAAACUAAAACUAAAACCCAUUUCUUAAUAAUAGAUCCAUAAAAUUUGAUUUUGAAAGGGAAGCUUUCUUACUCAUUUUUCUUACAUAUAAUAGAUAAAUAAAGGGAGAAAACAAGAAGAUGAAAAAAAAAGCUUAAAUUAGUAGCUUUUGGAGCAAGUGAAAUAGUGGACAAUGGCGCCACCGGUGGUGGACUGUUGGUAAUUAAUUCCAAUUCAUGUUAAGAGAAAAUUAGAUGAAGAAGAUAAGUGGCUAAGAGUAAUGAGGAAGAAGACGAGAAGAGAAAAUAUUAAAGGAAGAAGAUGAGAGAGAGGGACCAUAAAAAAAAGAGAAAAAUAAAAACACUAAAAAAUAAUAUUAAAUUUUCUAUAAUUAGGUGGGUGUUAAAUCAAUUUUAAAAAAUAAUUUUUUUAAAUAUAAAUACAUGAUUUUUUUAUAUAGUACUAUAUAAAAAAUACCCAAAAGAAAUUUUGAACAAAUUAAUAUUUGAAAUAUAAUUUAUAAAAAUAUCUCUUGAUAUUAAUUUUUACCAUAAUAUUCUUAUUUUAUUAUUAAGUCUAAUAAAUUUAAAUAUACUGUAGCGACGUAAAAAUUUUAGUUUCGGUCGCUAAUUGUGGCGAUCUAGUGAAAAAGUUUGGAAACUGAAGUUCGAUUUUAAAAUAAAGAGGGAGUCGCCACCGAUCCUUUUUCCUAGGUGUGAUCGGACACCUACUAGAUUCAUUUUUUUAAAAACAAAAGGAAGGCUGAAUUUAGGUCUACGUUAAAAGCCAGAGAAAAAUUAGGGUUCGGGAGUCGGUUACGCGCGAGGAAGGUAUUAGCACCCUCGCGACGCCCAAAAUUGGUAUCUCAUAAACACGCGUUGUCUUAAUUUUCAAAAAUAAGAGUUCAAUGUAAAAUUUAGUCAUAAUCCGAUUAAAAGAACGAGAAAUUUUGGUUUAUUUCGUUUUUUUAGAAGGGUAUAUCGCUUUAACAUGAGUCAAUUGACGUUCACCCAACAUAGCGACGAACUCGAUAACUUAAUGUUAAAUCGGUAUAUUGCCUUGAUUAUUGAAAUUAAUUAGAAAACCGGAAUGUAAUUUUCAGGAGAAUGCAAGACAUAAUUGAUACGAAAUGAAAAUAAGUAAAUGAAAUGGCUUGAUACAUUUGAAACAAAUAACAAACAUGACAAUAAUAUUAGAAAAUAAUAACCGCGCAUGCAAGAUCAAAUGCAAUGUUAGCAUUGAAUACGAGAACGUAAAGAGAAUACGAUGAAUAUACACAUGAAAAUAAUUAAGAAUAUAUAUGUAAAAUACGUAUAUAUAAAUAUUAAUGGUAUUAGAAAGAUAUAUAAGAUAAUAAAAAUAUAUAGCUAGUAAUGUUAAAUAUAUAUUCAUAAUAUUUACAUAUGUACAUAAAAUAAAUAUUGAGGAACACAUGCACCUAAAGAACAUAUAUAUAUACCAAUAUAUAUAAUAAUAUUAUGAAGGGGAACGAAACAAAUAAUGCAUAGGAUUAAAACGAAGUUUUGAAAAAUUAUUACCUAUAUACAUAUAUAAUAAUAAAAAUGGAUACAUGAAAUGACAUGAGAAAUAUACGUAAGAACUUAGUAUACAAAACUAACAAUUAAGUAGAAUCAUAUACAUGCACGGUAUUAAAAUGUAUAUACAUACAUAAUAAUAAUGUGGGGACGCCUAUUAAUAAUAUUACAUAAAUAUAUACAUAUAUGUAUAAUAAUGAUGAAAAUAAUAAUAAUAAUGAAAAUAAAUAAUAUAAUAAUAAAUAUAAUAGUAAAAAAAAGAUAAUACUAUAUGAAAUGUGUAUAUCUAUAAUAACAUAAAUAUGCUAAUAUGAAUAAUGAUAAUAAUACUAAUAAUAAUAAAAUACAAAGAAGUAUAUAUAAUAUAAUAAUAAUAUUAAAAUACAAUAAUUAAAAGUAAUAUUAUAUAUAAAUAUAUACAAUAUUCACAUGUAAAAGAAAAAUGUAUACUAAUAUAUAGUAAUAAUAAUAAUAUAAUAUUGGAAAUAACAAUAAUCAUAUUAAAUAAGGAAACAAAAAAAUGACCAAAAAUGAACUAAAAACAAAGCUUUGGGGCGAAUUUAAAAAAAAAAUUAAAGGGGAAAGGACCUAUUUGAAUGCGGGUAAAACCAUGGGGCAUUAAAAGUGCAAAAUUUCAAACUUUCCAAAACGCUGCGCAUAUACGGGGGUUAAAUAAAAAACUGAGCAAAAUUCUGGGGUCAAUUCAGAAACAAACAUAAACCUAAUUUAAAACACCAAAAAUGCGGAAGGGCCGAUUGCGCAAAUAGCCCUUCCGUUCUUAAAAGCACGCAGAUCCUUGCUAGGGCGGGUCGGGUCGACCCGACCCACCCUUGAAACGGCGUCGUUUUAUUGGUUAAAGGGGGAAAUUGGGGCGCAAAUUGAAGGUUGUGCACAAGGGAAGGAUUCAGCGCGCAAUUUCCCCAUUCACACAACAUGGCGCAGACCCAUUUUUCUAUUCGGGCCCACACGUGGACCCUUAUGGUCAUGGGCAGCACUGUUUUGUAUUUCAGACCAUUUUAAACCAUUUUCCCUUCCUUUCCUUUCAAAUACCCAUCCAUUUUAACAAAAACCAGCAGCCUUGAAAAUAAAUUUGCUAGGGUUCCUUUUACAAGCAGCUGAAUCUCCAUCGGAUUUGGUGUCCAGCGGCGCACAAAACAAUUCCUGGUUCUGUUGCCGUAAGUAUUCGACCAUGCCUUGAGGAAAUUAGUAGUAUUUUCUUUUUUACUUGAGAAAAAAUAAAACUUCAAAUCUCAUACAUUUUUAAAAAACGAAGAAAGUUCAUAAAAUAGAGAUUCAACACCACUUGACCCCUCUCCCCUACUUUUGUAUCUUAAAGUAUUCGGGAUCUCAUUGGAGUCGAUUUACCUACUAAAAGACGAUCUAAACCAAACAAAAAAAGGAAAAAAAAAAAGAAAGAACGAAAGAAAACUUGAGAUUACCCUUGCAAAUUCUUAAUUGUUUUUUUUAUAUUUCUGUGCGUGUAUAUUCUGUGUGCGUCUGUGUUCGUGUUCCCCUUUUCUUUUAUUUACUCUCGAAAUAAAAAAAGAAAAUAAUCACAAAGAGAAAGCCCAGAGAUUUCGAUCGGAGAAAUCACCUUCCAAUAUUGCUUUUUUUGUAUUGCCUAUUGUGUAUUCGUUCGUAAAAAUAUGCCCCCCUUUACAUUGAUUCUCUUUCGGCUUUUAUAGCCGAUUACAUGUGAUUUUCACUGCUCUCUGCUUGUUUUGCUUUUGCUUUGCAUGUUUCUCCAUUCCUUUCCUGUCUUCUUUUGUUUAUUCUUUCCCCCAUCCCUCGCAUGCUGUUGUUUUUGUCUUUUUCGUUUGUCUGUUACUUUUGUUGUCUUCUUGCUUGCGUGUUGCAGGUGGUGUCAGAGGGCGUCAGACGCAUGGGUGGCCGGUGAUAGGCUGGAGGCGUGGCAGAUAAGGAGGCCACAUGAGGCAUGCGACGGCCAGCUAGGGUUUGCUGCUGAAAUUUUGCUGAAAAAUGUUUUAGAUUUUGGGCCAUUUGGGUUUUAGGGUUUUGAUUUGUUUGGGUUUAAAUUUUGGGUCAGAUUUUGGGUUUGUAAAUGGGCUGUUACUUUUGGGUUUAUUAUUUGAGUUAUUUUAUUGGUAUGGGCCCGGGCAAAAUGGGCUCGUACAGCUGCCCCUCUUUGCUCGUUGUCGUGUAACGAGAACAGAGCAAAGACUAAGAAGGCCAAUUUUGCCCGGUCUCACCGAGUCUUGACUUUAUGGUGCUUAUCUUCUUCAAGUAACCUCAUUUCAGUCCACUGCGUCUUCUUGCUUUGAUCCACUUCACGGCAACUUCAAAAAGAGAUAUGCUUGUGGCUUUAAUCCACUCUGCUACAACUCCAUGGGGAUGAGAUUGGUUUUUUUCGUCUGCUCCACUGAUGCUUAGGGAGAUAAGACUGGAUGUGAUCUGCUCCACUGCUGCUUAGGGAGAUAAGAUCUGUGGUUUUGUCCGCUCCGCUACUACUUAGGGAGAUAAGACUUGAUGCGAUCUGCUCCACUACUGCUUAGGGAGAUAAGAUCUGUGGUUUUGUCCACUCCGCUACUGCUUAGGGAGAUAAGACUUGAUGCGAUCUACUCCAUUAUUGCUUAGGGAGAUAAGAUCUGUGGUUCUGUCUGCUCCACUAUUGCUUAGGGAGAUAAGACUUGCAACUUUUGACCAGUUCCACUAUAGCUUCAGGGAGACCAAGUCUGGUGUCUUUCAUCAACUUCAAUCUUUAUUCUUACUCGGCAUGUGAUCUUGAGCCCAACUCAUUUCUCGCAAUAUGAAUUGGCUCUUUAAAAACAGACAUUAAAAACAAAAGCUAAAGAUAUCUCAACAUGUGAACUGAGGCUCAACUCACUUUUCGCAAUAUGAGUUGAUUUUUUUGACAACAGAAAUUGAAAUUACCUCAGCGUGUCCUGAGGCUCAACUCAUUUCUCGCAAUAUGAGUUGAAUUUUGAAAAGCAGAAAUUGAAAAUACCUCAACGUGUCUUGAGGCUCAACUCAUUUCUCGCAAUAUAAGUUGAAUUUUGAAAACAGAAAUUGAAAUUACCUCAGCGUGUCCUGAGGCUCAACUCAUUUCUCGCAAUAUGAGUUGAUUUUUUUUAACAACAGAAAUUGAAAUUACCUCAGCGUGUCCUGAGGCUCAACUCACCUCUAGCAAUAUGAGUUGAUUUUGAAAAAGUAAAAAUUAAAAGGUUCAACCCACCUAUCGCAAUAUGAGUUGAUUCUUGACAAACAGAAAUUGAAAUUACCUCAUCGUGUCCUGAGGCUCAACUCACCUCUCGCAAUAUGAGUCAAUUUAAAACAUAAACUAAAAAUACCUCGGCGUGCCCCGAGGCUCAACUCACUUUUCGCAAUAUGAGUUGAUUUUGAAAAACAGAAAUUAAAAGGUUCAACCCACCUCUCGCAAUAUGAGUUGAUUUUUGAAAACCAGAAAUUAAAAGGUUCAACUCACCUCUCGCAAUAUGAGUCAAUUUAAAACAUAAACUAAAAAUACCUCGGCGUGCCCCGAGGCUCAACUCACUUCUCGCAAUAUGAGUUGAUUUUGAAAAAUAGAAAUUAAAAGGUUCAACCCACCUCUCGCAAUAUGAGUUGAUUUUUGAAAACCAGAAAUUAAAAGGUUCAACUCACCUCUCGCAAUAUGAGUUGAUUUUUUGAAAAACAGGAAUUAAAAGGCUCAACUCACCUCUCGUAAUAUGAGUUGAUUUUUGAAACUUAAUUUGAAAAGCAGAUUUUGAAAAUACCUCAAUGUGUCUUGAGGCUCAACUCAUUUCUCGCAAAAUGAGUUGAAUUUUGAAAACAGAAAUUGAAAUUACCUCAACGUGUCUUGAGGCUCAACUCAUUUCUCGCAAUAUGAGUUGAAUUUUGAAAAGCAAAAAUUGAAAAUACCUCAAUGUGUCUUGAGGCUCAACUCAUUUCUCGCAAUAUGAGUUGAAUUUUGAAAAGCAAAGAUUGAAAUUACCUCAACGUGUCUUGAGGCUCAACUCAUUUCUCGCAAUAUGAGUUGAAUUUUUGAAACAGAAAUAAAAGCAUCAGAAUACCAAAACAUGUUAUCUGGUGGAACUCAGGUGUCUUUUCCUUUAAUUCAAUACAACUAUCAUCACAUCUUCUUAUUCUACUGGAGUACCUGUAUAUGUCAUGCAUGAUGUUAUCAUGAUAUGCACAUGUUUGUCUUAAAUGCCUUUAUGCCUACAUGAUUAUGCUAUGCGCCUUAGGCAUGUUUGCCGUAUGUCCCUUUCCGUCAUGAUUUUUGAUGAUCUGUGUUCAUUGCUUUGACUCUUGACUUUCUCUUCAGGCCCUGUACCCGUCCUCUGGCUUCACGAGUAAUCUGCGUUUCUCAGUUAUCGCUCUCUUGCCCCUGGUUGAACUUUGUCCUUGCGUUGAGGCUCUUGUACUUAUCAAAUUCUCAUCCGGGUAAUGCUCAACAUUUCUUUUGUUUGGAGCAUGUCAUUUCAAAAUACUCUAGAUCUUCAACGCAUGAACUCUUCCACAUUUCUUAAUCAAGAAUCUUUUUGAGUAUGUCUUCUUGCGUAUAAAUUUUCGAGCUGCUAAAAAUCCUUCAAAUACUGUAGUCUUGCUGCUUGACUCACUUCUUGAAUCUUUUUACUCAUUGGGCCCAAACCUGCUUCAUUAGGACGCCAUUUCGGGUUUUCAUCCUAAUUUUUAUUUAUCAAGACACCCUUUUCAGGUUUUCAUCUCAAUCUUCUUCUUUUUUUUAAGGCGUCAUCACUCAUUGCCCAUCAGGGCUCUAUUACGGACGUAGUACGCUGCCCUAAUGCUCGGUUGGUAUUUUGACCCAAAAUCCGAAGAAAUAAUCGCGUUUUGCUCAGCCCCACCGUAAUUUUAGGGUCCAUUCUACUGUAAUUUUGGGAUACAAGGUUGGCACUAUCCUUAAACCAUUCCACUGCAAUUCAUGGCUAUAGGAUCUGUAUCCUACUGUAACUCAAGGGUGUAUGAUCUGUAAUUUGUUCCAUCGACUGAUAUUUUUGACAGAAAAUCUGAGGAGAUAAACUCAAUUUGAACUAAAAUAUUUCCAACCCUUACCCUUGGUAAGCUCUUGAACAACCGACUGGUUUCAGGUUCCUGUACUAUUUAGAAGCUUUCAGAGUAAUAUGCAAAAUUCCUUUUAUAAAAGUAUGAUUAGUCCAUUAAUCAUUAUUUCAAUGCGAAAUGCUUGAAAAGGAUCGAACUGAUGGACAAGAAGAGAAUCGGUUAAGAGCAUAGCUCGAAACAAAUAAGUUGAACAAUGAGAGUAAAUGCAAGUUUAUUGGAAGCUUAUUUUGAAAAGAAUAAGAUAAUCAAAGAUAAAUUCAGAAAUGGGUAAAAUGGAAAGCUAAGUACCCCAAAUAUCGCCGCCUGAGCUUCUCUGUACAAACUCCUUUUGAGACAAUUUCGAGUUCAACAUGUGUUUGGGGAUUCAGAGUACUUUGUCAAUGCUCCAAGACGUAACAUACUUCUUCACUGUCAAUUUAAGUAUAGCAAGACUACCAUAUGCCCCACCUUUGAACAAGAUUUGAGCUGCCUUUUCCAGGUUUUCAACUCAAAACCCCUUUGGUCUCAAGGUGCCCUUUGCGGGUUUUCACCUUGACCUCUCCAUUUUCUUUUCUUUUUUUUUUGAAUGAAUGAAGGUCACAAGGCGCCCUUUGCGGGUUUUCACCUUGGCCACUCCUUUUCAUGUAUUUCUGGACUGAAUCCGAAUUUAGGAUUGGAUUAGUGUUCUUUCGGGGAAAGCCUCCUUUACCGCAUAAAGUUCUUAAGCAUCCAUUUCCCUUUGGAAUCCUUUUGUAUAGCAAGGAUCUUCUGCAAUACCAAGUUCCUACAAUGAAAUUCCUUUGGGUGAACCAUUUCCGCCAUAACUCAGCAUCAUAGGCGUUUGACCUUCAAAUCCUUUUCUGCAGUCAAGUUUAAUGAAGACAUUUUACUUCAUCCAAUCCUUGAUUCAACAAAGCUUGGAGAAAAAGAAUCUUAAUUUCCAUGGACAGAACCACCUCUAAUGCCCCAGUGAAGGUCCUGGUCAACUUUAAUAAGCACAAAGAGUAAAAGGUAGCUUCUUAUGUCAAUAUUUACAAGUCUCGGUCACCUUCUAUAACUUUUCUUGAUUUUUGUAUCUUUCUUUUGGCAGCCUUUGUUGUAUUGUGAUAUGACAUUGUACAGUUACGCAUUAAAACAUGAUUCUUUCUGGCAUUUGAUUUUUUUUUUCUUGUCUUUUUUUUUGUUUUUUUGUUUUGUUUUCUUUUUCUUUUCAUGACUGUCGACCUUAUAAUAUUGGCAUAUGAAGCUACAUUCAUCUUCUUAGUGAAGCAAUUGACGGCCACGACGAUGAUGUCGACUGGAAGCUUUUGACGAGAUCAUCCCCAGAACAUCUAUGCCCCACGUAUUGAAAAGUUUGUGAAGAGAUGAAAGAAGCACGUGAGUCUUGACGUCAUAACUGAUGCUAUUCCCUUCCCAUGGUGGACCAACAACAUCUGAUCCUCAUUGAUUAGCUUGGCUAUUGCAGAACCAUUGUCAUGUGUUCUCUAGACACCCUUAUGGACCUCUUUCCAGAUGUUCCUGAGUGCGCCUUAAUAUGAUCGUGCAAAAACAUCCUUAAAUUCUUAGAAAUAACUCAAUAGUCUUGCCUUAUUUUUGCGGUGAGCUAGGUUUCGAUCUUCAUCAUUUUCCCAAGCUCACAAUGUCAGCUGACCCUUUGUAAGUUAGGGUCUGUUUUUCAUCUCAUUCUGUUAUCCUUCACAAAUCAGAAGAUGGACACAGUCUCUGUCAUCUUCCAAGUCCUGAGAUUCCUCUAGACACAUAUCUUGCUCCAAAGGGAGUUAGUAACAGUGUCGCUCGUGACAUUGAUAUCUGGGGACCCACUGUGGGUAUGAAGGAAAAUUCUAGAGAAUAAAUGAUUCUAAGGAUGAUUAUUUGUAUAGGAUGAUCAUGAAUGUAAAAUAAAAGAAUGAAAGUCCAAAUAAUAAAAGAAUCUAUAAAUAGAAGAAAAUUUACUCAAAAAGAUGCGUUUCAUUGAAAUAAAAAUCUUGGACCGAAACCUAUUUUUCAAAAGAAAUCUUAUCACCUCUAGGUCUUAAGGCAAUAAGUAUGUUUUGAAUAUUACUCUAGAUUAGCUUUAAAAGUACACGGAUCUCUUCCACUGUCCCAUUGUUCAAGACACUCGGAGGUGGGUGAUAUCGAGGUCAUGGUUGAGUUGGGUACGAAUUAGAAGCAUAGUGGCUUCCUAUUCCCACCACAUGGGUUUCUGGCUCUUUUUUCUUCAUGGGUGCUGCCCUUUUGAGCUCUCAGGGCAUUCCAUCCUUUCAUUUUUGAUGGCAUUCUCUAUAAGUUCCCCGGAUAUCACAAUGUUCGCAAAGUCUUUCGUAGCACUUCCUACCAACUUGUCAUAGAAUGGUGCUCUCAGAGUAUUGAUGAAAAGGACUGUUAUCUCAGUCUUAGUCAAUGGUGGUUCCAUUUGAGCCGAGAUAUCUCUCCACCUUUGAGCAUAUUGCCUAAAGGUUUCUGCUGGUUUCUUUUCCAUCCUUUGUAGAGUCAUUCGAUCAGGCACCAUGUCAGACACAUGCUUGUACUGUUCACAAAAUGCUGAUGCUAAGUCUUUCCAUGAUCGGAUCCUUUCUUUACUAAGUUGAUUAUACCAUCGAAGAGCUGAUCCGACUAAGCUGUCUUGGAAACAGUGUAUUAGCAACUUAUCUUUAUUCAUGUGACUCGUCAUUUUUCGGCAAAACAUGACAAGAUGCGUUCUUGGACAUCUCGUUCCAUUGUAUUUUUCAAAAUCUGGUGCUUUAAACUUCGGAGGUAGAACCAGAUCAGGCACCAGACUGAGCUCCUUGGCACUUAAUGCAGAGAAAACUUCAGCGCCUUCGAUUGCCUUGAGCCUUUCUUCAAAACUCCUAUACUUGCCCCAAACAUCAUGAUCGUCUAAUUUCAACAUGGCUAUCUCUACUGGGUCAUCCCGAUCUGGAAUAUUGGGAUCAACGGGAUUACCUCCGGGGUUUGAUACAGAUAUACCUUGCCCUAAAUGAGUAGGUGGUACAGGUCGUUGCUCCAAACCUACAGGCUCCUUUUGAGGACAUCCUCUUUGCGUUACAUGAACGUGAGGCGGGGUGAAUCUUGGGGGAUAAAACGGAUCCUGAUCAUGAUUAACUCUUGACUGAGGUUCUAUAACGUCAGGACUCUGCAUAAGUCCAUUCCCUUUAACAAAAGCUGACAUCAUCUCCAUCAUUUUGGCCAUUUGAUCCCUUUGUUUGAGUGAUUCCUCUCGAGACCUUACCAUCAGAUCUCUCGUUUCCUGCUGUGAUUUAGCCAACUGUUCUUGCAAUUCUCUUUGGGCCUUUUCCAUUCUUUCAAUUCUCUCAUUGAAUUCGGCCUCCAUAGUUCUAGCUCUUAGUCGCGUCUUAUACGAAUGGCGUGAUUCCAGACUCGUAGCAUUACAACUGUAGAUCAUACGGUUUCAGCCUCAGUGAAUGAUUAAGGGACAUGUACAUGCAAUGAAUGGAUGAACGAAUAAAUGGCAGAUGAAUGUCAGUCAUGAAUAUGCAAAAAUUUGGUGUUAAUUUCAAGAUAGCCCCUAUUUAGGCAUUUCCUUAAUUAAAAGAGUCUAUUACACAACAUUUCGGCCAUUCGUAUAAUUGACUCCUCCAUCAGAAACCCAUUUUUGGCAACUAAUCUCUAAUCAACACCUUCCUAAUAUGAUGCCUAUGAUGCAUGAUGAAAAAUAGAAAUACAGACAAACAACUUUGGUUAGCAUAACACAUAUGAACAGAGAAAAACUGUGGAAAAUCUAACAAAUUAAGCUACUUGGUCCAGUGGACUCGAUUCCCUUGUUUAGAAAGCACAAAUGUAAAAGAAAUAGAAGGUAAGAUGUGCUUUUCCCGUGUACUUAUUUUGGUGACUACUAAACGAGCGGAGGUUCGGCAUGGCUCUAGUUGGAUGGCUCGUAUGGUUCACUAUAUGCGGUUUUGAUUCUAGAUGGGUACUUGAAUCAUCUGCACUGUCAUCUACUAAGAUUAGUACAAAGCCUCGGUCAUGGCCCAUCAUAGGCUUACGAGAUCAAUUCGAGGGAUUACAUUUACUUAUGCCUAUGCGGAGGGACAAGUUAACUCACGAAAGCAUAAGUCAUAUGUAACCCGAAAGUAUUCACUAGCCUGUGCGGAGGAACGAGUUAACUCACGAAGGCGUAGCGUUUACUUUCUCUUAACAGGGACGGAGCCCGGGUAUAGAGCUCAUGUUAUGCAACAAAAAUGCACGUGCACGGUGUGUGGGGAGAAACUUGUAAACCUUUACGUUUUAUUUAGAAAAACUAAACCAAAACUAAAAUCGCAAAAAUUUAAAACUGAAAAACAACCUGAUAAAACAAGUUAGAAUAUAUACAACACGAUGCAAAUGCAUGAUUUUUUUGAAAACAAAAAAUUUAAGGAUCACGACUAAAUGUUAAUUUGAACAAGAAACUUUGAAAAUUUUGACAACGCGAGUUUAAUUCGACUCGACUCUCAAAAAGGGUCCCCAGUGGAGUCGCCAGCUGUAGCGACGUAAAAAUUUUGGUUUCGGUCGCUAAUUGUGGCGAUCUAGUGAAAAAGUUUGGAAACUGAAGUUCGAUUUUAAAAUAAAGAGGGAGUCGCCACCGAUCCUUUUUCCUAGGUGUGAUCGGACACCUACUAGAUUCAUUUUUUUUAAAAACAAAAGGAAGGCUGAAUUUAGGUCUACGUUAAAAGCCAGAGAAAAAUUAGGGUUCGGGAGUCGGUUACGCGCGAGGAAGGUAUUAGCACCCUCGCGACGCCCAAAAUUGGUAUCUCAUAAACACGCGUUGUCUUAAUUUUCAAAAAUAAGAGUUCAAUGUAAAAUUUAGUCAUAAUCCGGUUAAAAGAACGAGAAAUUUUGGUUUAUUUCAUUUUUUUAGAAGGGUAUAUCGCUUUAACAUGAGUCAAUUGACGUUCACCCAACAUAGCGACGAACUCGAUAACUUAAUGUUAAAUCGGUAUAUUGCCUUGAUUAUUGAAAUUAAUUAGAAAACCGGAACGUAAUUUUCAGGAGAAUGCAAGACAUAAUUGAUACGAAAUGAAAAUAAGUAAAUGAAAUGGCUUGAUACAUUUGAAACAAAUAACAAACAUGACAAUAAUAUUAGAAAAUAAUAACCGCGCAUGCAAGAUCAAAUGCAAUGUUAGCAUUGAAUACGAGAACAUAAAGAGAAUACGAUGAAUAUACACAUGAAAAUAAUUAAGAGUAUAUAUGUAAAAUACGUAUAUAUAAAUAUUAAUGGUAUUAGAAAGAUAUAUAAGAUAAUAAAAAAUAUAUAGCUAGUAAUGUUAAAUAUAUAUUCAUAAUAUUUACAUAUGUACAUAAAAUAAAUAUUGAGGAACACAUGCACCUAAAGAACAUAUAUAUACCAAUAUAUAAUAAUAUUAUGAAGGGGAACGAAACAAAUAAUGCAUAGGAUUAAAACGAAGUUUUGAAAAAUUAUUACCUAUAUACAUAUAUAAUAAUAAAAAUGGAUACAUGAAAUGACAUGAGAAAUAUACGUAUGAACUUAGUAUACAAAACUAACAAUUAAGUAGAAUCAUAUACAUGCACGGUAUUAAAAUGUAUAUACAUACAUAAUAAUAAUGUGGGGACGCCUAUUAAUAAUAUUACAUAAAUAUAUACAUAUAUGUAUAAUAAUGAUGAAAAUAAUAAUAAUAAUAAUGAAAAUAAAUAAUAUAAUAAUAAAUAUAAUAGUAAAAAAAAGAUAAUACUAUAUGAAAUGUGUAUAUCUAUAAUAACAUAAAUAUGCUAAUAUGAAUAAUGAUAAUAAUACUAAUAAUAAUAAAAUACGAAGAAGUAUAUAUAAUAUAAUAAUAAUAUUAAAAUACAAUAAAUAAAAGUAAUAUUAUAUAUAAAUAUAUACAAUAUUCACAUGUAAAAGAAAAAUGUAUACUAAUAUAUAGUAAUAAUAAUAAUAUAAUAUUGGAAAUAACAAUAAUCAUAUUAAAUAAGGAAACAAAAAAAAGGACCAAAAAUGAACUAAAAACAAAGCUUUGGGGCGAAUUUAAAAAAAAAUUAAAGGGGAAAGGACCUAUUUGAAUGCGGGUAAAACCAUGGGGCAUUAAAAGUGCAAAAUUUCAAACUUUCCAAAACGCUGCGCAUAUACGGGGGUUAAAUAAAAAACUGAGCAAAAUUCUGGGGUCAAUUCAGAAACAAACAUAAACCUAAUUUAAAACACCAAAAAUGCGGAAGGGCCGAUUGCGCAAAUAGCCCUUCCGCUCUUAAAAGCACGCGGAUCCUUGCUGGGGCGGGUCGGGUCGACCCGACCCACCCUUGAAACGGCGUCGUUUUAUUGGUUAAAGGGGGGAAAUUGGGGCGCAAAUUGAAGGUUGUGCGCAAGGGAAGGAUUCAGCGCGUAAUUUCCCCAUUCACACAACAUGGCGCAGACCCAUUUUUCUAUUCGGGCCCACACGCGGACCCUUAUGGUCAUGGGCAGCACUGUUUUGUAUUUCAGACCAUUUUAAACCAUUUUUCCCUUCCUUUCCUUUCAAAUACCCAUCCAUUUUAAGAAAAACCAGCAGCCUUGAAAAUAAAUUUGCUAGGGUUCCUUUUACAAGCAACUGAAUCUCCAUCGGAUUUGGUGUCCAGCGGCGCACAAAACAAUUCCUGGUUCUGUUGCCGUAAGUAUUCGACCAUGCCUUGAGGAAAUUAGUAGUAUUUUCUUUUUUACUUGAGAAAAAAUAAAACUUCAAAUCUCAUACAUUUUUAAAAAACGAAGAAAGUUCAUAAAAUAGAGAUUCAACACCACUUGACCCCUCUCCCCUACUUUUGUAUCUUAAAGUAUUCGGGAUCUCAUUGGAGUCGAUUUACCUACUAAAAGACGAUCUAAACCAAACAAAAAAAAGAAAAAAAAAGAAGAAAGAACGAAAGAAAACUUGAGAUUACCCUUGCAAAUUCUUAAUUUUUUUUUAUAUUUCUGUGCGUGUAUAUUCUGUGUGCGUCUGUGUUCGUGUUCCCCUUUUCUUUUAUUUACUCUCGAAAUAAAAAAAGAAAAUAAUCACAAAGAGAAAGCCCAGAGAUUUUGAUCGGAGAAAUCACCUUCCAAUAUUGCUUUUUUUGUAUUGCCUAUUGUGUAUUCGUUCGUAAAAAUAUGCCCCCCUUUACAUUGAUUCUCUUUCGGCUUUUAUAGCCGAUUACAUGUGAUUUUCACUGCUCUCUGCUUGUUUUGCUUUUGCUUUGCAUGUUUCUCCAUUCCUUUCCUGUCUUCUUUUGUUUAUUCUUUCCCCCAUCCCUCGCAUGCUGUUGUUUUUGUCUUUUUCGUUUGUCUGUUACUUUUGUUGUCUUCUUGCUUGCGUGUUGCAGGUGGUGUCAGAGGGCGUCAGACGCAUGGGUGGCCGGUGAUAGGCUGGAGGCGUGGCAGAUAAGGAGGCCAUGUGAGGCAUGCGACGGCCAGCUAGGGUUUGCUGCUGAAAUUUUGCUGAAAAAUGUUUUAGAUUUUGGGCCAUUUGGGCUUUAGGGUUUUGAUUUGUUUGGGUUUAAAUUUUGGGUCAGAUUUUGGGUUUGUAAAUGGGCUGUUACUUUUGGGUUUAUUAUUUGAGUUAUUUUGUUGGUAUGGGCCCGGGCAAAAUGGGCUCGUACAUAUACAAAAUAUGUAUUAAUAAAAUAAAUAAAUAAUAUUUAUCUAGUUUAAGGGAAAUAAUAUGUAUUAAUUCAUAUGUUAAUAAUAAUUUUAGGUAAAAUUUUACUAAAAAAUUAUUAAGAAUAUUAAGAAUGUUAUGAAAUUAUAUAUUUUUAUUUUUAUUUAAUUAUAUUUAGUAAUAAUUAUAUUAAAACAUGAUUAAAUUAUUUAUUAUUUUAAUAAUAAUCUUAGUAAAAUUUAAUAACGAUAAUUAUGUACUUAAAAAAAAUCUGUUAAGGGUACUCUGGUUAUUUUAGUCUUUUUCUUAUACUAUUACAACAUCAUUCCAUUCAACAAAACACAAGAAUGCCAUUACAGUUCUAUUCCAUUCCAUUCAACCAAACAAUUGAAUUACUAAUUACAGCUCUAUUCUAUUAUAACUCUAUUCAAUUACAACUCUAUACCAUUACAGUUCUAUUUCAUUACAGCGAACCAAACGUGCCCUAGAUUUUUACAUUAGAUUUAUUUUUAAUGACAUAUUUAAAAUGUGGGUUUAUCCCUUAACUUAUAUAUUUUUGGACACAAUGUAAUAGCUCAAAAUUGCCCGGGCCCGUAAAAUAAAUAAAUAAAAACAGAAAUAAAAUUAAGGAAAUAAUAAAAGUCCAUUUACAAUAAACAGGCCUAAAGGCCUGAUGGCUACACUUGUAACCCAACUGGUCUAAACCAGAAUACCCAUUAACCCAGUAGCCCAUUACACUUAAAAGCCCUUGAACCCGAACUAAACCCAAAUUAAUGAGACCCAGGAAGGCCCAAUGCCUAAACUGAAUCUGGAAACCCUAGGGUUUCCAGAAGCUUCGCGCCGCAAACUCCAAACAUCACGCCCCUUCGUCUCGCGACAUUUCAGUGACCCUUCAUCGAUGCCUCCAUUAGCGCCGUGACUAUCGUAAUCUGCACACAAAUCAACACCCCAUCAUCGCCGAAUUUCUCGCUAGUACCUGCAAAAAAAGGAAAGAAGAACAACAGAGGCAAUACAAAUAUGGCAGGGAAUAAAAUCAAGCAUGUAAAUAUUAUUUUCAGUGGCUAUAAAAAGCCCGAAUCAAAAUGAUGUAAAGUGGGAGUUUUUUUUAUAUACAAUAAAAUACAGUAGUUUAUCAAGGAUAUGAGGUCUUUUACAGGCAUAUAUACAAUAAAAAUCAAGAAACAUAGGUGAUUUACUUUUAUUUUGUUUUUUUUGUUUUCGUUGUGAAUACAUACAAAUAUUGCUAAGAAUAUAAAGAAGGGGAAUUUACCGAUGGAUUUGCGCUAAAAAUCGGAGCUUUCCAGCUUCCGGCCACCGUAAGAGGCGGUGUUGACAGAGUUACGUAGGCGCGUGUAAGCCCUUGGACGGAGGCUCGACAGAGCUCCGAGGACCAGCUCUCAACCCUCUUUCAGAGGAUGUUUUUGUUUUUGUUUUUUUUUAAAUCGGGUUUAAAAUGAUUUUAGGGUUAAAAUUUGACUUAUAUAGCCUUAUGAAAAUGAUGUCGUUUCGCUUAAAACAAUAAGCUUCAAAACGGCAUCGUUUUAAGACUGAAGAUCCGCGUGUUGACCCGUGACCCGGGGAGGAUCCGUUCGUUUUUGGUAAAUGGGCUAAUUUCUGUUUGAGCCCUUCCCCAUUUUUCAUUCUUUUAAUUUUGUUUAAUUUUAAAUUUUAUAUUUCAAUUUUGCCCUGACUUCUUUAUUUUUGUUUCAAUUUAGUCCCACCUGUCAGUAUAAGGCUUGUUUUGCGAACGACGCCGUUUCGGGAUUAGGGCAAAUUGCCCAGUGAGUCCCUUGGAGUUUUGUGCGCGUCCCAAUUAAGCCUAAACCUUCUUUUGUUAUUUUAAAAUUAGCCCUAGAACUUUAGUUUUAUUUAAUUUUAAUCCUUUUAAAUAUUUUUGCAUAAUUUAUUUAUUAAAUACUUUAUAUAUUAUUUAUUUUACUAUAUUUAUAUGUAAAUUAUUACAUAUUAUAUUAUUUUUAUUAUUUAUUAUAUUAUUUAUAUAUCAUUUUAUUAUAAACUAUUUAUUAUUAAAAUUUUGUAAAUUAUUAUUGAAAAUUACAUUUUUAUAUAUCAUUGUUUAGAGUUUAGAACGUAAUAUUUUAAAAUUUAAUGUGAAAUUUUGUUCCUAUUUAAUAUAUUAAUAUCUUUUAUAAAUAUAUUAAGUUAUUAAAUCAUACAAUAUAUUUACAUAUAUAUUAACCUUUGUUUAAAAUUUUCCUUUAUUAUUUAUAUAUAUCAUUUUAAAUAUUUUUACCUCAUUUAUUCUUUGUAAAUUGUAUGUAGAUUUUAUCCUUUUUAUGCACAUAAAUUGUUUGUUUAUUUUAGUACUCUUUUUCAUAUCUAUUUGAUGUUGUUUUGAUAUAAUAAUCUUAUCUCGUAAAUUAUUUGUUAUUUUUAUAUUAUUUUUUGUUUUUAUACAUUUGCAUGAAAUAUUAUUGCAUAUAUAUUAUGUAAUUAUAUUGUUCUAUUUAUUAUUCGCCACAUUGUAUUUUGCAUGGAAUGAUAAUGUUUGUAUAUUUACGUUUUUACGAUUAUAUAUGCAUGAGAUAUUAAUAUAUAUUAUGUGAGUUAUGUCAUUAUUUAUCAUUUUCUACACUAUAUUCACAUGAAAUGAUAAAGCAUAUAUCAUGUAGAUAGGUUUAUUUAGUAUUGAUCUUUCCUAAUAUGUAAAGUACAUCAUUAAUUUCAAAAAUUAUAUCUUAUUUAAUUCAAAAGAAUUUUAAAAAGUGUGGCAAUGUUUUUGGUAUUUAGGCAUUCGGGAAGUAGUGCCCUAACAUGCUGGGUUGCGAUUUUCUGUUUGUCUAAAUGUCUAAAGUAUCCUUCUAAAUAGAUUUCGUAAAUCACAAGAUGAUUUCGGUCACGAAAGUUUAAAGAUAUUGCGUCCAAUCAUGCUGGAUGUGAUGUUUGUACUCUUUUGGAGCGAAAGAAUCUCGACUUUCAGCAAAUUAUUAUAGUUUUAAAAAGGGGAUCUUAUUUCCAAAUUCCUUCAAACUUUUGACAUCAAGACAGAAAACUAAUUUGGUACCAAUCCUGGGCGUUGCCAGGGUGCUAAUCCUUCCUCGCACGUAAUCGACUCCCGAACCUAUUUUCUCACAUUUUCGUAGACUAAAAUGUUUUAUAAGGUGUUCCAAUCACACUUAAAAAGGUUGGUGGCGACUCCCGUUUUUUUUUAAAUACCCUCCCCUUUUAAAAUCAGGUUUCGACACACAAUGUAUAGAAUUACCUAUAAUUCCUCUCUAACCCAUAAAUAGGAAGAUAAUGCGUCUCAGCGCACUUAAACCCACAUACUCUUGCAUUGACAACAAUACAUAUACUACUCAAGCUAAGACUCAAUCGACUACGUUAACUUAUAUAUUGAUUGAGAUUGAUGCUUAAUCUAUUUAAAAAAAUUGUUUGAAUUUUAGUUUACAGAUGUAAUACCCUAAACUCGUAACCAUCGUCGGAAUAUGGUUACAAAGCAUUACUUGACUUGUACAUCAAACAAUUAUACAUUUCGUAUUCAUUUCUCAAUCCAAACAUAAACCAUUCAAAUUCAUUCAUUUGGUCACUAAUUUGAGCCAUUGAAGCCUAAAAUAGACAUUAAAGAUGGUUCAGGACAAAACUGAGUACUCACAAACAUUUUAGAAAAACAUUGAAAUUUUUGUAAAGUACAAGGGACACAUGCCCGUGUGGCCAAACCGUGUGUCUCACAAGGUCAAGAGACAAGCUCGUGUCUCAUACCGUGUGGGCAUUCACAAUGGGGGCACAUGACCGUGUCCCAGCCUGUGUCUGAGCCCGUGUAACUCACUGACUUAUGUCACACGACCAACCACACGCCCGUGUGCCUAGGCCGUGUACCAUUUGAAAUGGCCUCACACACCUGUGUGUCAAGCCGUGUUUUAGGCCGUGUGAAAACUGGAAGGUAUACUGACUUAUACCACACGGCCAAGUCACACGCCCGUGUGCUAGGCUAUGUGAAGCUACUGACUUGUUUUCUAAAGAUGUUGCAGGGGAAACAUGAACAUUUCACCAGCCGUGUGUCACACAUGGCUGAGACACAUGCCCGUGUCUCUACCUAUGUGGACAAAAUAAGUCAUUUUCCAAGCCAUAUUUCUCACCCAAUUUGAUUCUAGUCUAAAUUUAACAUUUUGCAUAUGACCAUCUUGUAAUAGGCAUUCAAACCAACCUAAAUUCAAACUCAACCGCAUGUAACAUCAUCACAUACAACCAUUGAAUUUACUAAAUGCACAUUUUACCUAUAUCAAUCCUACUCAAUUCAUAAACUAAGUGCUAAGAAUAUGUCUGUAAUACCCCUACCCGUAUUCAUUGCCGGAAUAGGGUACGAAGUAUUACCGGAGUUUACGGAUUAAAUUUUAAAAUUUUUUUAACUCAAUAUAACCCCUUUAUAGAUAUUUAACAUUCCCUGAAAUUUUAAACCAAAAACAAUCCACAUCAACCAAUCCAAUUCAACAUAUUUUCAAGAUAAAUUCAUACAUAUUUAUAAAAUAACGUCAUCACAUACCCAAAACCAGGUUUGUUAACCAUACCAAUGGCUAACUCUACAUUCAUUUCACAGAAUCAUUUACUUUAUUAGCUUAUACAUGCCAUUGAUUUCCAAAAUAAAGUUUCUUUAUAUACCAAAAUCCUGAGGUUGAUAGUGUGAUGUGUCUCCGACCAAAUCCGACCUCCAAGCUUUUAACACUACAAAACAGGGAAAAAGAAAACGGGGUAAGCUUUGUGCUUAGUAAGCUCAUGUAACAAGAAUUAUACUUACCUAAUAUUUUCAAUAAAGUACAAUAAACAUUCACAUAUCCAUUCAAUGCAUUAUUACCCUAAUAUGCACAAACUCAACAUUCAAGUUAGUACAAUAAUUUCCAUGUACCAAUAAUAUAUACCAUGAUUGAUGAGCUCAUCAAUAUCAUAAUUUCCAUUUCCUUGUUAUUUUUCUAUAUUUAUCCCGUUGAAUUUAUCGAAAAUUCGAUGGAUUUUUAGAGGUACACUUUUAGUGUACAAUUCUGGGUCCGUCAAUUCACAUUCAUGUGCGCACAUUUCCAUUUCAGAGAGCACACUCUCACGAACCUCAACCUUGCAGCGGGAUUACCAGUCCAGGCUAAAUCCCCUGUAAUAUAAAGUUAGAGUAUUGUCGGGAUUACCAGUCCAGGCUAAAUCCCCUGCAACGACAAUUACUCUAACGAGCUUGGAUCUGAAUUACCAGCCCAAGCUAAAUUUAGACCCUAAUUCGGAUUACCCGUCCGGGCUAAAUCCAUUUUCCACAUAUUCUUCGGGAGGGAUAUAUCAAGAUAGGAUCACCCGUCCGGGCUAGAUCCUUUUUACCUUCAAUUCCUUUUUAGAGAUCCAUCGAAUUUUCCUUUCAAUGUUUACUUUAUCUAUCAAUCAACCAAUCAAGGUAAAUCAGCGAGAUGACCAAUUCAUAAGCAAACUUUACUUCCAAAAUAGCAUAAGACUUCAACAUGUAUUUACAAGUAUUUACACUUACAAAAACAUAUAACCCAAGACUCCAUAAUCAAAAGAGAUGCUACAAUAGUUUGCAUCCUAGGUACAUGCCAAAAACACAAAAGGGAAACGUCACCAACUUUGAGUACGGGGUUCUUGCGGGAUGCUAUGUCCGAGUCUACUAUUUAUCUAACCUGUAACAAGUAAAUUAAUCUAAUUAUUUUUAGGUUCCAAUUGUUAGCUAAGUACAAUUCUAAUCACCAUUAAUAGGAAUUUCUAUCUUGACCAAUUAAGAAUUCAAUAAUUCAAGUAACCUUAUCGUAAGAUUUAUUAACAACAUGGCACCCGGUGCCUAGCGGUAAACCGCAGAAAGGUUGUGCUCAAUGCUAGUUGGAUUAACCGACAAUAAUGAAUGUGAGCCUAGAUCUAGUUGGAAAAGCCAAUGAUAUUGCACCUAGUGCUAGUCGGAUAAAUCGAAAAUAAUGAAUGUGAGCCCAGCUCUAGUUGGACAAGACAACGAUAUUGCACUCAGUGCUAGUCGGAUAAACCAACAAUAAUGAAUGUGAGUACAGCUCUAGUUGGAUAAGACAACGAUAUUGCACCUAGUGCUAGUCAGAUAAAUCGACGAUGAUAAAUGUGAGCCCACCUCAAGUUGAACGUAUCGACGAUUAUACAAUGGUUUAUAUCCAUAAUUUCCUUCAUUUACCUUCCUUACAUUAAUUCAAUGAUAAUCAUACAUUUUAUAUCAAUUUUAAGUUUGAAAAUACUUAAUUCAAAUAAUAAUUAGAAAUAACAUUAAGUUCGAGUCCAUGAACUUACCUCAGAUUUGUACGAAGAAUUGAUCGCUUAAUCCAACGCUUUAUUCUUCCCACGAUCUAAGUCUAUACGUUGUUUUUCUUGAUCUAUAUAAUCAAAUUCAACUAAUUUAAGUUUCAUUAUAUACAAUUCAAUCCAAAAAUCACAUUAUGGCAAAAUUACCAUUUACCCCUAUAUUUUUGACUUCUUUACAAUUUAGUCCUUAGGCUCGUAAAAUGAAAUUUUUGCAAUUUCUCCCCUAACCAAGCCUAGCCGGAUUUACUACAUGCUUAUAGCAGCCCAUACAUUUCACCAUUUCUCACAUUUAUCAUAUGAUUUAUCACAUUUCUCAAUUUAAUCCAUAAUGACAAUUUUCAUCAAAAUCCACUUAACAAAAUAUGCAUAUCAAUCAACAACCAUUAUUUUCAUACUAUAAAACUUCAAAAAUAAAUAUGUUCAUCAAUUGCAAAACUCAAACAAUUCAAUAGUUUUGCAAAUUAAUCCCCUAAUUAGUUAGGUUAAGCUAUAACGAUCUUGAAAAUAUAAAAAUCAUUAAAAACAACACCUAAAUACACUUACAUGCAAGCAAAGCAAGAAUGGGCAGCCUAGAAAACUCCCAUGGCUUUUCUUCUUCUUAUUUUAGGCACUAGCAUAGUAAAAGAUGAAGACUUUUCAUCUUGUUUUGUUUAAAUUUUAUCAUUUAUUACUUAAUUACCUUUUUACCCUUACCUAACUUUAAAAUUUACACAAUUACCAAGCCAUGCACAUCCACUAUCACUUUUAAUGGUCUAAUUACUUAGUAAGGACAUCCACUUUAAAGUUCUAUAGCUAUUUAAUACUUUUAGCUAAUGGAACACGACUUUCGUACUUUACGCGAUUUAGUCCUUUUUCACAAAUCGAACACAUAAACGAUAAAAUUUUUCAACGAAAUUUUUUAUACUAUAGUACUAUCAUGCUGUAGAUCUUAAAAUGAUAUUAAAAUAAAUUUUCACUGUUCUGAUUUUACUAAAAACGGGCCGUUACAUCAGAUUCAUGACGUUUAAAGUUGUUUCAUAAAAAAAACUGAAUUGUAGAAGAAAAGGGAAAAAAGAGGUUUCGGUUGAUGCAGGUGGUUUAAACAGAGAAAGCUAUAUACUAUCGAUUUUAAUAGUCCAGUGACUUUAACGAAAAUUUUUGAAUAAUUUAUUAACCAAAUUGUAACUUUUUUUUAGUUAAGUGACCAAAAUGAAAGUUUACCUAUAAUUUAGUAACUAAUGGUUUUAUUAAUUUAUGGUUUAGGUUUCAGACUUUAUUUGUUGUUAAAAAACAGCAAACAAUAAAAUAUUAUUUUUGUUAAUAUUUAUAUAUCUUAUAAUUUUUUUAAAGUCAUAUAUAAUCUUAUAAGUAAGUACUAUUCCUAUGGUGCAUGGAUAUUUAAUUACUGUGAUAAUAUAUUCAUUUUUUAUUUAAUUAAAUAUUAAAAAGUAUUUCCUAAUUUAAUCAAAGACAAAUAUAAGAAAAUAACCACUUUUAAAUAUAAUGAAGAAUUAUUAAUUCUUUAAAAAAAGGAAUUAUUAAUUGACAAAAUAUCAAUAUCAAUGCAAUUAAAAUGGUUAGUAAAUGUAAUUGAAUUAAUUACAACUAGAGGUGUUCAUGGGCCGGGCCGGGUCGAGUUCGGGCCAGGCUCAACUAAAAAAUCAUGCUCAUUUAUUGGGCUCGGGCCGGGCUGGGCCCAAAAAAUGGGCCUAAAAUUUUGUCCAAGCCCGACCCAGAUAAAAAUACUAAAACCCGUGCCCGGUCCGGCUAGCCUGUAUUAAUUUUUUUAUAUUAUUUUUAAAUAUAUAUAAUACAUCAAAAAUACAAAAAAUAUCAAAAUAAAUAUUUCCCAACAUAUUAAAAAUAAAUUUUAAAAAAUAUGUAGACUUAAAUAACACUAAGAUAAAUACAACUUAACAAGCAAAUGCUUCUAAAAUAAUAAAAAAAAUAACAAAUGCCUUUAAAAUAAUAAGAAAAUUAACAAUAAAAUAAAUUUUAUACAAUAUCCAAACAAUAACAACAAAAUAAUAGCAACAUAAAGUAAAAUGGUAGCAAAAUAGGGAGAAAACAACAAGAAAAUAGCAUUCAAAAAUAAAAAAAAUAUGCAGAUUUUUUUGUCCUUUAAUGAUUCGGGCCGGGCCGGGCUCGGGCUAAAAAUACCUUACUUUAACCUAGGGAUAGAUUGCAAAACCUCUGCACAUUCAAUCAUGUCCUUCUACAAUGGCGAUUUCUAGCGAAAAAAUAUUUUAGUAUUCCAAUCUUAUAGUGAAUGAUUUCUAGAGAAAAAUAUUGUAUUAUCUCAUUAACGAUUUCUAGAGAAAAAAAUAUUGUAGUAUUCCAAUCUUGAAAUUUAUUCGAGGAACAUUCCCAGGAACAUAUGAAUAUUAUGUUUAAAUGUGAAAUAUAAUUCUCAAGUUAUUUAUUACUUCUUAUAUUUUAUUUUUUAUUGUAGAAUAAUCAAAUUAUUUGUUUCACUAAUGAUAUCUUCGCAUAUUAUGUAGUGCAGUUUAAAAAUAAUAAAUUAGAUUAUAUAUUAUUUUUAUAGUAUUAUAUAUUAUGAUUUUUUAAUUCAUAUAAUAAUAAUUAUAUUAAGAGUUUUAUUAAAUUAUAUUUAGUAAUAAUUAUGGUAAAAUAUGAUUAAAUUAUUUAUUAUUUUUAUUAAAUUAUUUUUAAUAAUAAUCUUAUUAAAAUUUAAUAAUAAUAACAAUAAUCAUCUACUUAAAAAAAAUUCAACUAAGGGUAUUCUGGUCAUUUUAGUUUUUUUUCUUAUUCUAUUACAACAUCAUUCCAUUCAACCAAACACAAGAAUUCUAUUACAGUUCUAUUCUAUUCCAUCCAACCAAACAGUUGAAUUACUUAUUACAGUUCUAUUCCAUUACAACUCUAUUCAAUUACAGCUCUAUUCCAUUACAGUGAACCAAACGAACCCUUAGAGCAUGUUUGGUUGAAGGUAAUAGCUAAACCAUUACAUGCCUAUUACUAACCUAUUCUUCAGGCCAACUUAAACUGGCGUUUGGUUCAACGUAAUACCUUAUUACGAGUGGAUUCCAUUCCGGGCUUAAACAGAGAUUUUUGGGGAUUUCUAUUCCGUGCCUUCUUCACCGUUUACCUAUUCGUUGCUUGAAGAAACCUAUUCUACCCUUACCAAAAUUUCACAUCAAAAACACUCUCAAUCAGCAGCCAUUUCACAUACCCUUUGAUUCCGGCAUUCCUCCCCUUCAUCCAAGGUCAGGUAAACAUUUUUGCUUCUUCUUCCUUCACAUCAUCUUCUUUCAUUGUUUCAUCAUCUAUCUCCUUUCUGCAGUUUCAACUACAAGGCAGCAAAUUGACUUGGCACGAGCGCUUAUUGGUACUUUUCUUUUCCAAUUUCUCUUCCGCAGAGUUUUGUUUGCUUAUUAAUUUCUGGGCUCUAAAGAAAGGUAUCAAGAAGCGCAGAUUGGGUCAUUCAAUCAGUCACAGAGGACAAAGAAUUGGCUUCAAAAAAGAACAGUCAUUCCCAUGAACCUAAGAAGCUUUUGUUCCCAAAUGGCUCCAAAACUUUGAAGGCUUCUUCUUCAGAGGUUGGAGGUGGUCACGGUGAUGAUGGUGAUGGCCAUGAUGAUGUCGAGAAGUUGAGUAGUAGAGCAAUCAAUGCCUCUAUCGUUCUUGGAUUUGACACGUUUGUUGUAUCCAAGUUGCUUACAAUUGAUCAUGAUUAUUGGCAUGUAAGUUAUCUCCUAGGUUUUUCAAUUUUUUUUUUGCAUUUUAAUUCUAUUUCCUGUUUUACUUAGAGUUGAAUAAUGAUUCAUUUCAAAAGAGCUUUUUUUGGUAUGCUCUUGUUUUGAGAAGGGUAUUUUUGCUUGGUAGUAGUUUUCCUUGGUUUCACUUCUCUCUGUGCUAGAGUUGGUUAAUCUCUUUCGUUCGUCAUUUUAUGAUUUUAAUCUUGAAAAUUGUUGAGGUGUUUAUAACUUUCUAAACUAUCCAUGAAAUCUGAAACAUUGCUUGUAAAAGAAAAAGGAGGUCUUUAUUUAUGAUUUGUGCUUUCCUGGAAAUUUGAGGUUUAUGCAGAUUAGCUUUCAAAAACUAAGUGAAAGCUGGAGUCCUCAAAAUAAAAUGAAGUGAAAUCUAAAUGCUACAAUAUUGUUUUUUUUCCUAUCUCAGUAUUUAUUUGAUUCUUAUGAAUGAUUAACAGGGAUGGACACUUUAUGAGGUACUCCAAUAUGUUCCAGAACAUAAUUGGAUUGCAUACGAACAAGCUCUUAAAGCCAAACCAGUGAUAGCCAAAAUGGCAAUAAGUGGGAUAGUCUAUUCAAUAGGAAAUUAGAUUGCACAAGUAGUUUCUCUCUCUUCUCCACUCUCUCUAUUAGUCCUUUAAACGUAAACAUAUAUUGCAUUCAGCUCAUAUUGUAUAGCCUGUGUGUAGUGUUAUGAAGGAAAGCCUUCAGAUCGGGCCUUGUUGGAUUUACUCUUCAUUGAUCCCUUUCUCACUAUUAUUACCAGUUUUGAGAGGUAAUACUUGUGGUUCAUAGUUUAUAUGUUUUGCUGCUUUGAGUCAUUUUUUUUCCAUGGAGCACUGAAACACUUUGAGUUCCAGGCUUUAUUUCCUUUCGAUGACUGGUGGGUGGUUCCAGCAAAAGUUAUCUUUGAUCAAACAGUUUGGGCUGCAAUCUAGAACAGUAUAUAUUAUGUAGUUUUGAGGUUCUUGCGUUUUGAAUCCUCGGCUAAUAUCUAUAAAGAACUGAAGGCAACAUUUUGGCCUAUGCUGACUGUAAGAAGCAUUUCUUCUGUUUCUUUUGAUGCAUAUUUUGGGUGUCAAUGGUUGUGGUAUGAAUUGCAAACGAUGUAGUCUACUCUACCCAUGAUUUUUGAUAUACUGGAAUUCUAUUUCAUGCUUUAUUUGUUAGAGCAGGAUUUAUCAUAUAUGCUCAUUUUUCUUUUACUUAAUCACUAUCAAUGUAAAAUGUCUACCUCUUCUCCAUGAUGUAUUGGAGGAUUCAACCUUUCUUAAUAGGUGUACCUUAAAAUCGACUUAGAAAAAAUGUUGUGCGGAGAAAGUGAAAUCUGUAUAUUUUAAUUUAGUACUAUAGAUCAUUGGGAUAUUGAAAUGAUCAAAUGACUUUUAUGUACUGUUCUUCUUACUUGAUGGAUAACUUAACCACUUGAAUGUCAAAUAAUGCUCAAGAGCCUAUUAUUUGCCUAUGCAUUAGGGAAUAAGAGACAUUUAUUUUUAGUAUAUAAUUAGUAAAAAACCUGUCAUCCUUCUUUAGGUCUUGAAGGAGGCCUCUAAGCUUUAUACUGCAAGUUGGGUAAGGGAUAUUGGUCCUGAUCUUAGACCAAACGAUUCUAAGAAGGAUGAUGGGAUUAAAGGUAAAUCCAAUGGAGAUAAGAGUAAGAGUACAGAGAUAGAACCUUCGACCUUGGAGGAUAUUGGUGUGGAACUUUACUUUGUGGUUUCUUAUCUUGAAAUGUUCAAAUGUAUAAGUUGUCUGUAAUGAAUCAAGAAGUAUAUAGCAUGACUUGCAAAAUAUAUGGCAUAUUAUAUGUGCAAUAAACCGUUAGAUUCGUGCUUGAGACAUCUUAUGGAGGUCAAGGAACAAAGUCCCGUAAUGCUUGAGUUCAGUUAGGUUUUCAUUUAAAUUUCCCUUUUUAGUAGAACUUUUCUAGAGGUAGCUUGGAAUUUAUUCUUUGAUUUCUUUUUCCCCUGGCUGCUCAGAGUCAUCUGUGACUGCAUUUUGUUUUAAUUUGUUGUUGGCACCUGUGUUCAAGUCUUAUAUUUUACACUUCCAUUGGCAUAUUUUUGGUGAAUCCCUUCUUCACCAGGCCAAAGUUCAGUUGUUGAGGAAAUAUUAAAUUCUCAACUAAAAUUUUUGUAAUAGCCCAAAGUUGACCGGGUUUAAAUAAAGAAAAAAUUAGAUAAAUAAAUAAACAUUUAUUAAAAAAGUCCAUUGAAAGUCCAGGCCUACUGUUGCUACCCAAAGCCCAAAUACAAAAACCCAUAUCCGGGUAUAACCCAAUAGCCGGAACAAUACCUAAUACCCUUAAGCUAAACCCAAACCCAAAUAAGGCCCGUUACACCCAGCAGUCCGUCAGACUCAUUAUCCCUGCUAGCCUAAGUCAGACCUAACCCAUUACAUUACAGACCUUGACCCAAAACAAAACAGCCCAAAAGGCCCAAUAGACUUAAGAGAAACAGGGAAACCCUAGGGUUUCCGAAUACUGUGGCGCCGCAAACAUUUCUGGAAGCUUCGGGGAGUGUCUGGCAACCCCCAAAUCGAGGCCACCGUUUAAUGAGUUGUCCCAAGGGGCUUCAAUGCUCAUCAACGCCCCGAUCCUCGGUCGUCCCUUGGUCUGGCCCCAAAUUACGUUAUGAAUGUCAUGACCAUCACCAAGGCUCCAUCAGCGCCGUGAUCAGUGCACGCGUCUACACCAGCAUGGUCACUGCCAGAUCCCUCGCUCGAUUGCCUGCAAGAAAAGGAAACAAACAGCAGAUACGCGAAAAAGCAGAGUAGAAAAUGGCAAGGAAAUCACAGCACAUCAGUCAAAGAUACAAGAAAUCAGAGAUUUCUUUCCUUAUGUAACAAAUCAGUAGGCUAUAAAAAAAGCCUUUGUAACCCUUGUAACGAUUACACAGAUACAGAAAUAAAGAAACGAAUACAAAUAGUUUCAAAGGUGAUAACUGAGUGACUUGUUCUCUAUUUUUUUUAGCCCAUAUAUAUGAACUGUUUAGCAAAAUACUAAGGGUAUUUGAAAAGAAGAAGAACUACCUGUUUUGGAUCUAAAGGAAUGAGGAUUUUUAAACCCUCCGAUCUUCGUAUACAGUGGCCCUUAGGGCGGCGCGUGGGCGCGUGGACCGGCACGUGGCGUACGAAGGCCAGAACCGGAGCUCCCUUCCUCUCUCUCUUUCAGAGAGAAUUUUUUAGUUUUUUUUUUAAAAAAUCGGGGUUCAAAUGAAUCUUAAGCUGAGAAGGUAGCUUAUAUAGCUUGAACGAAACGGCGUCGUUUUGCGACCCCCAGGAUCCGCGUGUUGACCCGAUUACCUGGGGAGGAUCCGCGCAUUUUUUAAAAUUGGGUUAAUUUCCCAAUCGGUCCUUCUACCCCUUUUGUGUUUACAAUUAAACUAUUUUAUUUAUGAUUUGGCCCUAUUAUUUUAUUUUAGUUUUAAUUUGACCCUGACAGUUGUUAAAUUAUAUUCUGAGAAACGUGGCCGUUUUAAGAAUAGGGCAUUUUGCCCAGUGAGUCCCUCUAAUUUUACGCGCGUUUUAAAUAGGGCCUCAAUUCAGUUUUGUUUCUUUGAAAUUCGCCCUGUAAUUUUGCUGAAUUUUAAAUUUAGUCCUAUAUUUAUUCUAUAUAUAUAUCUAUUUUAUAUAUUGAUAUUUAUUUUUAUCCUUAUUAUUUAUAUUAUAUACUAUAAGAUUAUUUUAUUAUACAUAUAUUAUUAUUCUUCAUAUUACCUAUUAUUUUUCAAAUUAUUUUACAUCAUUAUUUUUUAUAUUAUUAUAUUUUUACUUGUAUUAUAUGUUAAUUAUUUAUACAUAUAAACUUUCAUUAUUUUAUAUUAUAUCUAUUAUAUAUCUUAUUUCCUAUAUAUUUAAAUUAUAUUUUAUAACAUUUAUUUUAUUUUAUUUUUAUUCUAUAUUUUUUAUAUAUAUGUUAUGUGUAUCAUAUAUUAUCUAUUAUAUUAUUCAUUAAGAUUUGUAAAUUAAAUUACAUUUUAAACUCAUAUUAUAUAUAUUAAAUUAUUAAUUAUGUAUUAUUUUAUUUUAAAAUGAUGUUUUGUGAUAUGUAUUAUUUUAUAAAUCCUUUUACCUACUUUUAUUUUAUAUAUAUUUUUAUAUAAUUAUUAUUCUCUUAUAAAUAUUUUGUUAUUAUAUUUUAUAUAUUAUGUAGCAAAUACUAUUUUAAAAUUAUUAUUAAAAUUUAGGUCUUUAUUUGUGUUAUGUGUAUACUUUGUUGACAAUAAUUUAUUCCAUUGUUUUUAUAUUGCAUAUAUCAUGCGUUAUUUUAUAUUUAUUAUUUGAUAUUACAUUUCAUGAGCAUAUACAAUGAUAUUAUAUUACUCUUUUGUAUGCCAUACAUUAUUUAAUUAUUGCUUUCUUAUAUAUAACGUGCAUUAUUUAAUUAUCACUUUGUAUGUUUGUAUAUCUUGUUUAUUCAUUCUCAAUACAUGCUAUAUAUAUAUCUAUGUAUGCAUAUUGUUACUAUUUGCUUUAUAUGUAUUAUUUUAUAUGUAUAUAUCUAAUGCACGAUCUUUAUAUCAUAGUAUUCAUUUUUAAAUGCACGUAUUAUUUACCUACUACAAUAAUAUGUUACUAUGUAUGAUUUAUAAUGCAAUAUAAUUCCUCACACAUCACCAUUUUUUUAAAAAAAGAGCUCCAAGGUUUUCAAAAAAAUAUAAAGGCAAUGCUUGAUGUUUGGAAAUUUCGGGAAAGUAGUGCCCUAACUUAUCGGUUUGCGACUCUUCUCGUUGAGUUCGAAUAAUCAAAUACCCUUUUAAGUUUUUAAAGGUUUUCAAAAUGUAAGUGACUGUCUUGGAAUUUCAAAGAAAUAUGACCAAACUUACUGGAUGUGGCGUUUUGUUGUUUCAAGAUAGGGAUUUUCGAAAGGCUAACUCAAUGUCAAUAUUUUACGAGUGAGUUCCAAUUUUCAAAAUCCAAAAUAUUUCAAAGAGGAUUGCGUCUUAAAAUUUCUAAUUUCCGACCUUAAAGACAUUUGAUAAUCAAUUUGGUACCAAUUUUUGGGCGUUACGAGGGUGCUAACCCUUCCUCGUACGUAACCGACUCCCGAACUCGUUCUUUUGAUUUCGUAGACCAAAACCGAUGAUUUUAAAAUAAAAUUGAUCUAAAGGUGAUCCAAUCACACCUAAAAAGCUUGGUGGCGACUCCCGUUUUCAUUUUUUUAAAGUCGAUUCCCAUUUUCUAAAACUCGAUUUGAAAAUGAUUUCGACAGCUUGGCGACUCCACUGCGGACUAAUAAGAGAGUCAAGCCGUGUAAUUGAUUAUCUCUUGUCUUAAUGUCGGAAAUUAAAAAUUUUAAAAUUUAAUUUUCUUUGCAUUACAUGUGUUUGUGUUAUUGCAUGUGUUGCUAUAUUCUAAUACGCAUUGCAUUUGCAUGACCGUUGUGGUCACACCCUUAAGUGGGAGUGAGAAGCUACGCCUUCGUGAGGUUUUCGCCUCCGUGCAGGAUAGUGGAUCACUUUUGGGAUACAUCCGUACCUAUGGUUUCGUGAGAUUUUCAUCUCCGUGUAGCCAUAGGGAAAUGUGUCCCCCUGAACUGAACUCGAUUCAAAUGAGCCUAUAAUGGGUGAGGAUCGAGGAAUCUGCUGGUUCAGGUACCUCAACUUUAGAACUAAACCACAUAUAGAAGGACCGUAAGAGCUCAACCUAGAUAGAAUUAUACCGUAAUUAUUACCCUUACAGGUUAUCUUUGAGUUUAUUGUUAUCAUGUGAUACUAACUAUCUCUUUUCUUUUGUUGCAUAUCAUUUCGCAUUUAAAAGGUAUCAAUUCGCGGUCAGUGUCUAAAUUAGAGAGUUUUAUUAUAGAGAACGGACUUCUUGAUAGAGUGGAGAGCAAUGCCAACGUCCAUAGAUGGUCUGAGCAAACUCAGUUAGAAAAGGGAGAUAGUAUAGCUGUGGGAUAUAUGUCGGAGCUGUCAGGAUAUACUCGCAUCAGUGUCACGCAGGAUAAUCUCCAAGAACUUAAGGAGAUUUGGGAUCAAUGGGGCAACGAGACUAAACAGUUAUUCUAUGGUAAUUACGUAGAUUUACCUUACUUGCUCGAUGUUCAAAUAGAUGAGCACUUGUUCCGAGCCCUCGCUCAGUUUUGGAAUCCAGCGUAUAGUUGCUUUACUUUUGGGGAGGUAGACUUGGUGCCUACCGUAGAGGAGUACACUGCCUUGUUACGUUGUCCCAGGUUCCAGGUUGAUAGAAUCUAUUCUCGAGCUGCUAAUGUCCCUACCUUUUGGAAGAAAUUGAUGACUAUUACAGGGAUGAGUGAGCAGUGGAUUACGACCAGAAUUAAAGAGAACGGUGAGUGCAAGUGCAUUUCAUGGGACGCUUUGAAGGGUCUGAUUUUGAUGCAUCCCGAUGAAACAAAGAGGGUAGAUGUUUUUGCCUUAAGUUUGUAUGGAUUGAUGGUGUUCCCUAGGGCUUUGGGAUAUGUGGAUGAGGCAACCACGGAUCUUUUCCAUAGACUCAGUAAGAGGGUCACUUCAGUCCCUGCAAUUUUGGCAGAGACAUUCAGGUCCUUAGGCACAUGUAGAAAAGCUGGUGCAGGCAGGUUUGUUGGUUGUGUACAAUUGCUUCUAGUUUGGUUCUAUAGUCAUUUUCAAUUGGUAGAUAAGGUCGUUUGUCGGGUUUUCUUCGAGGAUUACUCACCGCUGAAGGGCAUAGUCGCUUCAACUAGGAGAGUUGAUGUUCCAGAGGAGAAUUGGAUAGCACUACUUCAAAAUCUUCAGUCGAAAGAUGUUGAGUGGAGAGCUCCAUGGAUGAUUCCUGGUGAGAUUCUUUACCGUUGCGGCAGUUUCGAUUGGGUCCCUUUAUUGGGAAUUUGGGGUGCCAUUGGUUAUGCCCCCUUGCUCGUGUUAAGGCAAUUCGAUUUGAGGCAGUUCGUGCCAGCAACUCAUGGGCUAACUCAAAGUGAGUUCGCAUAUAGAGGAGCUGAUUACAAGAAAAGGGUCGGUGAGAUCUCUAGCGCUUGGAACAAGGCGUGCCGAUUGAAAGGAGUAGCUAUUGGCCCUGCUACGACUCCAGAAUAUGUUGAAUGGAGAGGUAGAAGGAUCAAUGAUAACAUUCCUGAGCCAAAUAUGGAAAGAGCUCGACCGAUGGAGGAAUAUCUGCAAGUGAUGCCCUCGGAGUUAGAAAUUAUGAAGCAAGAAUUUGAGAGGAAAAAUCUGGAGCUCGAGAAAAGGAUAGCAAAGCUUGAAGAAGAAAAAAUGUACUUGAGUUUAGAUAUUGAUGUCCAGAAGAUGGAGGUCGAAAAAAAAAGAAAGGAAGGAAAAGAGGAAGAUUGAAGAGGAUAGAGAUGACUUGAAGGAAUACUACAAAAAGGCACAGGUAUCCUUGAGAAGAGCGAAAAUAGGAGGGUCUUCAGAUCAAUUGCAGAAAGAGGUCCAAGAAGGAAAGGCAAGAGCUGAGUACUGGGAGAAGAAGUUUCAAGAGAUGCAAUCGCGAAAUUUGGCAUUAGAAGAAGAGAAUAAAGGGUUGAAGUCUAAAGUAACUGAGCUUGGAAGAUCCCUUCGAUGGCAUCGCAACCAUGAUUCUACGGUCGAGUUAAAAGAGCUAAAGAGUAAAGUUGAAGAUUUGGAAGCAGCAUUGCAGGAAAGUAAACUUCAGAUCGAGCAACUCGAGACACAAGGAGAUUAUCUAAAGGGAGAGCUUCAUCAGUCUAGAGGGCAGAUUAGAGAAAUGGAUCAUGUCAUGGAAGAAGCCAUAGCUCAGAUUCGAGAGGUUGCUGAAUAUGUGCGAGACUUGGUUGUACGAGCCGAGGUAUUGAGUAUGAUGUGUGGGUCGUCGUCAGACAUCGGAAAAGAGUUAGCCCUUUUAUUAGAUAAAGUUAAAACUUUGGGCAUUAGGGCGAAAGCAUACUUGUAAUCCAUUUAUAUGUAAAGAUAUUCUUUUUCUAAAUGAAGUUUUCUAAAUGAGAUUGAAUCGAGAUUGAUGCCUUUGUUGCAUUCAUACAUUUGCAUUACAUCAUAUCAUAUGCAUUCAAGGUUAUAGAAAGACCCUAAUUAGUUAAAGUUUCUUUAUAAAGGUAGAAAAGAAAAACUGGAAAUUACGCAUUCUUACGGCACUCGCACUAAAACUAAGAACAUGGAUCAAAGGUUUGAGCAGUUGCAAAAGGAUAUGCAAGACCAGUUGCAAGAGCAGUUGGCUAAAAUGCAGAAUGAGAUGAGGGAGCAAAUGAUGGAAGCUCAGAGGAAUAUAAUGGCCGAAAUGGCUCAGUUACUGAGGGCCACUGAUAAAGGAAAGGCUCCUAUGGCCAUCAUUGAAGAGGAAAAUGAGGGUCCUCUUCUAGGUUUUACACCGCCGCAUGUAUCAUUGCAAACCGAGGCACCUCCUAGAAGGCCAUCUACUACUGUGAGGCCUCAGCAUGGGCUAAUCGAUGCUGGUAUCCAUGUGAAUUUUUCGGUUGGUUCAGGGCUUAAUAUGGGUGACAAUCUUACUAAUCCUCUUGUUCCUGAUCUAGAUAUGGUGAAAAAGGAAUAUUUGAAGGCCGAAGCUGCAAGGUAAUUAGAUGAACGCUGUAGAUGGUUAGAAGAAAAGUUCAAGGCUUUGGAAGGCACUGGCAAUAAUCAUGGGGAUGAUGCCAAGGACUUAAGUCUAGUCCCAAACCUAGUGUUACCUCACAAAUUCAAAAUGCCAGAAUUUGAAAAAUACAAUGGUACUACUUGCCCAGAGGCCCACAUCACAAUGUUUUGUAGAAGGAUGACGGGGUAUGUAAACAAUGAUCAGCUGUUGAUCCAUUGUUUUCAAGAUAGUUUGAUAGGUGCGGCAGCCAGAUGGUACAAUCAGUUGACCGGGCUAGAAUAAGUUCAUGGAGGGAUCUUGCAUAAGCCUUCAUGCAACAGUAGAAUCAUGUAACAGACAUGACCCCUGACAGGAUUACCCUGUAAAACAUGGAGAAGAAGCCUAAUGAGAAUUUUAGGCAAUAUGCACAGAGGUGGAGAGAGGUAGCGAUAGAGGUUCAACCACCACUGUUGGAGAAGGAGACCACUAUGUUAUUCAUUAAUAUUUUGAAAGCCCUAUUUAUUACUCAUAUGAUUGGAAGCACUACUAAAAGUUUUGCGGACAUAGUUAUGGCAGGAGAGAUGAUAGAGAAUGCCAUAAGAGGGGGAAGAAUUGAAGGAGAGGGAGUCAAAAGAUCAGCCCUAAGAAGAAAAGACAAUGAGGUAAACAAUACAAGUGGUUUUAAUUCAAAAGCAGUCACAGUUAGCCAGCCCAAAGUAGCCACAGUUGGGCAACAAGUCUCUUAAAAGCAGGAAUCCAACACUAGGUAUGAGAGGAUGCAAUUUACACCUAUACCUGUGACGUAUAGGGAACUCUAUCAAAAUCUAUAUGAUGCGCAUGCUAUAGCCCCUUUCCAUUUAAAACCAUUACAGCCUCUGUAUCCUAAAUGGUAUGAUGCAAAUGCCAGAUGUGAGUAUCAUGCUGGAAUAUCGGGGCACUUAAUCGAGAAUUGUACUGGAUUCAAGAAAGCCGUAGAGAGGUUGAUCAAGAAUGGGGUUUUAAAAUUUGAGAGUACCUCAAAUACUGAGAAUCCUUUGCCAAACCAUGACAAUCAGGGAGUAAAUGCCAUUGGUGAAGCCGGUGAAAAAAGGGAAAAGGAAAAUGUUGAUGAGAUAAGGAUGCCUAUGAGGGUAAUCUGGAAGGAGAUGAUGAAGAAAGGUAUGUUGACCUUUAAAAAUACGAAAGAAAUAAUGUGGGAUUACGGUGAGUUUCGUGAAGAUUGCGAGGAAUUCAAGGCCUUGGUGCAAGGCUUCAUAGACAACAAAGAGCUACAGGUUUAUGAAGGUAGCUCUAGUGAAAAGCAAGUAUGUGUGUUGGAAAAUGAACAGCAAAGAACCAACAGACCAAGGAUCAUUAUCUCCUUGCCAGGGAAUAAUGAAAUAAGGACACCAUCAGCGCCCAAGGUUAUUAUCCAUACACCUACUCCUUUCCCUUACAAGGAUAGCAAGAAAGUACCAUGGAGUUAUGACUGUAGCGUGACGGUGCCGGGAGAAGGAAACAUAGCCAGCGCAUCUAAAGAUGUACAAGAGGAAGGUUCCCAUACGUGAAGUGGGAAGCGUUAUGAUAUGGGGGACGUCAGGGUGGAGCCCACAAAAUCUAAGAAUGCUGAAAUUGAGAAAAAGAGUGAAGUACCUGUUAACGAGCCGGUGAGAGAGGAGGAAGCUAAGGAAUUUCUAAAGUUUCUUAAGCAUAGUGAGUACAGUAUGGUCGAGUAGUUGCGUAAGCAACCAGCGCGUAUAUCGAUUUUAGCCUUACUGCUAAGCUCUGAAGUGCAUCGAGAAGCGUUGUUGAAGGUACUCAACGAGACAUAUGUCACUCAUGAUAUAUCUGUCAAUAAGUUGGACCGGUUGAUAAAUAACAUCAAUGCUGAUAAUUUCAUCUACUUCAAUGAUGAUCAAAUUCCACCUGGGGGCAUAGGGUUAACUAAGGCUUUGCACAUCACCACUCGUUGCAAAGGAUACACGUUUCCAAGUGUACUCGUUGAUAAUGGGUCCGCUUUGAACGUCCUUCCAUUAUCCACAUUCAACAGAUUACCUAUUGACAGUUCACACAUGAAGACAUGUCAUAAUGUGGUAAGAGCCUUUGACAGAACUGAAAGGAAAGUAAUGGGACGAAUUGAUAUCCCUCUGGAGAUUAGACCAAAUACGUAUGAAGUUGACUUCUUGGUAAUGGAUAUCAAGCCCUCCUAUAAUUGUUUGUUGGGGAGGCCAUGGAUACACUCGGCAGGAGCGGUGCCUUUUUUACUGCGCCAAAAAUUGAAGUUGGUGACAGAUGGACGCUUGAUAACCAUCAAUGCAGAGGAGGACAUCAUAGCAGUCGUCACUAGUAAACCUCCUUAUGUGGAGACAAAUGAGGAGGCUAUUGAGUGUUCUUUUCGUUCUUUAGAAAUUGUUAAUACUACCUUCAUUUCGGAGGGAAGCGAGGUGCUGGUUCCCAGGAUGUCUAGAGCAACAAGGAUGGCCCUACAAAUAAUGAUGGGGAAAGGAGCAUUGCCAGGAAAAGGACUAGGAAAAUAGUUGCAAUGAGGGAUUCAAGUCCCAAAAUUGAUGGAGAAGAAGGAUCGCUUUGGUUUGGGUUUUAAGCCAGACCAUAAACAAAAGAGACAAGAGAUGAAAAAGCGUCAAGUAAGAAGGAAGGCGCAUUUGAACGGAGGAGAAGUAGAGUGGGAACUGAUGACAUUCCCACCUAUAUCCAAAACCUUUAAGUCAGGAGGGUUGCUAGUAAAAGAGAGUCAUCAAAUCAAUAUUGUACAUAAUGAGUGGUUUGGACAGGAAAACCUUGAGGGUAUUCACCCUUACGAACCGGGGAGCUCUCUGAACAAUUGGACUGCGGAGGAUCUUCCUGUAGUCUUUAGAAAUUUUUCAGAGUAAUUCUCGAAACAUGUUUAUUACUCUAGGGCCUAGGAGUAGUAAGAUUACAUUUUGUGAAAAUAGGCCUAUGUUCAUAUAUUAUUAUUCAAAUAAAACAUAACUUUUACCAAUUUAAAAGAGUAUUGUCUCAUUUUUAUCAACCAAUAUUUCUUUAAAUUCUAACAAUUCUUAUUCUUUUAUUCAUAGCACAUAAACGAUCAUUCUCAAAUUCAUUCAUUCUUUAUAUAUUCUUUCAUACCCCUUACAGGUCUCUAGAUAUCAAUGAUAUGAGCGCUAAUACUGCCGUUCCUGAUUUCUCUUGUGAGCAAGACAUGUGUUUAGAGGAGCCUUAGGAUUUUGAAGAUGUUCAAGAUUGUGACGUAUCUCUCGAUCUAUUAAGAAUGGUAAAACAGGAGGAGAAACAAAUCAUGCCACAUGAAAAAGAGGCAAUAGAUAAUAUAGCCCUAGAGGAAGGGAAGGAGGUCAAAAUUGGAACACUGAUCGCUAAUGACACAAGGCGUAGCUUGAUUGAGUUGCUUCAGGAAUUCAAGGAUAUCUUUGCAUGGUCUUAUCAGGAUAUGCCCGGAUUGAGUACUGAUAUUGUAGUACAUCGUCUUCCGAUAAGACAAGAAUGUAGACCGGUCCAACAGAAGUUGCGAAGGAUGCGGCCAAACAUUGUCCUGAAAAUAAAAGAUGAGGUUAAGAAGCAGUUUGAUGCAGGAUUUCUGCAGGAAGUGAAGUACUCUGAAUGGGUAGCUAAUAUUGUACCUGUUCCUAAGAAAGACGGGAAGGUACGAAUGUGCGUUGAUUACAGAGAUCUAAACAAAGCAAGCCCAAAGGAUAAUUUUCCUCUACCACAUAUCGACACUUUAGUAGACAACACAGCGGGAUAUUCGUUGUUCUCCUUCAUGGACGGCUUCUCAGGAUACAAUCAGAUAAAGAUGCAUCCAGAUGAUAUGGAUAAAACUACUUUCAUAACAUUAUGGGGCACCUUUUGUUAUAAAGUAAUGCCGUUUGGGUUGAAGAACGCAGGGGCAACAUACCAACGAGCCAUGGUAAACUUGUUUCACGACAUGAUGCAUAAGGAUAUUGAGGUAUACGUUGAUGAUAUGAUCGCCAAGUCGCGAACAGAAAAAGAACACAUUGAGGUCUUGAGAGGAUUGUUCUUAAGAUUGAGAAAAUUUCAGUUGAAGCUCAAUCCAGCAAAGUGCACCUUUGAAGCCAGAUCGGGGAAGUUAUUAGGCUUCGUAGUCAGUAAAAAGGGAAUUGAAGUUGACUCAGACAAGGUCAGAGCCAUACGGGAGUUGCCUCCACCACGUACUCAAAAAGAAGUUCGAGGAUUCCUAGGAAGGUUGAAUUACAUUGCUCGGUUCAUUUUACAAUUGACCAAGAAAUGUGAUCCUAUCUUUCGUCUCCUCAGAAAGCACAAUCAAGGUGCUUGGGAUGAAGAAUGCCAGAAUGCUUUUGAGAAAAUCAAGCAGUAUUUGUUGAAUGCUCCAAUGUUAUCUCCGCCUAGUCUAGAUAAACCGUUAAUACUAUACUUGUCAGUGUUUAGCAAUUCUAUGGGAUGUGUGCUUGGUCAGCAUGACGAGUCAGGGAAAAAGGAAAAGGCAAUUUAUUAUCUCAGUAAGAAAUUUACUGAUUGUGAAAUGAGAUAUUCACUAAUCGAAAAGUUGUGCUGUGCGUUGAUUUGGACCACACGGAGAUUAAGACAAUACAUGCUAUACCAUACAACUUGGCUCAUCUCAAAAUUAGAUCCAUUAAAAUACAUGAUGGAAUCAACGGCUCUAAAUGGAAGAAUGGCGAGAUGGCAAAUUUUGCUUUCAGAGUUUGAUAUAGUUUAUGUAAGUCAGAAGGCUAUCAAAGGAAGUGCGGUGGCAGACUUCUUGGCCAGUAGAGCUUUAGAGGAUUACGAGCCAUUGAAUUUUGAUUUUCCAAAUGAGGAGCUAAUGUGUAUAGCAGCAACUGAAGAUUCUCCAUGGAAGCUAAAUUUUGAUGGGGCUUCUAAUGCAGUCAGAAAUGGAAUUGGGGCAGUCUUGGUAUCCCCGAAUGGCGACCAUUACCUGUUCAUGUGCAAGUUGGAUUUUGACUGUACAAAUAAUAUGGCUGAAUACGAAGCAUGCAUCAUGGGGCUCCAAGCGGCCAUAGAAAGAGGCAUAAAAACCCUAGAAGUAUAUGGAGAUUCUGCGUUAGUAAUCUAUCAGUUAAGAGGUGAAUGGGAGACAAGAGACCCUAAGUUGAUCAAUUAUCGAAUGGUAGUUUUAGGGUUACUAAGAGAGUUCGAUGACAUCACCUUCAACUAUCUCCCACGAGAUGAGAAUCAGAUGGCAGAUGCUUUAGCAACCUUGGCUUCACUGAUUAAGGCAAACAAAGAGGAAGAGAUGAGACCAAUUCAAAUGAGUGUCUAUGAAUUUUCAGCUAGCUGUUGUAACCUUGAAGAGGAAGAAAAGGAUGACAAUCCUUAGUAUCAGGAUAUAUUGCGAUAUGUAAGAGAUCGUAAAUAUCCAGCACAGGCAUCCGAAAAUGACAAACGAACCCUGAGAAGAUUAGCUUGUGACUAUGUUUUGGACGGGGAUGUUCUGUAUAAGAGAAGGAAAUACCAAGUACUUUUGAGAUGUGUCAAUGCUGUGGAAGCCAAGCUAAUUCUAGAAGAGGUCCAUGAAGGUGCAUGUGGUACGCAUGCAAAUGGGUUCACGAUGGCAAGACAAAUCAUGAGGUUUGGCUAUUACUGGGCCACUAUGGAAGGAGACUGUAUCAAUUAUGCCAAAAAAUGCCAUAAGUGUCAGAUUUAUGGGGACAAAAUUCAUGUACCACCCUCACCUUUACAUGUCAUGACGUCUCCAUGGCCAUUUUCCAUGUAGGGCAUGGAUAUCAUCAGACCAAUAUCGCCGAAAGCUUCGAAUGGACAUCGGUUUAUUUUCGUAGUUAUUGACUACUUUACAAAAUGGGUAGAGGUUGCUUCUUACGCAAAUGUUACUAAGUCAGCUAUAAGUCGAUUUUUGAAGAAGGAAAUCAUUUGUCGGUAUGGAGUGCCUGAGAGGAUCAUAUCCGACAAUGUAUUGAAUUUGAACAACAAAACGAUAGCAGAGGUUUCGACCAGUUCAAAAUCAAGCAUCACAACUCUUCACCCUAUCGUCCAAAGAUGAAUGGGGCAGUGGAGGCUGCCAAUAAAAACAUUAAGAAAAUAGUGGGAAAGAUGACUGAGACUUAUAGAGAUUGGCAUGAAAAGCUACCGUUUUCACUCUUGGCUUAUCGAACAUCUGUUAGAACUUCUACUGGGGCAACUCCGUUCUCGUUAGUUUACUGGAUGGAAGCAGUUUUACCUAUUGAAGUGGAAAUACCCUCUCUCCGAAUUUUAACAGAGAUAAGGUUAGAUGAAGCUGAAUGGGUUCAGUCUCGAUAUGACCAGCUAAACUUGAUUGAGGAAAAGAGGCUGAAGGCUAUCCAACAUAGUCAGAUGUACCAGAAGCGUAUGAUACGAGCUUAUGAUAAAAAAGUUCGUCCAAGGGAAUUCCAUGAGGGGGACCUUGUGCUAAAGAAAAUCAUUCCCAUUCAAAAGGACUUUAGAGGAAAGUGGAUGCCAAAUUGGGAGGGGCCAUACGUCGUGAAGAAGGCUUUUUCUGGUGGUGCAUUGAUUUUGACAGAAAUGGAUGGAAAAAGCCUACCCAAUCCGGUGAACUCAGACUCAGUUAAAAAUACUUUGUCUAAAAGCGAAAAGAAUCCAAGGUGAAAACCUGCAAAAGGGCGCCUUGAAUUUUGAAAAAAAAAUGGAUAGGCCAAUGUGAAAACCCACAAAGGGCACCUUGUGACUAAAGGGAUUUUGAGUUGAAAACCUGAAAGGGCAGCUCAAAUUUUGAAGGGCAUACAGCAAACUUGCUAUAUUUGACUUGACAGAGAGUGAGGCACAGUGUACAUUGGGGCAUCAACAAAGUACUUUGGAUCUUUUAAACACAUGUCGAACUCAAGAAAGGCUUCGGGGAACUAAUGUAUAGAUGCUCAAGCGGCGAUAUUUAUCCUGUUUGCUGUCUUUAGAUUCUAUUUCUUCUUAAAGAUAUGCUAUCAAACUUAUUUCCUUUGUACUGUUAACAAUUCGAAUCCAAUUAUUCUCAAAGAUUUACUCAUCUCCCGAUAUUUUUUAAGUAUGUUGCAUUGAAAUAAUGAUAGAUGAGCUAAAAUAUUUUCACAAAAGAAGUUUUACACAUCACUUUGGAAUUUCUAGAUAAUACAAGAAACUAAAACAGGACAAUUGUUCGAGAAAUUCACGUAAGUAAGGAAUGAAGGAACUCGAGAGAUUUCUUUCUUCCAGUUCAAAAAGAAAUGGAUGAUUCAAUUCUUACAGACAUCCUCAAUAGAUCAUAGCAUUGGAGGAAGGCCUACAAGCUGAGUAAGAAUAAAGUUUUGAGAAAGAGAAAUGAAGGAAUGAAUAAUGACACCUGAGAUAGGGGUUAUAUUCACAGCACUUUGCAUCAUAACAUGUUAAGGGCAUUUGACUCAUUUCAAUCAUAGCAUACUUAGGCAUAGGCACAUACUCAUCCUACAGGUCAUGAAGAUCAAAGAUUUCAACAUGGUAGCCUAUGCUUAUAGGAAAUAAAUUGAAGACAACAGAUCUAAACUUCAGACAUUUAUGUUGAAGCAGAUCCAAGAUGAUUUGGUAUUCUUGUGUUUACAAGAAACAAGUCGAGGACAUAGCAGAUUUGACUCUCAGACGUUCUCAAAGAUAGCAGAUCUAACCUUCAGAUGUUUAUACUGAAGCAGAUCCAAGAUGAUUUGGUAUUUUUGUGUUUACAAGAAACAAAUCGAGGACAUGGCAGAUUUGACUCUCAGAUGUUCUCAAAUAUAGCAGAUCUAACCUUCAGAUGUUUAUACUGAAGCAGAUCCAAGAUGAUUUGGUAUUCUUAUGUUUACAAGAAACAAAUCGAGGACAUAGCAGAUUUGACUCUCAGGCGUUCUCAAAUAUAGCAGAUCUAACUUUCAGAUGUUUAUACUGAAGCAGAUCCAAGAUGAUUUGGUAUUUUUGUGUUUACAAGAAACAAAUCGAGGACAUAGCAGAUUUGACUCUCAGACGUUCUCAAAUAUAGCAGAUCUAACCUUCAGAUGUUUAUACUGAAGCAGAUCCAAGAUGAUUUGGUAUUCUUGUGUUUACAAGGAACAAAUCGAGGACAUUGCAGAUAUGACUCUCAAAUGUUCUGAAACAGACUCAAGAUGAUUAGACAUCCUUGCAAAUUGAAGAAGUAGAAUCAGUGUCUCUAUGUUCGGCGGAAAGCAGAUUGAAGAUCAUAGAAUCGAUCAAAUUUGGGUCUUUCUAUGAAUCUUUGCUUGAUUCCUGUUACACAGCAAUAAACAAAGAGGGGCAGCUGUAAUAGCCCAAAUUUGACCGGGUUUAAAUAAAGAAAAAAUUAGAUAAAUAAAUAAACAUUUAUUAAAAAAGUCCAUUGAAAGUCCAGGCCUACUGUUGCUACCCAAAGCCCAAAUACAAAAACCCAUAUCCGGGUAUAACCCAAUAGCCAGAACAAUACCUAAUACCCCUAAGCUAAACCCAAACCCAAAUAAGACCCGUUACACCCAGCAGCCCGUCAGACUCAUUAUCCCUGCUAGCCUAAGUCAGACCUAACCCAUUACAUUAUAGACCUUGACCCAAAACAAAACAGCCCAAAAGGCCCAACAGACUUUAGAGAAACAGGGAAACCUUAGGGUUCUUGAAUACUGUGGUGCCGCAAACAUUUCUGGAAGCUUCGGGGAGUGUCUGGCAACCCCCAAAUUGAGGCCACCGUUUAAUGAGUUGUCCCAAGGGGCUUCAAUGCUCAUCAACGCCCCGAUCAUCGGUCGUCCCUUGGUCUGGCCCCAAAUUACGUCAUGAAUGUCAUGACCAUCACCAAGGCUCCAUCAGCGCCGUGAUCAGUGUACGCGUCUACACCAGCAUGGUCACUACUGGAUCCCUCGCUCGAUUGCCUGCAAGAAAAGGAAACAAACAGCAGAUACGCAAAAAAGCAGAGUAGAAAAUGGCAAGGAAAUCACAGCAGAUCAGUCAGAGAUACAAGAAAUCAGAGAUUUCUUUCCUUAUGUAACAAAUCAGUAGGCUAUAAAAAAAGCCUUUGUAACCCUUGUAACGAUUACACAGAUACAGAAAUAAAGAAACGAAUACAAACAGUUUCAAAGGUGAUAAUCGAGUGACUUGUUCUCUAUUUUUUUUAGCCCAUAUAUAUGAACUGUUUAGCAAAAUACUAAGGGUAUUUGAAAAGGAGAAGAACUACCUGUUUUGGAUCUGAAGAAACGAGGAUUUUUAAACCCUCCGAUCUUCGUAUACAGUGGCCCUUAGGGCGGCGCGUGGGCGCGUGGAUCGGCACGUGGCGUACGAAGGCCAGAACCGGAGCUCCCUUCCUCUCUCUCUUUCAGAGAGAAUUUUUUAGUUUUUUUUUAAAAAAUCGGGGUUCAAAUGAAUCUUAAGCUGAGAAGGUAGCUUAUAUAGCUUGAACGAAACGGCGUCGUUUUGUGACCCACAGGAUCCGCGUGUUGACCCGAUUACCCGGGGAAGAUCCGCGCAUUUUUUAAAAUUGGGUUAAUUUUCCAAUCGGUCCUUCUACCCUUUUUGUGUUUACAAUUAAACUUUAUUUUAUUUAUGAUUUGGCCCUAUUAUUUUAUUUUAGUUUUAAUUUGGCCCUGACAGUUGUUAAAUUAUAUUCUGAGAAAUGUGGCCGUUUUAAGAAUAGGGCAUUUUGCCCAGUGAGUCCCUCUAAUUUUACGCGCGUUUUAAAUAGGGCCUCAAUUCAGUUUUGUUUCUUUGAAAUUCGCCCUGUAAUUUUGCUGAAUUUUAAAUUUAGUCCUAUAUUUAUUCUAUAUAUAUAUAUUUUAUAUAUUGAUAUUUAUUUUUAUCCUUAUUAUUUAUAUUAUAUACUAUAAGAUUAUUUUAUUAUACAUAUAUUAUUAUUCUUCAUAUUACCUAUUAUUUUUCAAAUUAUUUUACAUCAUUAUUUUUUAUAUUAUUAUAUUUUUACUUGUAUUAUAUGUUAAUUAUUUAUACAUAUAAACUUUCAUUAUUUUAUAUUAUAUCUAUUAUAUAUCUUAUUUCCUAUAUAUUUAAAUUAUAUUUUAUAACAUUUAUUAUAUUUUAUUUUUAUUCUAUAUUUUAUAUAUAUAUAUGUUAUGUGUAUCAUAUAUUAUCUAUUAUAUUAUUCAUUAAGAUUUGUAAAUUAAAUUACAUUUUAAACUCAUAUUAUAUAUAUAUUAAAUUAUUAAUUAUGUAUUAUUUUAUUUUAAAAUGAUGUUUUAUGAUAUGUAUUAUUUUAUAAAUCCUUUUACCUACUUUUAUUUUAUAUAUAUUUUUUAUAUAAUUAUUAUUCUCUUAUAAAUAUUUUGUUAUUAUAUUUUAUAUAUUAUGUAGCAAAUACUAUUUUAAAAUUAUUAUUAAAAUUUAGGUCUUUAUUUGUGUUAUGUGUAUACUUUGUUGACAAUAAUUUAUUCCAUUAUUUUUAUAUUGCAUAUAUCAUGCGUUAUUUUAUAUUUAUUAUUUGAUAUUACAUUUCAUGAGCAUAUACAAUGAUAUUAUAUUACUCUUUUGUAUGCCAUACAUUAUUUAAUUAUUGCUUUCUUAUAUAUAUCGUGCAUUAUUUAAUUAUCACUUUGUAUAUUUGUAUAUCUUGUUUAUUCAUUCUCAAUAAUAUAUCUAUGUAUGCAUAUUGUUACUAUUUGCUUUAUAUGUAUUAUUUUAUAUGUAUAUAUCUAAUGCACGAUCUUUAUAUCAUAGUAUUCAUUUUUAAAUGCACGUAUUAUUUACCUACUACAAUAAUAUGUUACUAUGUAUGAUUUAUAAUGCAAUAUAAUUCCUCACACAUCAUCAUUUUUUAAAAAAAAGGGCUCCAAGGUUUUCAAAAAAAUAUAAAGGCAAUGCUUGAUGUUUGGAAAUUUCGGGAAAGUAGUGCCCUAACUUAUCGGGUUGCAACUCUUCUCGUUGAGUUCGAAUAAUCAAAUACCCUUUUAAGUUUUUAAAGGUUUUCAAAAUGUAAGUGACUGUCUUGGAAUUUCAAAGCAAUAUGUCCAAACUUACUGGAUAUGUCGUUUUGUUGUUUCAAGAUAGGGAUUUCCGAAAGGCUAACUCAAUGUCAAUAUUUUACGAGUGAGUUCCAAUUUUCAAAAUCCAAAAUAUUUCAAAGAGGAUUGCGUAUUAAAAUUUCUAAUUUCUGACCUUAAAGACAUUUGAUAAUCAAUUUGGUACCAAUUUUUGGGCGUUACGAGGGUGCUAACCCUUCCUCGUACGUAACCGACUCCCGAACUCGUUCUUUUGAUUUCGUAGACCAAAACCGAUGAUUUUAAAAUAAAAUUGUUCUAAAGGUGAUCCAAUCACACCUAAAAAGAUUGGUGGCGACUCCCGUUUUCAUUUUUUUAAAGUCGAUUCCCAUUUUCCAAAACUCGAUUUGAAAAUGAUUUCGACAUUUUUUAGGCCAAAUUUCUCUCUUCUCACCCUUUUCUCUCUCUUAUUUUCCUGGUAUUAUAGUUUAUCUUGUUGAAUUUUACAUUGUUUUGAUGUUGUCUAUGGAAAUGAUUUAAUAGUGAUUGCUGCAAGAGGAGGGAUGGAGACUUUGAGGCCUGCUUUACAGAGGUUAUACAUGACAAGGGCUUCUGCAUAUAGAGAUGCUCUUAAGAGUUUCAUAGAAGGAUAUCAAGAGGGUAUCCAGCAGAUCAUGGAGAAAGAGGAAGAUUUUUCUAAAGCACAGCAAGAAGGCAAUACUGAUACAACUUGACGGCUGAUAAGUGCAUAAUCGAAGAUGCAUGUGAGUACUUCUCCAGCAUACCUAUUGUAGAUACAAGUUUGGAGAUUUGGUGGAGCUAGGUUGGCAUGAAAUCACAAGAAUGAUACAUGUCCUGAGAAUUUUCUUGUAUUGAGAAAGUGACCUUUAGAAACUACAAGUAUAAUGGAAAUCUCCAUUGACAAUGGUGAUGCUCUUUCCUUCUGUCACAAUUUAAAUGAAAUGAGAAUGUGAAGUGUAACAUUAUAUUGUUUGUUAUAUGUAACAAAGUAUCGAUUAAAAUUAUUACUUAACUCAUAAAUUAACAUUUAAAUUAUAUCAUUAAUUCUAUUUUAGUGUCUAAAUUUUUUUAAUCACAAGCUAUUUAUUACUUUUAAUACUUUUUUUUUAUUGUAGAAUAAUUAAAUUAUUUGUUUCACUAAUGAUAUUUUAGCACAUUAAAUAUGUAUUGCAAUUUAAAAAUAAUAAGGUAAGUUUUAUAUUAUUUUUAUAAUAUUAUAUAUUAUGAUUUUUUAAUUCAUAUAAUAAUUAUUUUAUUAAGAAUGUUAUUAAAUUAUAUAAUAUUUUAUUAAAUUGUAUUUAAUAAUUAUUAUAUUAAAAAAUGAUUAAAUCAUUUAUUUUUAUUUUAUUAAAAUAUAGUUAACAAUAAUUUUAUUAAAAUUUAAUAAUAAUAACAAUAAUUAUCUAUCUAAAAAAAAUUAAAGCAUUUUCAAUGGUUGUUUUGGUUGCUUAUUACAAUGCUUUUUUUUUGUCUUGGCAGCCCUUUUUUUAUUCAUCUUGUGGAUGCUAUUAAAAUGUUUUAUUGAUCAGAGUGAUGAGGGGCGGAUCUGGGUAGAAUCACAUUUUAGGGAAAACUGAUGAUUUUAUUUCGUAAUCUUUUCAAUGUAAAUACCAGCUCCUACCAUACACUCAUUUGUUGUCUUAUUCAUGUACAGUUUCUCUUUUCUUCCCCUUUUUUUUUCGGUGGUUGAAUUAAAUAUGAGAACUAUGGGAAACUGAAUAGAAUAUUUAAGGAUAUCAAGUUAUUUCAUUAACGCAUUACUUUAACCUAGGGAUAGAUUGCAAAACCUCUGCACAUUCAAUCAUGUCCUUCUACAAUGGCGAUUUCUAGCGAAAAAAUAUUUUAGUAUUCCAAUCUUAUAGUGAAUGAUUUCUAGAGAAAAAUAUUGUAUUAUCUCAUUAACGAUUUCUAGAGAAAAAAAUAUUGUAGUAUUCCAAUCUUGAAAUUUAUUCGAGGAACAUUCCCAGAAACAUAUGAAUAUUAUGUUUAAAUGUGAAAUAUAAUUCUCAAGUUAUUUAUUACUUCUUAUAUUUUAUUUUUUAUUGUAGAAUUAUCAAAUUAUUUGUUUCACUAAUGAUAUCUUAGCAUAUUAUGUAGUGCAGUUUAAAAAUAAUAAAGUAGAUUAUAUAUUAUUUUUAUACUAUUAUAUAUUAUGAUUUUUUAAUUCAUAUAAUAAUAAUUAUAUUAAGAAUUUUAUUAAAUUAUAUUUAGUAAUAAUUAUGGUAAAAUAUGAUUAAAUUAUUUAUUAUUUUUAUUAAAUUAUUUUUAAUAAUAAUCUUAUUAAAAUUUAAUAAUAAUAACAAUAAUCAUCUACUUAAAAAAAAUUCAAUUAAGGGUAUUCUGGUCAUUUUAGUUUUUUCUUAUUCUAUUACAACAUCAUUCCAUUCAACCAAACACAAGAAUUCUAUUACAGUUCUAUUCUAUUCCAUCUAACCAAACAGUUGAAUUACUUAUUACAGUUCUAUUCCAUUACAGCUCUAUUUCAUUACAGCUCUAUUCAAUUACAGCUCUAUUCCAUUACAGUGAACCAAACGAACCCUUAGCUUUUUGAGUCAAGACUGCGACAAAGAAAAUGUUUUUCCAUUCGAAUACAAAAGGUAGGAUUAAAGAACUUUUGGUUUUUGGCUUUUAUAUUUGGAAGUGAAAAAAAUAUCAAAAUAUCCUUAUUUAUAUUAGCUAUUUAUAUUUUAAAAGGUAUAUAAAAAAUUAUUUGAAUAUCAUUUACAUUUUAUAUAUUAUUAUAUUAAAUAUUUUGAAUAUUAUUUAUUAUUAUUUUAAAUUGUUAAAAUAUUUUUAUAACUUGUACAAAUAAUUUGUAUUUCAUGUAUCAUAAUAUUAAUUAUUUAAAUAUAUAUCAUAUAAUUUAACUAAUUUUUCACUUUUGACUAUCAUAUUUAAAAAGAAUAUUUAAUCCAUCAAACCUAAUUUUUUUGUAGUAAUAGAGAACACUAAAAAUUAACAAAUUACACUUUUUCAUAGUACUUUUCUACCAAACUUUUCAAAACUAUUUUGGUUUUAUUUCCCAUUGCUUUUUAAAAGUAUCUUUUAUGACCAUAAAUAAUACUAAACAAAUAAAUUCUAAAAGUAUUUUUGAAAAACACUUUUUAACCACAAUAAUGAAUAGAAAACUAACCCUAAGUUGAUGAAAGGGUAACAUAACAACCUAUAACCAAGCCCAAAUGAGAACCUUCGGCUGAAGAACUCACCUUAAAGUAAUGGGACUGUGAUAAUUACCUUUAUUUUUUCGAUAAUUGAUAUGUAUCUUAAUGUACCCUUACUUAACACACUUUAACCAACUAAACGGUAAGUUGGGUUUGCAAGCAAAUGAUUAGCCCUUGGCAACGUGAGCCCAAACUUUUCAGUCAUAUCAAGUUCAUCAGGUAACAUCCCAUCAGGCAACUCCCAAUCAAAGCAAUGAACUAAUUGAGCUAUAAUUAGACUCAUGGUGGUCAACCCCAACUGCAUUCCAGGACAUCCUCUACGGCCACUCCCAAACGGGAUGAGUUGGAAAUCAUGUCCUCGAACGUCUAUGUUGCUAUCCUUGAACCUUUCUGGAAAGAACUCUUCAGCAUUGUUUGACCAUACUUUAUGGUCUCGCCCGAUGGACCAAACAUUCACUAAAAUCCGCGACUUCUUUGGAAUGAAAUAUCCAUCAAUGGUGAUAUCUUCUGUCGACUCACGUGGAACUAGUAAGGGCGCCACUGGAUGCAACCUUAAACUCUCUUUCAUGACCAUAUCUAAGUAAGCAAGCUUCGGUAGGUCCGACUCUUCUACCAUUCUAUGCCUUCCAACAGUUCUUUCCAGUUCUUGUUGGAGAGCAGCCAUGACUGAAGGGUGCCUUAGAAGCUCUGCAAGUGUCCACUCAAUGGCUGUAGUUGUGGUCUCAAAUGAAGCUGCCACCAUGUCCACCAUUAUGGCCUUGAUGUUUUCUCUACCAAUGAUGUACCGCUGCUCUUCAUCGUUAGGGUUAAUGGGCGUAUUCAACAAUGAAACCAUUACAUGAAAGAAAUCUGUGUAAGGUUUUUGUUCCUUGGCGUUAGUCCCUUGUAAAUGUUCAUCAAUCAUUUUGUCAAAAAUUGCGUGAAGCCCAUUGCUUGUCCUCUUAAGCCUUCUUCUAUAUCCCUGCAGUGAAACGAUAGAUGGAAUCUGUAAUAUAUUAUUUUAUUCUUCAUUACUGUCAAGUCUUUGUGAAAAUGCUAGAUUUAUUUGGUCAAUCAAAUAUUUUAAUUUUUUUUAAUUCCAACCAGAUAAUUUCUUAAGUAAGGUAACGAUAUUACCAACAUGUCACAAUUUGAGGUUGAACAAGUAUUUUAAUCUUUUAAAAACCUAUAAAAUCAAAUUAUUCAAACAUAAUUAAACUCUUAAAACACUUCUUUAUAACUAGUCUAAACUGAUUGAUUGAACCAGCAGUUGAAUAGGUUUUUUUUUUUUAUAAUUUUUAAACAAUUUAUUUAAUCGAAAUGAUUUUAAUUUGAAAAAUCAUAAGAACUGAUGUGAUGCAAAACAACUAAAAGCAUAAAAUUUGAAUUUUUUAUUUUAGAAAAAAGAAAGGGGUUGGAGUAGACUUGAUCAUGGAUCGAGUUAUUUAUCUAGGCUCGAAGGUUCGUCCGAAAUUUAGGAGGGUUUAGGCAAAAUAUUAAGUUCGAAAAAUGAGCUUGGAAAAAAAUUAGGCUCGUUUAAAAUAUGGGUUGAGUUCUAGCUUUGAACAUUCAAGGCUUGAGCCCGGUCCAACCCGUUUAUACUUUAUAUUAUGUAAGUUAGAACACAUUAAAAAAAAACCUGUAGUAAAUAUAUAAUACUACUCUAAUGUAAAUAUUAAAAUAAUAUUAAUAUGAUUAUAUAACAAAUUUCAAUAAAUAAAAAUAUAUAAAAUUAUUAAAUAUUAAAAUAAUAUAAUAUAAAUAUUUUUAAAUAAAUUAAAAUAAUAUGGAUGAGCCUAAAAUGUGCUUGGGUUAAUUUUUUUUAUAAAUUUGAGCGGGUUUGAAUAAAAUUUUAGGCUCAUAUUUUGGAUCAGACCGAACUUGGACAAAUAUAAAAUAUAUUAUUAUCAUACUUAAAGACCGACUCAUAAACACCUCUAGGUUGAAUAUUUUUGAAGCUUGAAGCUGGAUGGAGUAAUAUAUUAAAUAUUUAUUAAAUUUAUAAUUAUUUUAUUUAAAAUGUAUUAAAUGGAUAAUAUACUUAAUAUAUCUAUGCAACUGAAUUUUAUGUCACUCCCAAUUUGUAAGCCAUAACUAGGUAGUUCUUUUAAUUAUCUAAUUAUAAAAAUAAUUUUUUAUAAAUAUUAUUUACUCUCUUAAUAACCUUUCACUUUUUAAAUAUAAUAUUAUUUUAUUAAAAUAUUAUGAAAGUUAUUAUUUAUCAAAAUAUAUAAUAAGGAUCUCAACUUAUAAAAAGAGUUAUUCCAUGGAUAUGUCCUAACACAUUAUUUAUAGUUCCUAAUCAAUUAUAUAAAAUUUAACUUACAAAUUGGUACUUAAAUUAUACUGAUUUUUUUUAUCUUGGGACUUAAACUUUUUUUAGUCACAUGUGAUACCUAAACAUCAUUUUUUUUUUCAAGUUAGUACCUUUAUUAAGUAAAUCGUUAGUCAAACCGUUAAAUCUAUUUAAGAAAGAAGCUUAACCUAUAAAUUGAUACUUAAGCUAUACAUUUUUUUCAGUUUGACACCUAAACAUUUUUCUAGUUACAAGUGAUACCUAAACUACCAGGGUGAAGCCAGAAAUGAAAUUUUAAAUUUUAAUAGUCUAUAUUUUUAUAAUUUUUAAAUGAUUAAAUUAAAUUUUUAUAUAUUUAAGAGGGCUAAAGUGUAAUUUUACCUUUACUAAAUUAAAAUUUUAAAAAUUUCUAAAAGACUUAAAUAAUAAUUUUCCAUUUUAGAGGUGUUGGCCCCAGCUAUUGUCUUCAUGGUAGACUUUUUUUUUUUAAUUUAGAAGGGUGUGGCUUGAUACAUUGGGUAGUAUCUACUUAAAAAUAUAUAUAUUUCUUUUUUCUCUCAUCAUGUAUACUUGUGAAAAUAUGACUAUUUUAAAAAGAUAUACACUGAUUCCGCUAGACACGGCACCAAUAAUUUUUUUAAAGAAAAAACAUAAUUAUUGGUUUAUGAUUGGUUGAAAAAGUUGUGAUAUUGCCGAUAUGUCAUAUAACCCCGGUUUGCAAGGUAACAAACAAGUCAUUUUUAUAAAUAAAUUUUCUCAACCUAUUUUUGUAAUUAAUUAAAAUUUUAUAUUAUUUUUAUAAAAAAAUCUACAUCUUAUACAAUUUUCCUAAUUUAUUUAUUUUUAUAUUAUUUUGAUAAAAACCAAGAUGGAGCAAGUAAUAACAAGAUAAAUUGUGAAAAGGAAAAUCAUAUAAAAUAGGAUAAAAUGAGAAAAGGAAAAGGAUAUUUACCUGAAGGUCAAGUGGAGCAAGAAAAGGUAGAUAAUCUGAUAGAUUGAAAAUCCCAGCCAAGAGCAUGGUCUCGUCAACUAGCGGUUUAAAUUGGAAUUUAUCAUCCAUGGACUGCCCGAAAAUCACUUUACACAUCAUUACUUCCAUAACCUUACCUAACUUCCGGCUAAGGUCCACCGUCUCACCCGCCGUCACUGCCUUCCUCACCGAUUUAACCAAUGACACCACCUCUUCCUUCCUAACCGGGGCAAAACAUUCGAUUUUUGAGGCACUAAGGAAGUGCAAAGUGCACCAUUUCCGUACAGUUCGCCAAUAGGAACCGUAGGGGGCAAAAGCCAAGCCCUUGCCACUGUAGGUCAAGUACUCGGUAGAUUGGAGGUUAGGCCUGGAAGCAAAAACAAGGUCAUGGACCUUGAGGAACAGUUCAGCGGCUUCAGGUGAUGAUACCACAAUCGUCGGUACAUAGCCUAGCUUUAUUGACAUUAUGGGUCCAUAUUUUUUGCCAAGAUGGUGAAGGGUUUGGUGAGGAAGUUUCCCUAGCAUAUGGAGGUUACCAAUAAUGGGAAGAGGAGCAGGACCGGGUGGAGGUUUCUGGCCAUUUUUGUGGUGGUUUCGUGGGCGGAAGAAAUAGACAAAGGAACAAAGAGGUACAAGGAGUACCAAGAGAAUGGCUAACGUUGAAUAAUACAUUUGGGAUGGGAAAGGAGAGGCAGCCGAUUGACAAUUGACAAUUGACAACCCCACCUUAAAUAAGAAAGGAACAAAUAUGAGUUCCAUGUUGGCGGACAAGUAAUACUGUAAUUACAAAUAAAUAACCAAAUAUGAACCAUAUUUUUCUCAAUCAAAAGAAAAAAAACAUGAGCCACAAGUGGGGAAAGAAGUAAAGAGUAGAUUUUUACAUUAGAUUUAUUUCCAAUGAUGUCCAUGCCUUAACUUAUAUAUUUUUUGACACAAUGUAUAGAAGAUAAUGUGUUUCAGUGCGCUCAAACUCAUAUACUCUUGUAUUGACAACAAUACACAUACUAAUCUAUAGUUUCUUUCCAAUCCAUAAAUAAGAAGAUAAUGUGUUUCAGUGCACUCAACCUCAUAUACUCUUGUAUUGACAACAAUACACAUACUAAUCAAACUAAUACUCAAUCAACUAUGUUAACUUAUAUAUUGAUUGAGAUUGAUGUUUAAUCUAUUUAAAAAAAUAUCGAUUUGACAUUCAUAUGACAGCUUAAUAUUUAUAUUUAUGAUUUUUUUAUAACUAACCCAAAUAAAUUGAUUAUUUACGAAAUUGAUUUAGGUGCAAAAUCUUAUACAAAAAUGAUCUGUUUUUUUACAUUACAUGUUGAUGUCGGCCAUCCAUCACCCCUUAAUGAUUGCUCGAUCUAUAAAAAAUAAAUUUUUUGUGUGUUCACGGCACCGGUAUGUAUUUUUUUUUCAAAUACACUUAAAAAAUACAGACAUUCCAGGAUUUAAAAAAAAUAUUUUAAUAGGUGUGGACAUUCUCGUUGCUGACACCGGUUGAAAUUAAAAAAAUAAUUUUUUAUUUUUUUUAGUGUCAACAUUCUCUUUGCUAAUGUGGUUUUUGAAUUUUUUUUGCCAGCGUGCUUUGGUUGCCAGGAUAGGUUAAAAGAAGAGAGGAAGAGAAGAAGAUAAGGCAGCUUGAGCAAGAACAAUAUAGACAUGGAAAAUAUAACAAUUAAUGAUAACAAUAACCAAAUUAAUUAAUUGUAAAAUAAAUAAGAAGCUGUGGAGUUAUACCUCGUAUUUUUCAGUUUUUCUUCUCUAAAUUAAACUCUAUUUUUUAAUUUUUCACUUAAAACUCCGAUUAGUGUAUAUUAUUUUAAUAUUAUUUGACCUAUGAAUUUAGCUAUAAAUAUGUCCUUUUCCACUUUAAGAAAAUAAUCCAUUACACAUUUAGGUAUUAACUGUUACAAGCUUUCGGAAAAUUUUGUGUUUACAUUUUGAGAGUUCUUAUUUUGGGUUUCAGGAUUUAGUUUUAUCCCUAUCUUUUGUACUCUUCAUUUUUGCCAUUUUAGUGAAAUUAUCUUUACUCGUGAUUUUUUAUCUUCUUCGGAAGGAUUUUUUCACGUAAAAUAUUUGCAUUCAAUCUUUUCAAUUUCCUUGUUAUUUUAUUUGUUCGUUGCUUAAUCCGGUUUAUCUCCAACAAAAAGCCAACAUGAUCAAAUGAAAGGACAAAUAGUUAACAAAAAGAGAUAGUAAAAUAAUUAUUUGUUCGUUGCACUAUAAAAACAUGUCAUUUUGGUACAAAAUUUUACACUCGGGAUAUUUUCGUACAUAAACAAUUUAUUUAGGUCAAUUACUGAAAAACCCCUAUACUCAUCCUUGCUGAAGAAUUUUUUUAAAAUAAAUUUAUAUUAUCAACACUUCAAGAAAAGAAGUUUAAAAACAAAAAUUGUUGAAAAACCCCUAUACUCAUCCUUACUAUUGGAUUAAAAAUUGUUAGCAAUAUCAACACGAGAGACUCGGGUUGAGCUUGUUUAUUUAGAUUACUUGUGUGGCGUAUUUGGAAAAAUAGAAACCUCUUUAUUUUCUAAGAUAUUUCUAUGAAUUUGAAUGAUAUUAUUAGGAUUCUAUACAGCUGAGCUAAUCAAUUUAUCUCAAUAAGUAGAGCUAUGUCGAAAAUGGCAUCUAAAUCUUUGUGUGCGCUGUUAGUCCCAAGUAUGUGUUUUUAUCUCAAUACGGAUGGUGCUGUUCAAACAAACAUUGGGUUAUCUGCUGUAGGAGGUGUGAUUUGGGAUGAAAUUGGGAAGUGGACAUUAGGAUAUAAUAGGUUCUUGGGGAAGUGUUAUGUCUUUGUUAUCGAAUUGCGGGAAAUCUUUGAUAGUUUGCUCUUACUUUAUUUUAUGAAGACGAGUGAUUUAUGCGGUACACUCCUAUAGAGAAUAAUUAGAUAGCAGAUACAUUAAAUAAAAUGACUUUUGUAAAUGAAGAAGAGUUAUGUUUAUUUAACGUUCGUAUUUGAAGAUUCAAGAAACUUUAGAAGAUGAUAGAAUAAGGGGUAUUUUAACCCCGAGUACUCCUAUAUAAAUCUUUUGGUAUUUUUGUCUGUUUUCUACACAAAAAAAAAUGUUAGCGAUAUAAAUAUAUUUAUAAAAUUCACAUUUAUAAUACGUAAAAUAUGAAUAAAUAAUUAUCAUAAAUUUAAAUUUAUGUUUUUAGUAACACUCAAUUUAAAAUUACUUAUUGUUAAUUAAUUAAAAUAAUAGAAAAUAGAAAGCCCAAGAAAAAUGUGGACAAAUUUUAGUUGAUAACAAUUUCCCUCCUUGCUUUCACCAUCGGGAAAUAAUCAACUCUCACAGUCCGAUAAAGACUCCAACCGACCAAACCUAACCAAACCAAACCCAACCACAAAAGAAGUAAUUACUAUCUAAAAGUACAGCUCAGGUAAUAGUAGAUAUUAAAUCCUCAAGGACCACAUGAUUCAUGAACGGGAAGCCUCAAAUUAUCAUUUUAUUUUCGAUAUUUCGAAAAUAUUUUAUUGGUUUUUUUAUAAAAUUAACUCAAAAAUUUUAAUUAUUACAUAGAUGACUCAUUUUUUUAUUAAACAGGUAAAUAACCUAAAAUCUACAGUGAAAGUUGGUAGAGUCAAAAGAGUUUGACGCCACCAACAUGUCAUGUCAGUAAUCGAGAUAAAAAAUUAUUUUUUUAGUGGAGCCAUGUAGAAUGACGCUAUCUAAAUAAAUAUCAGAGAAAUACUACAAUUUUUUGAAAAAAAAUAAGGGUUUAAAAAAAAUUUAUUCUUCUGGUGGAGCCAAAUAAAUUGGCACCACCAAUUUCCAAAGCUAUUUGCGUCAUCCUUUUUGCAAUGUGAUUUUUUUAAAGUUUUUUAAAAUUUUAAAUAUAUUAAAAAAUAUUAAAUAUAAUCAAUUUUAAAAUUUUAAUACAUUUAAUAUAUUUUUAAAAAUAUAUUAAAAUUUUAAAUAUAUUAAAAUUUUAAUAUUCUUAAUAUAUAUUUUUAAUAGGUGAAGACAAAAAAAUAUUUUUUUAAUAUAUUUAAGAUUUUAAAAAAUUUUAAAAAAAUUAAAUAUAUUAAAAUUUUAAAUAUAUUAAAAAAUGUUAAGUAUAACCAAUUUUAAAAAUUUAAUAUAUUCAAUAUAUUUUUUAAUAGGUAAAAAAAGAUUUUUAAUAUAUUUAAAAUUUUAAAAAAUUAAAUAUAUUAAAAUUUUAAAUAUAUUAAAAAUAUGUGAAGUAUACCAAUUUUAAAAAUUUAAUAUAUUUAAUAUAUUUUUUAAUAGAUAAAGGUAAAAAAGAUUUUUUUAAUAUAUUUAAAAUUUCCAAAAAAUUUAAAGAAAAAAAACCUCAUUGCAAAAAGGGAUGACACAAACAGCUUUGGAAUAUAGUGGCGCCAAUUUAUUUGACUCCACCAUAAAAAAAAGGAAUUUUUUUAAACCCCCAUUUUUUUUAAAAAUUAUAGUGUUUCCCUAAUAUUUAUACAGGUAGCGUCAUACUACAUGGCUCUACAAAAAAAUAAUUUUUUUAUUUCGAUUGCUGACGUGGCAUAUUAGUGGCGCUAAACUCGUUGGCUCCAACUGUAGAUUUUAGGUCAUUUAUAUGUUUAAUAAAAAAAUGGGUCAUUUACAUAAUUAAUUAAAUUUUUUGGGUUAAUUUUAUAAAAAAAGUCUAUUUUAUUCAACAUUAAAAUAAUUUUAAUAAUUUGAUCACUAUUUCUAUGAUCCAACGAUUGAUAUGAUAUCAUAAGUUCAUUGUGAUUCUAGGAGUUUAAAUGACUACUUUUAUAUAUUUUUAGCUUUUUAUUAUGUUUUUUUAAUAAUUUUUAUAUUAUUUAUAAAUUUUUAUAAGUUUUUAUAAAAAUUCAAAUAUAUUUUAUUACUUUUAUAAUUUUAUAAUUUUUUUAUAAUAUUUAUAAGUUUUUUUAUGAUUUUUUUUAAUUAUUAUAAGUUUAUAUCAAUUUCAAUAUUUUUUAAAUUGUUAAUGAUAUUUUUCUUAUUUUUAAUGAUAUUUUUUAUAUUUUUAUAUGUUUUUAUAAAAUUUUAAAUAUUUUAAAUAUGUUUUAUUCAUUUUAUAUUUUUUUUAUAAUUUAUUAGAUUUUUUAAAUAUUUAAGUUAUUUUUAUAAUAUUUAUAAGUUUCUAUAAAUUUUAAUAUUUUUAAUAUUUAAUAAUUUAAUAAUUUUAAUGAUUUUUUAAUAAAUUUUUUAUGAUUUUUAAUAGUUUUUAUGAGAAAAUAUUAGAUUAAAUAAAAAAUUGUCACAUGUUAUUAUCUGAUUGAUCCGUCAUGUCACAUCUCAAAAAUUGAGUUAGUAGAAAUUUGGUUAAUGAACUGAGUGUGGUCACGCCCAAUUUUUUUUUAGAUAACCUUAGUACAUUUGUCAAUAUAUAAGUAUCAAGCAUAGUGAUUGAAUAGUGGUGGAGGUGUCAUUGAUGAUCUGAGUUUGAAUCCCUUCUCUCUCAUUAAUUUCCAUUUGGUGUAAUUUUGCUUUAAACCUUAGUAAAAGUCACACCAUAUUUUUAAAACAAUUGUUGUAGGAAUGUGAAUAAGGAAAUAAGUUGAUUUAGUGGUUCGGAGCUUAAAUAAAUUCCUAAAUGUCGUAGGUUUAAGUAUUCACACUCUCAAAUUUCUCCUUAUUUGAUCCUUUUUUGUUUUUUUAUCUCAUUAACAUGCCUAUUUUCUUCACCUUUACCUUGUGUGAUGUACAUUGAACUUGGACAAGGUGAAUUACACAUUUUGUUUUUCAUCUUUUAUUUUUUCUCUCCAUAUUGGAGCCCCUCUCUUUUGUUCCUUCCCUCUCUUCAUUUUUUCUUUUGUUUUAGCCACCAACCACCACCUUUACUUUUUUUCUUCUCCUCUCCUUCACCACCCUUUGCCAACGAAACCCUACUAUCACCACCACCACCACUAGACCUCCUUUUUGUCACUACUCCACCUAUUCAUUUUGCUCCAACGUCACCCCUUGCACCACCACCUUGCAUCAUCGGGGAUAAAACCUUCUUUUUCUCUCAUUUUCUCUAUUUUCCCUUUUAAUUUUCUCCUUCUCCUCUCUAGUGUCGCAACACUCUUCUUUCCCUCCUCCCUAGUCGAGUUCUCGUCAGACUACUGUCGUCAUCAUUGUCGUUGCUGCGGCUCCACUGGCUUUGGUUAUUCUUUCUCUUUUCUUCAUCAUUUUUCGAUCUCCAUCACUCCUAUAGUAAUAAAAAAAUCCUAUAUCCCUAUUUUAAUUAGUUUACUUUUUUUAAAAUAUUAUACUUAAUGACUCACUUUUACAAGUGACUAUUUUUCUCUAGACUUGGUUUCCUCUCCGAUUCGAAACCCCAGUGAUCCAUCAACCCUUUCAAUCCAACCAAUAUAGAGUAAGUAUAGUGGUUGAAUGAAAACCACUAUUCCUUCCCUAAUUUUUACCUUAGGCCGAAUGUGUAUAAAAGAUCAUGGUGUAUUUUCCUUCAAGUAUUAACAUCGUGUUCUACAUUUGAUUAAUGGCCAAUCGAUACCAUCCCGAGAAACCCCUAACGUUGGCAACGAGAUCACAAUUUUCAAUUGAUUAAUUAUAAGAGUAACCUAUCGAUUAGAUCUAAGUGUGGGAGCUCUGAGAGUGGUGAUUGGCUUUGGAUCUACUAUCAUGUGUGGGUUUAAUCUAAAUAAAAUUAGAUAUACAUUAACUCUAGUAUUUAAAUAAAUAUUGUUAUUUGUAUUGUGUUUUAUAUAGAUACUUAAAGUAUUCCAAAAAAGGAGAUUAAACCCAUCGAUGUGUAUUAUACAAAUUAAGUGACCCCAACCAAUUAGUUUAUGAAAAGUAUGUUGUGUGGUUAUGAUUUUUACUGUUUGAAAAGUAUGUUAUUCUCAUUCUUAUGUUAUGUGAUAUAUUGACAUAAUUCAUUUUACAUGAAAAAUAAAUUGUGAUAUUUUGAGAUAUUGGAAUAAUACAUGAAUCACAUGUUAAACAUGCCCUACAUGAUAUUAUGUGUUAAAGAAAUUAGAUUUGUAUGUUUCAACAUGCCCAAUGAGAUAAGUGAAAGCUUGAAACCAGAAAAAUAUGUAUAUAUAUGUUCAUUGUGGCCUUAUCACAUGCAUUGGGUAGAACAUUGCAAGGAGGAAUAAUUGGUGGCUUCGCCCAUAACCUAUAUGGCAACUUGUCUGCAAAAUUGGUGGUUUAUCCACAACCUACAUGAUAGCUUGUCUGUGAAUAUUGGUUGCUUCGUCCACAACCUACAUGAUAGCUUGUUUGUCAAUUUGGUGGUUUAUCCACAACCUACAUGGUAGUUUACUUACAAAUAUUGGUGGCUUCAACCACAUAUAUUGGAGUGAUUGGAUGGAUGAGUUCUUAGGAACUCUUUUUGGAGUGUAGCGGUGAUCGGGAGGAUGUUUUAUAAAAAUUUGAAUUAUUGUUUUAUAAAAAUUGUAUUGCCAUGAUCAUGUGCAUAAAAUUGAUUAUGUUGUAUGAUAAGUAUGUGCUUAUGGUUAUUCAACUUCUUAUAAGACUCACACUGGGCUUUAAAAGCUCACCCAUUUAGUUUCAUAAUCUUUCAGGUGAUUCAUGGACGUAGGGUUUGGAUUCAACAUUCGGAGGAGCUUAUCAGAUGGAACUUUAAUAAAUGGAUUAUAAACUAUUUGAGAUGUCAUUUUAGACUUUGGACAUAGAACUUUUUAUUAGGUUGUUCCUUUACUUUAUAACUCUAAAUUGCCAUGCAUGCAUGGUUAAUGGAUUUACAAGUAUUUUGAAUUAUUGAGUUUAUUUAAAUUAAUUAUAAUUUUUACUUGAUUUUAAAUAAACUUUGUGAUUUUUCUAAAUAUUUUUAAAAGUGUGUUGCGAAAGAUUUUUACCAAAAUCAAUUUUAAGAAAUAAUUAAAAAUAUUACAAAUUCUUAAAUUUAAUGAUUUAAGACGAGACUUCGAUAUAAAAAUGAUACUUUUCAAAUACUUGGUAUUUAAAUUUUGUUAAGUGUUUUUCAAAUACUAAAUUACUCGGUAUUUAUAUUUUAAAGUUUUCGUAAAAACAACUGAAACCUAAUUAUAUCUAACAAGAAAAUGUUUUCAACAGUUGUAAUGUGACUUCCGAGAUUCGGUCAUAACGUCUAGGCCAGGUUUGAGAUGUUGCACGUCAAUUUAUUUUAACUAUUAACGUGAUCAACCACUGAUUUCAUUAAUAGAGAGGCUUAAUUAAUUAUUUUUGUUAACAAUAAAAGCUCAAUUAGGUGUGAAUUUAAUACAAAGCUUACUUGAUUUUUCACAUUUUUGUAAUUUUUUCUUGGCAUAAAAACUUUAUUUAAGAGUAUAUGUAAUAAAAGCACCAUCUAUCCCAUCAAAAUGAACAAAAGUAAAAGAAGUCCAAUUCUAAAGCUUGAGCGUUGCAGUAUCCAACUUAAAAAAUGUUCUUUUUAAAAGAAAAAAUCUUCAAAAAAAAGCUUUUAGGCCAGUAUUUUUUGUUAAUUUUUUCGUCUUCUAAUAAAAUAUCUAGUCCAUUAUUAUCAACAAAAAGUAAUAAUUAAGCUUUUGUCGUUAGUUAAAAUAAUCAAUUAAACCCUUUCGUUAACAGAAUUUAUGGUUGACUACGUUGAUUGUAAAAAAUAAAUUGAUAAAUGAAUCAAAUGAUGACAUAUGAUAAUUUAUGAUUUAAUAUGAUAUUUUCUCAUAAAAUAAAAGAAAUUAUAAAAAAUUAUAAAAUUAUUAAAAUAUAUAAAAAAUAUAAUUAAAUUGAUAGAAAGUUAUAAAAAUUAUAAAAAAUAAUAAAUAUUAUAAAAAUCAAAUUAAUUCUAAUAAAUUGUAAAUUUUUUUAUAAAUUUAACAAAACAUAUUUAAAAUCUUAUAAAAGCGUAUAAAAAUUCUUUAAAAUCUUAUAAAAAGUUCAAUAAAAAAUAUUAAAAUUGAUAUGAACUUAUAAAAAUAAUCAUAAAACUUGAAUUGAAUCAAAUUAGUAGAUUGGACUGGUUAAACAAAAUUGACAAAGGUACUAGUCCAGAGAAAGCCAUUACACCAAUUGACUUGAAAACUUGAUGUUUGAAUCGUUUUUACUUUUUUAAUAUUUUUUUAUUUUUUAAUGUUUUAUUUAAUUGAAAUGGACGGACUGAUUGAACUAGUCAAACCGAAAAACAAGUGGACUAACUAGUUCGUCUAGUAGUCUUGCUCUGAAAACUUUGGUUAGAGUAUUCAUACUAAUGGCCCCUUUGGAUGGGUGUUUACCUCCAGUGCAGUGCAUUUAGCUUUCUUUUUGUGUCACGCUAUAGUAUCACUACAAUAUCUAAUCUCAUCGCGACCGUUGUUUUUACACUAACUAUAACACCUCUAACCCGUAUUUGUCACUGGAACGAGAUUACGAAGCAUUACCGAAAUUUACAGAUCAAUUAAACAGAUAUUUCACCUCAUACAAUAUUCAUAUCAGAAAUCAAUUAAUAAGUCCCUUAUAUGAACCCUCGAGGUCCAAAAUAUACAUUAGAAACAAGUCGAGACUAAACUGAGUACUCGGAGAAUUUUUUGCAAAAUUUCAAAAUUUUUCCAAGGUGCAGGGAACACACGCCCGUAUGGUCAGGCCGUGUGGCUCACACGGCCAAUAAACACGCCUGUGUGGUCAAGCCAUGUGGCUUACACGGCCAAUAAACACGCCUGUGUUUCAGGUCGUGUGAGCAUUUAAAAUAGGGCACACAGCAGUGUCCCAAACCGUGUCCGUACCCGUGUAACUCUCUGACUUGGAUCACAUGUGGCUUGGUCGUGUGUAGAUGUCGGGGUCACAUUGCCAAAGCACACGCCCGUGUGCCAGGCUGUGUGAAAAAUAUUGAGCAUUCUAUUUUGAAUUUUUAAAAUGCAGGAUACACAUGGCAAGACCACACGCCUAUGCGCUAGGCCGUGUGUUACACACGGCUGAGAUACACACCCAUGUCUUUGCCCGUGUGGACGAAAAUAGGCCAUUUCCAAGGCCACUUACCCAAAUUGUCUUUUACCUACAUCAACACUUUAACACAUUUACAAGGCAAUACCAAUCAUUCAAAUCAAGCUAAAACCAAGUUUAAUACAUGUUAUAACAUCCCAUAUGUCUAAGUAUUCAAUUUCCCUUAAUUGAUCCAAUUCAGAUACAUGCAUAUCUUACCAAUUAUACUAACUAAAAUCAAUUAAUUAUGAGCCUAUAUAAUCUUCAUCAUAAAACCAAUUCAAAGACUCAUCAAACACAUUAUGACCAUAUAUAACCACAUCAAAAUAUGUCCAUCACAAGCCAUUCCAAUGGCUAGCUACAACCAAACAUUUACAUUGCCAUCAUUGGUCAUGUUUAGCCUAUACAUACCAUUAUAACUAUUUUUUUUGUCAUAUAUAUACCGAAAAGUCUGAGGGAUAGUGUGAUAUGGUUCUGACUAGCUUCCAACCUUUACGAGCUUCCAAGUACUAUAAAGCAGAGGAAAUAAAAUAGAGUAAGCAUUUUAUGCUUAGUAAGUUCAUAUAACAGAAAAUUAAUUAACUUACCAUCCAUUUACAUUUAAAGUAAACAUGCAAAAUUCAUCUAAAGAAAUUUGGCAAUUUGCCUAAGCACAUAUAACCUUAAAAAACAUAUUAGCCAUGUACUUCAUAUGAAUAUCAAGAACCAAGGAUGAGUUUAUCAUGUAACAAUUUUCAUAUACAUAUGUUUUCCACAUCAUAUAACAUAUACAUUUCCAUAAUAAUUCAUCUCAAGUUCAGAUUAUCCCAUGUCGGAACGUUGCCCGUUGAAUUUAUUUGAAAUAUCGAUGGAUACAUAGGUAGUACACUUGAAAUGUACAAAAUUGUAAUCCGUCAAUUCACUCAUACAAACACAUAAACAGGAAGCUUAUGUGAGCCAUAUAAAGGGAAGCUUAUCUGGGCUGUAUAACGGAAAGCUCAUAAGAGCCAUAUUCAGAAAACUCAUGCGAGCUAAUAACGGGUAACUCCGAAGAGCCAUUAAUCAAGAAGCUCUGGAGAGCCAUUAAUCAGGAAGCUUACAAAGAGCCUUUAAUCGGGAAGCUCACGAAGAGCCAUAUAUCGGGACGUUCAUAAGAGCUGCAGUGUGUCCACAACAUAUGCAAGAUCACAACCGAUUGGGAUGCUCCGAAGAGUUACUAACGGGAAGCUCGUUAAAACCGUGUAAUGAGAAGCUCGAAAGGGCUAAUAACGAGACGCUCUUUCGAGCUGUGAUGUGCCUGCAACGUAUGCAGGACCACGACCAAUUCGGGAACCCUGUAUCAAUCGAAUCUCAUUUAUCCAAAUAGGACUUAAUAUUAAUCGGACAUUGUUAGAUAUGUGAUCAAUUUUAUAUGUAUGAUAAUUUCAAAAUUCACAUAUACAACAUUCAAUUCAAACAUAUAAAUAUACACAAUUUAGUUACAUGAACUUACUUUGACAAGUAUUCGUAUACGCAAAAUCUACUAAUUCGACACUUUUUCUUUUCCACGAUCUAACUUCGUAUUUGAGUUAUCCGGAUCUAUACGAAUGAAUUUAAUAUCAAUUUAAUAUAAUUCAUAUUCAAUUCAAUCCAAUUCACAUUUUAAAAAAAUUACCAUUUUCCCCCUAUACUUUUAAUUAAUUCUGAUUUCGUCCCUAGGUUCGGAAAAUAAAAUUCAUGCAAUUUAAUCCUUAUUCCAAGCCUGGCCAAUUUUUACAUGUAACAAUAACAACCCAUAUAUUUCAAAAAAUUCAAAAUUUUUCCAUGAAUUUUACAUUUUUACAAUUUAGUCAUUAAAUCACAAUUUCAUAAAAAUUCACUUUACAAAAGUUGUUUAUCUAUCAACAACCUUUCAUUUUCUACCAUAAAACUUCAUAAUUCAUGCAUAUUCAUCCAUGGAAAAAUCUUAGUACUUUGAUAACUUUACAAAUUAAUCCCCGAGAUACCUAAAUUAGGCUAUUACAAUCUCGGAAACAUAAAAAUCAUUAAAAAUGGAACUUGAAUACUAAUUGAGCCAAAUAAGCUUGCUACCUUCAAGCUCUUCUAACUAGGGUUUUCAUGUAAAAUAAUUUGGGAAGGAUGAUAAUAUGAUGAUAUUUUCAUUAUUUUAUUACUUAUCAUCUUUAAUUAUUUUUAGUUUCCAAUUUAAUCCUUUUCUUUAUUUAAUUUUCUAUGGAUGAAUCAUCAUACUUAUCUACUAACUCCUCUUAAUGGUCUAUUUUCCAUAUAAGGACCUCAAAUUUUGAAUUCCAUAGCUAUUUGAUACUUAUAGCUACUAAAACUCAACUUUUGCAUUUUAUACAAUUUGGUCCUUUCCAUUUAAUUAGACAUGUAAUCGGUAAAAUUUUCUUAACAAAAUUUAAAUACGACAUUCCUAUCAUACGGUAAAUCAUAAAAUAAUAUUAAAAUAAAUUUUCUUUAGAACUCAGAUUUGUGGUCUCGAAACCAUAGUUUCAAUUUCACUGAAAACGGGCAGUUACACUAACCGUAGGUAAACGCAUUGUCCAUCUAAAGGGGCCCUAAGAUAUUCUAAUGAUUGGAUAAUGAAAUUUUGGUUUGAUAGUAUCUAACUAUACCAAAAAUACUUUAUAUCAUACAAUACUUAGCAAAAAAAAAAUCACUUUCAAUAUCCAAACUACUGUACUGUACUUAAAAAAUUGGAGAUAAAAGUUUUAAAAAUAAAAACAAUAAUUUAUCAAUAAAAAGGAGAGGAUCCCACAAUUAUCGUCUUAGUUUUGAAAUAUUGAGAACAUUUUAUUUAACAUGAAAAUGACCCUAACGAUCUGAUGACUAUUCUCAUUAUCCGAUGAUUGGUGUGAUGUCAUGUGCUCAUUAUGAUUUUAGAGGUUUAAAUGACUUUUUUAUUUUUAAUGUUUUUAUGAUCUUUAUAAAUUUUUUAGUAAUUUGGAUAAUAUCUUAUAAUUUAUUAGAAUUUAUUAUAUUAUUUAUAUGUUUUAAUGAAUUUUUAUAAGUUUUUAUAAAAUUUUAAAUAUAUUUUUUAAUAUUUUUAAUUUUCAAUAGUUUUGAUGAUUUAUUAUAUGUUUAUAAUUUUUUUACAAUACUUAUAAUUUUUUAUUAUUUUAUUAUAAUUUUUAUAAGUUUAUACCAAUUCCAAUAUUUUUUAAUUUUCAAUAGUUUUAAUGAUUUUUUUAUAAGUUAUUAAGAAUUUGUAUAUGUUUUUAAAAAAUUUAAAAAAUUUUGAUUUAUUUAUAAAUUUAUUAGAUUUUUAUAUUUUUAUAAUAUAUAUGAGUUAUUAUUUUUUAUAAUUUUAAUAUUUAAUGAUUUGUUUAUAUUUUUUUAUUUUUAUAAUUUUUAAUAAUUUUUAUAAUUUUUUAUGAUUUUUAAUGUAAAAAUAUUAGAUUAAAACUAAAGCUGUCACAUAUUAUAAUCUGAUUAGUUCGUUAAUUUAAUUUAAUGGUCAACAAAGUCAACAACAAAUUCCGUUAAUUGAGGGGCUUAAUUGAUAAUUUUUGUUAACAACAAAAUCUCAAUUGACUACGAAUUCAAUAUAAGAGUUAUUUUUUUUUUGUAUUUUCUUAAAGGCUUUUUCUAUAUAUAAUCCUUUAUUUAAAAAUAUAUGUAGUAAUUGUACUAUUGCCAUCAGUUAUAUGUAAUAAUUGCACUAUCUAUCCCGUCAGAAUUCCAAUACCAAAGCUUGAGUGUCUCACUAUCUAACUUAAAAAACGUUAAAAAAAACUUAUAUACGAAAAAGGCCAAAAAAAAGCAAAAAAAAAUAAGUUUCUAUAUUAAAUUUGCACUAAAUUCAUUUUUUAUGUAAAUUAAAAUAAUUAAUUAAACUCCUCUGUAAAUGGAAUUCAUAGUUGAUCAUGUUGAUAGUUAAAAUAAAUUAACGGACCAAUUAGAUGGUGACAUAUAAUAACUUUUGUUUUAAUUUAAUAUUUGCUCAUAAAAAUAUUAAAAAAAUAUUAAAAUUAUAUAAACUUAUAAAUUUUUAAAAAGUUAUUGAAAAAGCUUAAAAAAUUAUAGAAUAUAAUAAAUAUAAUAAAUUCUAAUAAAAUUUAUAAAAUUAAUAAAACAUAUUAAAAUAUAAAUUUUAUAAUAAUGUAUAAAAAUUCUUAAAAAAACAUAUAAAAAUCAUAAAAAUAUAAAAAAUAUUUAAAAUUAUUAAAAUCAAUAUAAACAUAUAGAAAUUAUAAAAAAUCAUAAAAAACUUGAAUCGAAUCGAAUCAACCGGUUGAAUCAGUUAGAUUGAAAUAACAAUAGUAUAGGUAUAGAGAAAUCCAUUAGAUCGAUUGACCUAGGAAUCUAGGCUUUUUUUUAUUUAAAAAAAAUAUUUUUUAUUGUUUUAUUUGACUGAACUGGACGGACGGUCGAAUUAGUCAAAUCGACGAACUGAUGGCUUGAUCGAUUCAACCACUAGUUUGGUUCUAAAAACCUUGGUCAGAAUUUUUCAUACUGACAUAUACUAAUAGUUGGAUAAUGAAAUUUUGGUUUGAUAAUAUCUAAUUGUACUAAAAAUACUUUAUAUCAUCCAAUACUUAGCAAAAAAUUUUCCACAACUUGAUUCUAGCAACAUUUAGGAUCUCCACUAGCUACUUUAAGUGGUAGACUCUUAUAUUAAUUGAAGAUUUAAAACUGUUGCUGCAAUAUAAGAUAGGUGCUUGGAAGGAACGAUAGGGUAGUGGGCACUUCUCUGGCACCAAAUUGUAAAUAGUAAACAAACAGAACACACAUGUAGUUUGGUUUUUUUACGUUUAUGGAGCCUAGUUCAGUGAGAAAUAUCAACUCUCUUUAACAAUUACAAUAAGUAAUUCUAACCUAUCACACAUCUUGUGACAAUUUUCCUCACAUUUGCACCUUGAAGAUCAAUACGAUCAGCAUUAAGUCCACCCUUGUGAACUCAGCAAGUAAAACCACAACACAAAUGGUUUUACUAUCAAAUAGCACCCUAAGAAAAGUUCCUUAAUCGAACAAAUUUAAAGCUCUCAAUUCAUAGAUAAAGUGGAAAUAUGAAAAUUUAGGGAUAGGGUAAAAGCACAUAAUAUUUGAGUUACCUAUAGCAGAAACUCGACUCAGCACUUGAUAUAAUGUCAAGUUUUGAUUGAUUCAAUGAGACAAAAUACAUCAUCAACAUGCGACUGCUAAAACUAUAAAAUAAUAAAUAGUAUAUCGUGCUAAGAAAAAAGUGCUAGAUACCGGUAAUGGUAAGAGGAAGGAUGAGUAAUAUACUCUUAGAAGACCCAUAACAUAAAUGUGUUAGAGUGUUAUAAUUAUGGGAACACUCUUAGGAUCUACCUAUGUGAGUGUGAAGCGUAGCCGCUUCUAAGAGCUUUAGGGCUUGACCUUAAUAGCACUCAUGAAAAGAGGUUACAAACACAUGACCAUAAUAAUGUCCAUGAAUACUCUGCAUUGACUGCUGUUGUAACCAUUGUGUGAGAUGUGUUCGGUUAAUCAAAUGGAAUAAUCGGUUCAAAACAUAAUCUACUAUGAAAUUUUGAUUAACUUUAACAUGUCUUCACUAAGUAAAUGUUCAAUUGUAUAACACUUUCACUUAUGCAAUUGAUUACCAAGAUUAUCAAAAUCUAAAAUAUUUAAAAAAUGGAAAGAGAUUGUUGAAACAUAUUCAAAAUACUUAUAAUGUUUCAAUAAUUAUAAUUGAAAAGUUAACUCAUUAAUUCCUAUAAAUAGGAGUGGAAACACAUGUAACUCAUGCGUUUUUGAAGUUUUUAAUACUUUAUAUUAUGUUAUUUUUAUAUAUUAUGUAAUUUAGAACACAUUAAAAAAAUAAACCUAUACUAAAUAUAUAAUACUACUUUAAUAUAAAUAUUAAAAUGAUGUUAAGAUGACUAUAUAAAAACUUUCAAAAAAAUAAAAUAAAAUAAAAAUUAAAAAAUAGUAUGAGCUAGCCUAAAAUGGGUUUGAGUUAUUUUUUUAUAAAUAUGAAUAAGUUUAGAAAAAAUUUUAGUCCCAAUAUUUCAAAUCGAGCUAGACUUGAACAAACAUAAAAAAAAAAAUAUAAUAACAUGUUUAAACACGCCAGGACCCAACCCUUCAAUACCUCUAUAUGCAUCAAGCCUCCUAAACACCUCCACAAUGAUCAUAACCGUCACAACCAACUCCCCUCAUUUAUUUAUUAGCUCUUUUAAAAUAUAUCUAACAAAUCCUCCGUUUCUUUAAAUAUGACCCAUAAAACUUAAAAGACAUACUUGAAGCUUGCAUGAUCUUGCUUUAAUCUUUGCCUUUUGUUUUUUGGGAGAAAGAGAGUGGUUGGCAUCUAAAAGUCCAAUUCAGAAUUUGACACAAUUAAACAGUUUGAUAUUACAUUCCCAAUAUUUGAAUCAAGCCAAUCUUCAGUUUAUAUAUAUACCCUUUAAAGAGAAGCUUAAUUUUUGUAGCUGUUGGUCUGUUUUUGCUUGUAGAACAGUUGCUUCCAUGGGGGUUUCCUCCUUGUUCCUCCAUGACCUGUUUCUUCAUUAAAAUUUAAAAGGAUAUUGCAUGAGAUCUAACUUUGAAAUGACUGCUUGAUGUAAACUCUGAAAUUUGCUUUACUACUAAUAUAUGGUAGGUAAAUGUCAGUGUCAUGUUUGGGGCUAAUGAUAUAUGAUACUAUCAAAUGUUACAGAAUUGCUUCGUUGGUUCCAAGUUUCACCCAUGAAGAUAAUGUGAGUUUUGUGCUAUUAACAUAGAAAUAAGUUCAGAAUCACGUCCAUUAUGGGACAUAGAAUAGCAUUCAUGUAAUAUAGAUUUCAUUGUUUAAAUAUAAAGCUUUGACUUAUCUUUGACGCCACUCUAAAGUUGCUCUAACAACUGGGUCUGCAUCAUACUGAAGUCUAAAAUGAAGCUAUGGGUUUCUUUAUAUAUAUAUAUUAAACAGAGAUAGUUUCCAUCAUCUAAUUAAAAAAAAAAGUACACACCAAACACCCCUUUGCCUUUCACUAUAUAUACACUCUUUUGUAUUCUUCAAUGAAUACAUACUCAAGGAGUAGUUCAUAAGUUCACUCAAACGGAAGAGAAAUCAGACCAAGAAAAAGAAAUGGGAGUUUUUCUUCUUUCAUCACCAGCAUUUCUGGUUUUCUUCUCAUUUUUCACUUUCUGUCUACUUGUUGACCCCGUACUUGGGAUCACCAGGCACUACAAGUUUGAUGUAUGUAUUAAUUUGAUAGGAUUAUCAACCAAAUAUAUGUUUGAUUGUGACUAGGUGUACCUUACCCAUUUUGUAGGUCAAGCUGCAUAAUGUAACACGUUUGUGUCAUACAAGGAGCAUUGUUUCGGUGAAUGGACAAUUUCCAGGGCCUCGCAUUGUAGCAAGGGAGGGUGAUCAGCUUCUCAUCAAAGUGGUCAACCAUGUGCCUAACAAUGUUUCUAUCCACUGGUAUUGAAGUUUACUUUGAAAAUGACAUUAUGCAGAUAUUACAUUUACAUGCUGAAUAAAUUAUCUAUGCUUCAUGAGGGAAGGUCUAAAGUUACAUGCUAGAUAUGGUGAUGUCUUUUCGAAACAGGCAUGGCAUUCGACAGCUUCAAAGCGGUUGGGCGGAUGGGCCUGCAUAUGUGACUCAGUGUCCCAUACAAACUGGCCAAAGCUACGUUUACAACUUCACCAUUAUAGGCCAAAGAGGGACUCUCUUCUGGCAUGCCCAUAUAUCAUGGCUAAGAGCCACUCUUUAUGGUCCCAUUAUCAUUCUUCCCAAGCGUGGCAUACCUUACCCUUUUGCUAAGCCUUACAAGGAAGUUCCCAUUGUCUUCGGUAAUGAAAUCAUAAUGAACCGAUUCAUUAAGAUUCUACAUUUAUUUUGCUAACUCAAAUUGACAUGAACCCCUUUAUGAUAAAAUUGCAGGAGAGUGGUUCAAUGCAGAUCCUGAGGCUGUUAUUAGCCAGGCACUCCAGACUGGUGGGGGUCCAAAUGUCUCUGAUGCUUAUACCAUCAAUGGUCUCCCUGGACCACUUUAUAACUGCUCAGCCAAAGGUAAUAAAUAGCUAAAAUUUUGUCUUAAGCUUUAGACAUACACAUACAUGCACACAUACAUUAUAGAGCUAUGGGAUUCGCUUGUGGACUAACAACUUUGACAGAUACAUUCAAGCUGAAGGUGAAGCCUGGAAAAACUUACCUUCUUCGUUUAGUCAAUGCGGCACUCAAUGAUGAGCUCUUCUUCAGCAUAGCAAAUCACACACUAACUGUUGUUGAUGUUGAUGCCGUUUAUGUUAAACCAUUUGAGACUGAAACACUUCUCAUCACCCCUGGUCAAACCACAAAUGUGAUCCUUAAGACUAAACCAAGCUAUCCAAAUGCCACUUUCUUCAUGACUGCUAGACCAUAUGUGACAGGCCAAGGAACAUUCGAUAAUUCAACUGUUGCCGGUAUUUUAGAAUACGAGUCAUCACCCAAUAGCCUUCAUUCGAGCAUAAUGUUGCCCUUGUUUAAACCAAUUCUACCUGCUUUGAAUGACACUUCCUUUGCUACAAAAUUCGCAAGUAAACUCCGUAGCUUGGCCAGUGCACAAUAUCCUGCCAAUGUGCCUCAGAAGGUUGAUAAGCAUUUUUUCUUCACUGUUGGUCUUGGAACCAGCCCAUGCCAGCAUAACCAAACCUGCCAAGGACCUAAUGGAACCAAGUUCGCAGCUUCAGUGAAUAAUGUAUCGUUUGCAAUGCCGACUACAGCAUUACUCCAGGCUCAUUUCUUCGGCCAAUCUAACGGAGUUUACACCCCUGAUUUUCCUAGCAGUCCUAUAACUCCAUUUAACUAUAUAGGCUCACCACCUAACAAUACUAUGGUAAGCAACGGAACAAAGGUAGUAGUGCUUCCUUUUAAUACUUCCGUGGAGCUAGUUAUGCAGGACACGAACAUUCUUGGAGCUGAAAGCCACCCUCUUCAUCUACAUGGCUUCAAUUUCUUUAUUAUCGGCCGAGGUUUUGGAAACUUUGAUCCAAAUAAGGACCCCGCAAAGUUCAAUCUGAUUGACCCUGUUGAAAGGAACACUGUUGGCGUGCCAUCAGGAGGUUGGGUUGCAAUUCGUUUUCUAGCCGACAAUCCAGGUAAGUGACAUGUUAAACACCAAUUAGAUUCAUCAAAUGCUUGCUUUGAGUUGAUGACCAUUGACAACAAGAACCACAUGCAUGCAGGGGUAUGGUUCAUGCAUUGCCAUCUAGAAGUGCACACCAGCUGGGGCUUGAAGAUGGCUUGGAUUGUCUUGGAUGGUGAACUUCCUACUCAGAAAUUGUUGCCUCCACCAGCAGAUCUUCCUAAAUGUUGAUCGAUAUGACACUUCUUGUGUUAUUUUGGCCAAAAACCUGCCUGAACUUUUUUUUUUUUAAUUUCAGCCAUUUUGAUUUGGUGACUUUUUUUUUUUUUUUUUUGCUUUUGUUUCUGUUUUUGGCAUUGGCCUAUCAAUGGUCCAAAUUUGUUUUCUUGAUUCUUGCGAAGUUAGGACAGUCAGCAAGCAAUUUAUUUUGUAACAGGAUCUGCAAAUUGUCAAUACAAAGAAAUCUCAAUAAUUUAUUGGCAUCCUUUUGUUCAAUCAAUCCUAGCCUCUGAAGCAUAUCUGUACAAUUUGCAACUCCUCCGCACUAAAUUUAUUCCUUUAUUUUCGUUAAAAUACCAUUUCCCUGACUGAUCAGCUCAACCUGAAUCAUACCAACUUAAAUCUAAUAUAUUCUUGGAUAAUUGGAUUAUCUUUCUAAUCGUUGGAACAUUUUGAUUUUCAAAAUAUAUAUAGUGUUUCAAUAGUUGCAAAUGAAUAGUUAUAAGUUAGCAAAAGUUAUAUCACUUAAUUACUAAACAAAAGUUGUCACUAUUUAUAGUGAUUAGUUAUGUCUCUUAGGCUCCGUUUGUUUGACUGAAAAUAGUUUCCGGAAAAUAAUUUCUGGAAAAUGACUUACUGUUCUAGAAAAAGAGUUAAUAUUUUUUGGUAUUUGGAUGAAUAUGUGCAAAAUAUUUGCUGUUGUUUGAUAGAUUUCCUGAAAAUAUUUUAUAAAAAUUGUUUUCAAUAAAACAAACAUACAUUUGAGAUUUUAUUAUAUUUUUAUUGUUUAAUUGAGUUUAUUUCCUAAAGCUUAUUUAUAUUUUAAUUAAUCAUGUUUUAGUUUUAAUUGAUCUUAAUUUACUUAAUUAAACUUAAUUGUUAAUUUCAUACAUUAAGAAAUAUAAAUUUACGUUUAAUUAAGUUGAAAGUGGUAAAUAUUUAUUUUGAAUAUUAUUUGGAUGAGUAAGUCGAAAAAUGAUUUAAUUUGAUAAAAAUUGAAGGACCAAAUUGUAAAAUUUGUAGAAUUUUGAAAUCUAAAGGUUUGAGUAGUGAAAUCUGAAACAAUGAUGUAGUAACUAAAUUAUAUGGUCAUGAAAUAUGAAAAUUUGGAAAGUUGAGCAUAAAAUAGUAAAGCUUGAAAUUAUAGGGGUUAAAUUGUAAAGAUUUCAAAACUUGAGUUUUAGGACUAAUUUACAUUAUUUGAGAAUUUACAAUUUUGAAAAAUAGAAUAUGAAAUUUUAACUGUUCAAAAAUCAAGGACUAAUUUUUUGGAAAUUUUGACAAUUUUAGUUGUAAGGACUAAAUUAUAAAAUCUAGAAAGUUUAGAAAAGGGAUUGUUUUGCAAAAUUGUACAAAACGAGGUUUAGGACUAAAUUGUAAAAUAAGAAAAUCUACUUUUGAGGAAUUAAAUUGUAGUCUAGUAAAAAUUUUGAUUUCAAGGAGUAAAUCAUAAAAAAUAUAAAAUUAGAAUAUAAGAGACUGAGCUUCCCCUUCGUUGCUCUGAAAGCUUCCCCUUUUUGUUUUUUCGAAAGUGAAGACAAUGAACAAAGCCUUAUCAGUUUAGAAAAUGUCUUACAGAAAAAGAAAUUGGUAAAGACAUUUUCGUUAAAAAAGUUUUGGUGUUACCCUUUUCAAGGAAAAUGAUUUCGUUUGGUAAUUCAUUUUCCAUCAAACAAACACCGUAAAACAAUGAAAAUGUUCUACGGAAAAUAUUUUACAUGCAAAUAAACAAACCCUAAGUUUAUAAUAUUUUACAUCAUGUUAUUUUUUAUAUAUUAUGUAAUUUAAAACACUUUAAAAAAAUAAAUCUAUACUAAAUAUAUAAUACUACUCUAAUGUAAACAUUAAAAUAUUGUUAAGAUGACUAUAUAAAAAAUUCAAUAAAUAAAAAAUAUAUAACAUUAUUAAAUAUUAAAAUACCGCAAUAUAAAAAAUUUAAAAAAAAUUAAAAAUAAUAUGGAUGGACCUAAAAUGGGCUUAUGGGUUAGUCUUUUGUAAAUAUGAGCAAAUUUGGGCAAAAUUUUAAACCCAUAUUUCGAGUUGAACAGGGCUUGGGAAAACAUAAAGUAUGUUAAUAUCAUGUUUAGGCCCGAUCUAAUCCAGCCCAUGAACACUUCUAGUUAGAACUCGGAAGUUCUUUUAAUUAUCUAAUUAUAAAAACAAAUUUUUAUAAAUAUUAUUUACUCUUUUAAUAACUUUUCACUUUUUAAAUAUAAUGUUAUUUUACUAAAAUAUUAUUAAAUUUAUUAUUAUUUAUCAAAAUAUAUAAUAAGGAUCUUAACUUAUUAAAAAAAAAUCAUGAAUCUUUUCUAACACAUCAUUUAUAGUCCCUAACCAAUUAUAUAAGGUUUAACUCACAAAUUGAUACAUAAACUAUAUUAUUUUUCCAAUCUUGAUACCCAAACUUUUUUUAGUCACAUGUGAUGCAUAAAUUACUUUUCUUUCCCAAAUUGGUACCUCCGAUAAGUAAACCAUUAAAUGUAUUUAAAAAAUAAGCUUAACCCAUAAAUUGGUACCUAAGCUACGCAUUUUUUCCAUUUUGGUACCUAAACAUUUUUUUAGUUACAAGUGGUACCUAAACUACUCUUUUUCCUAAGUUGGUAUAUAUGCUAGUUUAAUUGUUAAUUAAACUGUUAAGCCUAUUUUUGGAAAAAAGAUAAUAAUUAAAAAUUGACAUGUGGCAAAAAAGGUAAAAACUAUUAUUUUCUCUAAUAUAUAUAUUUCUUUCUUUAGAAUCGGACUGAUGGUCAAAUCGGUUAAGCUACCAAAUUUUAGUUUGAUAAGUUUUUUUGGUUCGAUUAAAUAUGAUUAAAAAUUUAUAAUAUAAAACAUUAAAAAUAGAUAAAACAUGUUCAAUUGUCUUUUUAGCUUAAUUCAACCAGCUUGUAUCGAUUUCCGAGUCAACCAGUUCAAUCCUUAUUUCGAUUUGGUUUUGAAAACACUAGUUAUGAUCAAUGAAAUUAAUUGCCAACAUCUCGACAUCAAGACGGCAAAUUUUAAGCCUUGUUAGUAUUGUCAUACAUUAUAAAACGAAAAGGAAAUGAAAAGAAAUGAAAAUAGAAAAAAAAAAGAAUUAAAAAAUAUUUUUUAAGUUUAUAUGACGUGGCAAAUUAUUAUUGGUUGGAAUUGUUUUUAAUAGACAUAACAUUUAUGUGUAAAAUGGGUAACAAAAGAAUAGUUUAGGUACCAAAAUAGGAAAGACGAACAAUUUCACUAAUGGAGAUACCAACUUGAGAAAAAAAUAAUUUAGAUACAAAACUUAGAAAAUUGGUAUAACUUAAGUACGGAUUUAUGAACUAAGCCAUUAUCCAGUUACAUAUAACUUUAAAAAAUAUUUUAUUUGUUGACACCACUUUAAAAAAAAAACAUUUUUUUACAAAUGUAAAAUAUUAAGCUGUUAAUGAGUCAAUUGACACCACUAUAAAAAAAUUUGUUGACACCACUAUAAAAAAAAAUUUGUAUUCGGUAUGGUAUUUGUUUAGUAUUAAAAAAAUAUUCGUAUUCUUUUGGGUGCUACUUGACUAGUGGACAACACCACUUAAAAAAAUAUUUUUUUACUUCACUGGAAUGAAAAAGCUUGGGGAAAUUUUAGAGUGUCGUUGCCAGACACAUUAGCGAUACCUAAAAAUAUUGUAAAAACUCACCCAUUUUUAUAAUUAAUCUACAUCUUAUGGAUUUUUUACAAAAAUAAUAUUAAAAAAUAAUUAAUUACAAAAUGGGUUGGAGACAAAUUAUUUAAGAAAAUGGGUUGUUUGUUACUGUGCAAAUCGGUGCAUCCUGACAAAUCGGCGGCACCAACCAACAUUUCGGCCAAUCAUUACGUUUAAUUUUUUUAUUGGUGCCAUUGUGUCAAGCAGCACCGAUGUGUAUUUUUUUUUCAAAAAAAUAUUCAUAUUUUCAAGGGUCUACACCUUGAGAGAAAAAUGAAAAAAAAAUUUACCACUUUAAAUUUUUUUUUACUUCACCAGAAUGAUCGGUAGAAGUUGGGGGAAAUGCUAGGGUGGUGUCGCCCAACACAUUGGAAGCACCCACAUAAAAAAGAAUAUUUUUUUAUUUUUUCUCUCAUUGUGUAUAUCCGUGAAAAUACGAGCAUUUUUAAAAAAAUAUACACUAUAGUGUCGUCUGACACAGUGACAACAUCAAUAAGUUUAAAAAAAUGUAAUUAUUGGCUGAUGAUUGGUUUAAAAAUUAGGUGAUAUCGUUGGUGUGUCAGGUGGCACUGAUUUGUAUUGUAGCAAACAACUCAUUUUCGUGGAGGGAUCACAUUGUAUGCAAAAAAGGCAUGAGAUGCAUCAUUGGUAGGAAACAUGUGAAAAGAUCCAUAGCUUGAAUUAUGUCCAAACUAAAAAUCUCGGUCAAACUAAAAAAAAGUUUUGUAGCUUACAUGAAACAUGAUCUAGAUCUGUCUACUUUUAACAAAUUAUAUUUAUACAUUUUAUGAGUUUUAUUUAAUUUUCAAGAACAAGAAACCUAAUUAUUUUAAUUGCUUUAUUGUAUAUUAUUAGGGGAACUUAGUUUUCAAGUCUCUCACAAUGUCUACAAGUUUCAUGCUUGCUACUGUCAUAUUGCUGAUGAUUCUUUCUGGUUCUUACUUUAAAAUUCUCAAGAUUCAAUGUUGUUUUCAUUUUGAUUCUCUUAUUCUUUUGACCCAUAGACAAGUAUCUUUGGCCAUUGAUUAUCUUGAUGGUUGCCUACUAUAGUUAUCCCAUUAUAGCUUAAACAUUGAAAAACUCUAACAUUAUUUUAUAGAAGCUUUAAAUUUGAUUAUUAGAUGUAAUUAAGUUUGCAAUUAAGCAAACAAAGCUCUAAACGACCUAUUGCGGUGCUGAUGUGGCGUUGUGCCGCUUUUUAAUAAUUGUUGCGGCGUUACAUAACAGAUUUUAUCCGCAACGAUCGUGAUGCGAUUUCUUUGAUGCGUUGCGCCGAUAUUGCAUCACGGUAGUUUCUAUUUCAGUUACAAUGAAGCCAUUACGUUGCGUUGCGGCCGCAAUUUAAUACUUUGGAACCGUAGUGGGAAAAAGCCAAGCCCUUGCCACCGUAGGUCAAGUACUCAGUAGAUUGGAGGAUAGGCCUAAAAGUAAAAACGAGGUCAUGGGACUUGAGGAAUAGUUCAGCAGCUUCAAGUGAUGAUACCACAAUGUCUAAAUCAAUGUGAAGUCUAUUAUGCCACUAAGUCAAUAAAUAUAAUUUCCAAAUAAUUAUAUGCAAUAUUCACUUCAGGGAAUAUGCCAAAAUCUUCAAAUGUAGGGCAUUUGGUGUAGCAGCCCGAUUUUGGGCCUAGUCGGAACAGUGGUUUUGGGACCACUAUUUCGAGGCCAGAGAAAAUUAUUUUAGUAUUAUUUUAUGUGUUAUAAUGUGAAUUUAUAAGUGCAUGUAAAUUUUGGUAAGUUAAUUUUAGCAAUUUCUAGUCCAAUUUCGAAAAAGGACUAAAUCGCAUAAAAGGUAAAAGUUGUGUUUUGGUGCCUAAAGGUGUUUAAUAGCUAGAUAAGUAAAAUUGGGGGCUUUAAAAUGGCAAUUAGACUCUUUUAUUGAGGUGGCCGGCCAAGGGAGACAAGAUUGGUUAAAAAGCCAUAUUUUAUGGGAUUUAAAGUGAUUUUUUGGUUAAUAAAAUAAAUAAAGAAAAAGUUGUCAUUUUCUCUUUCAUUUUUUUCUCUUCUCCUCCACCGAAAUAUGCAGCAAAGAAAGGGUUUUGAAGCUGGAAAAUUUCAGCAACAUAUUUCCCUUGCUUGUAAGUGAUUUUAAUGUCUUUGCUUGACGAUUUUUACAUUUUUGGAACCCCUAAAGCAUGAGCUUUCAUAAGAGGGGACUAUUUUGAAAAAUGAUAAAGAGUAUAGGGUUUUUCCAUGAGAUUAAAUAUGUUGUUUGCUGUGUUUUUAUGGAAGAUUAUGAGUCCUAGUUGUCUAAUAAACAACUUUUGUGAAAGAAAUUGCAUGAAAACACCUUAAAAAGGGCUAGAUUGCUAAGUUGUAAAAUGAGUUGUAAAUGUGUAAAAUAGUUGAAAUUAUGAGUUGCUAUAGCUAUGAAAAUGGUUCAUCUAGACUCAAGGAGUAAAGAAAUGUGAUAAAAAUUAUUUUACGAGCAUUGGGGCAAAAGUGAAAAUAUGCAAAAGUUUAGGGGUCAAAAUGAAAAUUUGUAAAAAUAUGAUUUUUAGACCCAUAUGAAUAUGGUGACUGAUUGGUAGGCUAAAUGUGAUAUUAUAGAUCAAUGAAAUCGAGAUUUGGACCUAGAACGGAAAGAAAUCGAUUAAGGGAUGAUUAUGUCCUUUUUACCUUUGUGGUAUCAAGGUAAGUUGAUAUGUAAACAAUACCAUGCUAUACAUGUAUUUAAAUGUUAUCAUUACAUGAAUUGUACAAAUCUUAAUGUGUAUGUGAUUAAUAGAAAUAUGAUGAGACAAAGCCUUAAUAGACGAGGAAAAAUCCCGUUUGAACCUUAGGAAUAGAAUAGGAUACGAGUGACAUGUCACUAGGAAUUAUGAGUCUAGAUGACUAGCUCGAGAGUGAGCAUUGAAAUGUCAUGGGAUAUGAGGUAGCUUUAGCUACAAUUGAGGUACUUAUGUGCAAAGGCUUUUCCGAGUAUCCAAUUAGUAUUCCAAGUGUUCAACGGGUAAUCCGAGGAAAGAGUUGAUGAUGGUCCCAAUGAGGUAAGUCAUUGGUGAGUAUGCACUUGAGUUAUGUUACGAGUUGUGCAAGUAUGUAUACUAAACCUAUGAGAAUGCCUUGAUAUGUGUUGAUCUAUGAUGCAUAAAAUGUGUUCUUACCAUGAUGGAUGAAAUGAUGUUGUAUCAAUUUUGUGAACAAUGAUCAUGAAUGAGUAACUUAGCCUUGACAGAUUUGAGUUAUUGCAGUAGUGUAACUUUGAAAAUACACUAAAAAUAGUGGAAAAUGAGUUAGAGGCAGAAUAAAAUAUGGGAUUAAAUCUUAAUGAGUCUAUUUUCACAUGAAAGAAAUAUGGGAAGAAAAAGAAUUCUAUAUUGUGUGAUAUUUGAAUUCUUUUGAAACAGGGUCUGAAUGAAUUCGAGAUCCCCUGUUCUAAAUUUAUAAAUUCACAAUAAAUUGUAGAAAAAUUAUUAAGAGUCAUACCUUAUAUUCAUGGAUUUUUUAUUGAGUCUAUUUUUAAGGGAAAUAAACGACAUGGUCAUUGGAAUUCUGUACAGGGAGAAAUUUGGUUCGUAGUGCACAAGGGUCAGAGUAGUUAUACCCUGAAAUAGGGAAGACUUUAACUAAUAAACUGUACUAAAUGGCUCGACCAAAAAUUCUGGAAAUUUUAUGGAAGAAAGAUAAAUGAGCCUAGUUUCAGAGAAAAUUUAAGGAACUUAAUUUAGAGUUUUAUAGCUCCAGAGAUAAAUAAUUUAGUGACUAUUUCUCAGGAAGACAACUUACAGUGAAAUUAUGAUUAUGUGGUAAACAUUGACAAAAAUUUGUUAAUGAGUUGCUUAUUGAUUUCUUAUAAGCUUACUAUGAUCUGUAGGUGUGAAAUUCGAAUAUAUUAAAUAUAUAUAUUAUAUUUUGAAAGUGAUGCUUGAAUAGUCGAAUAAUGACUAGUUUAAAGUUGUUGAAUUUAAGCUCAAGAGCAUAGAAGGGCAAAUUCGGAUAAGGGAAAAGAGAAAGUAAUCGAAUAGCCGUUGUAAUCGUACGACAACAUUCGAGGUAAGUUCAUAAGUAUAUAAAAAUUAUUGUGAGGUUGAAAUAUGUAAUAUGUGUAUUAGAUUUGAUGCACUACGUGUGCGAUAAAGGCAAUAACUACAACAUUUAAAAUGGCGCUGGGUGCGUGAGAUUGUAAUAGCAUUGGCUGAGUAAAUGGAACUAUGUGGGUGACAUAGAUAUAAGUUCGGUUUAAUGUAAUGGCACUAAGUGUGCGAUAUAAUUAUAGCUUCCGCUAAUUAAUUGGCACUAAGUGUCGAUAUAAUUAUAGAUUUGGCUAAUUAAUUGGCACUAAGUGUGCGAUACAAUUAUAGCUUCGGCUAAUUAAUUGGCACUAAGUGUGCGAUACAAUUAUAGCUUCAGUUAAUUAAUUGGCACUAAGUGUGCGAAACCAUUAUAACUUCGAUUAAUUAAUUAGCACUAAGUGUGCAAGUUUGUUGAAUGUUCAAGGAUGAUUGAAUGAAUUAAUGUUUCGAGCAUUGAAAUGAUAAGCAUGACAGAUAAGAAGGUAAUGGUACAGGUAUGUACGAAACCUAUGUGGUGGAUGAUGUUAAGUAUGAAGUAGAUGAAAAUUUAUGUAAAUGAAUGGGGAAAUAUUAUUCGGGCCUUUGAGCCUAGCAGGCUAUAAUGUCAGUGAGAUACUAUUCGGGCUUUCGAGCCUAGCAGGCUAUAAUGCUGGUGAAAUGAUAUCGGGCCUCGAGCCUAGUAGGCGAAAUGCCGAUGAUUUGAGAAAAGUCUAAGACUAAGGUACCUCGUGUUAGAUUGACAAAUGAAUACAUUCAAUACGUUAAGAGGGCCAGGUACGCAUUAUGUACUCAUAUGUGAGUUUGAUUUGAAUUGAAUCAUAAGUGUGAUGUGAUACAUAUGUGAAUAAAUGUUAUAACUAUAUAUAUGACCAUGAUACAUUCGGUCAAGGUGUGAAAGUAUGUGAAAGUAUUUGAUUUAUUUAUGUUAUAUGAAUUCUGAUUAAGUGUUAUAAGAAUGAUGAAUAUGCAUUAUGUGCUUGUGUAUAUUCGGCCAGAUGGCAAUAUACUUAAAAUAUGGCCUCUUGAGAAAUUGAAUAAUCGAAGUAUAAUUGUAUUUAUUUGUUUGCGGAGUUCGCCGGAGAUAUUAUCACACUGUCGAGCUAACACUAUGGGUGUAGUGAUUUCAAAUACUUUGAGUCUAUGGCAUGUAUAGGUGUGUAAAUAUUAGAGUAUGUGAUUUGGCUUUAACCAUAUGUGUUGGCCUAUUUUGAUUAUAGGGUUGUAAAUCUAUUUUAAUUAUGCAUGAAUGUGCUAUGGUAUUAUGUGACGAGUUUAUAAUGAUUAAAGCAUGAAUUUUCCAAGUUUUUCUUAAGUUCUCGGUUUAGUCCCGAACCACCCCAGAUAUAUGUUUUGGGUCUCGUGAACCCGUUUAAGGGACAAGAUUGUAUGUGAAAAGAAAAGUUUUUAAUUAUUUGAGAUUUCAUGGCCCUGUUUAGUGUAGAAGUGUUAGUAAAAUUCAAGUAGCACCUCGAACCCCGUCCUAGCGUCGGAUGCAAGCGAGGGGUGUUACAUUUGGUCUAGUGGUAUGAUUUUAGCUUCGGACGCGAGAAGUCUUGUAAUAGCUCGAUUUUUAGUGGUGUCGGAAACAGUGGUUUCAGAGCCACCAAAUCUGGCAAGUAAGUUUGUAAAUAUUAUAUUUAAUAUUUAUGAGUUAUUUUUUAUUUUAAAAAGGUUUUUGAUAUAGUGAUUUUUGUUGUAUAAAUGAUUUAUUAAGUUCAAGUGGUUUUAGAAAAUGAGGUAUUGAGACCUCGUUUCUAUAAACCGAGCCGCAAAUAUUUAUAAAUAUUUAUGGAGUGUAAUUAAGGUGGUAUUAAAUUUUUUUUGGAAAAUUUUAUCGUUUCGAUAGUUAAUUAAGCAAAAAGGGCUAAAUCGCAUAAAGUGUAAAAGUUGUGUUCUAUAAGUAAAGGUAUUAAAUAGCUAUAGAACUUUAAAGUGGAAGUCCUUAUACGGUAAAUAAACCAUUAAAGGUGAUAGUGGAUGUGCAUAGCUUGGCAUUAGUGUAAUUUUUAAAUAGGUAAAAGUAAAAUAGUAAUUUGAUUAUUAAAUUAAAUUAAAUAAAAACCAAAAUGUUAUAUCAUCAUUUUGGUGUCUUCUUCAAGAAUGAAAAGGAAAAAGAGAAGCCAUGGAUGCUGGAAAAUUUCAGCCAUGUUUUUUCAUUGCAUGUAAGCCCUUAAGCUAUUAAUUUCUUGUAAUUUUUAUGUUUUUGAGAGCGUUGCAAUUAGGUCCAGCUAGCCCGUACCUUUGAUUUUAAACUGUUAAAGAUUUUGAAUGUUGCCAUUGAUGAAUCUUGUGAUUUUUGAUGUUAGAUGAUGAAUUUGGAAUGUUGAUUUAUAUUUAAAAGUAUUUUGUUAAGUGGUUUUGAUGAAUUUUUUGAUUAGGGACAAAUUUGUUAAAUUAAUAAAAGUACAAGGAUUAAAUGUGAGAUUUUUGCAUAAAUGGGAUGUUUUGGAUACCAGGAAUUUUUUUCUAAGCUCAAUUUGGGGUAAAAAUGGUUAAUUUGCAUGUUUUGGGCUCAGGGACUAAAUUGAAUAAAAGUAAAACUUUAGGGAUAAUUUUGUAAAAAUGUCAAAAAUGAAAAAAUUGUAUGAAAUGAAUUUUUUAUUGUCUAAAUUAAUAUAUUGAAUGAAAUUAUUAAUUUAGAUCAAGAUCGGGUGAAAAAUCGAGUUAAAUAGUAAAUUAUCAAAAUGCCCCUGAACUUUGGUAUUUCUGUAAUUUAGCCAGGUAAGAUUUUAUGAACUAUACUAUGUAUAUUGUUGAUUAAAUUGGAUAUAUAUAUUAUACAAUUUAGCUUAUAAUGAAACGAGGAAAAUUCAACAACGCACAACGACUAUCGAGUCUCGUUUGAACCUUAGGAAUAUUUAGAAUACGAAUGACAUGUCAUUAGGGGUUACCGUGUUAUGGGUGCUGGUCUUAUAUGUCCUAUCGAUGGCUGAGUUUCCAGCAUUUGUUGCGGUUACUUGACAGCUUGUGUUAGCAGCACCAUGUAGCUACGUCUCGACUGACAGCUUGUGUGAGCAGACCCAGUUAUGGCUCAAGUGAGAGCAUUGAUAUGAGAUAUGAGAUAGUAGUGGCUUCGACCACGUGUAGGCACAUAGUGUGCGAGACUCCAUUGUAUCCGAUAUUAUUCUAAGUGGUUUAACGGGAAAUAUGCUAUUACGAGACGCUAUGAGUUUGAUACAAACUAAUACUAGUAUAUACAUGAAAUAUAUGGAAAUGAUGGUACAUGAUAUAUUGAUAUAUUGAAAUGGAUGAUAUAUGUAUAUGAUGAAACGGAAAGAUAAUGAUAUGUAUCAUGACAUGCACAUAUAUGAAUAUCUUUGAUAUAUUGAUACAUGAUAAUUAUGUAAGUUGAGACAAGUAAUGAACUCAAUUGUGACAUGUUGAGAAAAUAAAAUUAUCAAUGUUGAAUUUAUAUGAAAUAUGUUCAAGUACGCUAACAUGUGUUGCUGUUUGAUGCUUAGGCAAGUGCCAAGCUGUUGGCUGAAUGAUAUUAUGUUUACAUAUAAGUCGUAUUGAAAUGGUAAGUGCUCAAAUGAAAAUAUGCUUAUACUCAUGAAAAAGUGAUAAUGUUUAAAAAUUAUGCAAAUUCUUAGGAAAUGGUUUAUCAUGUGAUUAAUUCUAAAAGAGCUAUGCUUAAAUGCACUACCUUGUGGCUAUGGUUGAUGAUAUGCUUGUGUCUUGUGUACUAUGUAUAUGAAAUGAGUGAUGAAAAAGAGAAUGAUGAGUUGAAUUGAUGAUGUUAUUUAAGCUAAAGAAAGUAAAUGUAAUGGAAAGUAAUGACAUGCAAAUGAAAGGAAGAAAAUUGAAAGAGAUUUAAAGUUUUCAUAAAAUCCUACUUUGUUAAGGAUGAUAGGUAUAAGUGAUGUUGUGGAAUUAUUCAAUUUCUAAGUUGUUGAAUUUGGUUUCAUGAAUCGUGUGGUAUCGGUAUAUGAUUAUUCUUGAUAUGUAUAAAUUUCAUAUUUGAAAUGGAUAGAUAUGAUUAAAGUUUAUACGAGCUUACCUUAGCAUUAUUGCUUACGUAGUUAUUUUUCUUUACUUACAGACUAUUGGAAGCUCGAUUGGGUUGGAAGCUCGUCAAAGAUUUAUCACACUAUCCAGCAAUUAUAUCGGUAGAUUUUGAGGUCUUGGUUAAGGUUAUAAUGGCAUGUAUAGGUAUUUUGGCUAAUGUUAGCCCAUGUGUUUUGGGUGUGGAAAUGACUAUUUGGUUAGUUUGCAUUUUGGCCUUGUGUUGGUAAAAUGAUAUAUAUUAUAAGGUGAAUAUAAUUAGCCUUGUAAUGGUUGAUAUAUGACUUAUUAUGGUUGAAUGAUGGUAGAUAGAAAAGUAGUUGAAUGUGCAUAUUAGAUAUGACAUAUAACUUGUUGUGAAUUGGUGUUUUGCCAUAUUAAGCAUAUAUGUGUUUUGAUGCUAUUGAUUAUGUGGUACGGUUGGUACCAAAUGGUAUGUUUUGGUAAGUGAUUUACAUGUUGUGUAAUGUUGCAAAUUUAGUUAGAAGUCAAUCAAUUAUUUUGGCCAAAUUGAGUACAUGGUUAAACAACCAUACAUGUUUUAAAUGUUGUCAUUUGAGGUGCCUUUGGGCAUAUUGGUUGGAUGUUAUUAUACCAUAUGUGUUUGGUUUGAUUAAGCAUGAUUUUGGUGCCUUUUGAGGGCUCACGUAUAUGUGCAAAAGGGAUUUUAGGUACAUGUUGAAAAGGACAAGAAAAAUGGUUUGUAAAAUAGCCUAUUUUCGUCUACACGGGCAGAGACACGGGUGUGUGUCUUAGCCGUAUGUGACACAUGGCUAAAUAACACAGCCGUGUGUCCCCUGUAGUUUUCAAAGGAUUGUAAGUUAGGUUUUAAGCGGCCUGGCCACACAGCCGUGUGACCCUUGCAGUUUGUAAAUUUUCAUUUUUUCCUUAAAAUUUCUAUAUGUUUUUGUUUUAGUCCCGAUUUAUUUCUAAUGUGUUUUUAAGGCCUCGGGGGAUCGUUUAAGGGACAAUAUGUAUGCUAUUGAUUAGUUUUACUGUGAUUGAUGAUAUGAAUUACAUGUUUUAUAAUUUUUUAUAGUCCUGAAAUGUAAACUCUGGUAAUGCUCUGUAACCAUAUUCUGACGGUGGAUACGGGUUAAGGGUAUUACAAGUCUCGAAUUUAAUUCAAAAUACUUUUAAAACCCUUUUAAUAAGAGUUUUGCAUAAUCAUUUAACUACCAAAAAUAAUUGCCUAGGUCGUGUAUAGAAACAAGUCUAUACUAAAUAUAUCAAUAAAUGUCACAUCUCAAACAUAAAAAAUAUAACAUAAAUUUUUUUAUAACCAUCAUCAUAAACAUGUAUGAAAUUUAAUUCAAAAUCCAACCAUUCAAGCUCAUAGAACUUUUCAUUUACAAUUGUUCAUAAUAUUUCUCUAAAUAAUUAACAUAUGGAAUAGUAUAAAACGUAUGAACGACUACCUUUAACAAUUCUUUGAACUAAAUCAAAUCCGAAUAACCAUAAAAGUCAUUGGUUUAUUAACACAAAUUUGCAUACUAGAUAUGUUUUAAUCAAAUAUAUUAUUUAAUUAUAAAACCUACAAUAGCAACAUAAAUAAAUCAGUUAAUAUUGAUUUUUAUGAACAAAUUAAAUGCUUAAAACAAUAUGUAAUCCAUGUAAUCAAAACUUAAAAAGAAGACCAUCUCAAAAUAUUUAAAUCAUAUAUCAAGUUGAUUUAAUAUUUAAAAACGUAAUUUUUUUCUUUUCUUUUUUUGUUCUGUGUUGAGUCUUGAUAAUAAGAAGUAAGCAAAUUAAACUUCAGUAAUAGACUUUGAAUCCAACCAAAAUCUAUUAAUAGCAAAUUUUGAGAGUGAAUCUUAUUUUCCAAGUAUACAAAAGGUACGUAACCAAUGACUCUUCAUAAAUAAAUUGUCUCUCUUCUUAAAAAGUUCUCGAAAAUUAUUAUUCUUUUCUUGCUUUUUUCAUUUUUUCACUUCUAGUGGUGAGAAAAAAUUAUUACUACAAUCUUCAUGACUAUUAUUAUAGUCCAAUUUACUACAUCCAUGUUAAAAAUUAUGUCUUUCGAAUUUAUUACAUAUUGUUACAUUCUCUUCAGGGAAUUGGGGAAUUGUUAGGUUUCGUAGUUAAAAACUUUUGUUCAAUCAUAAGUAAAUUUUUUUUCAUGAUAUUGCUACCAUAGGGGCACAUUUGAAUCAUGUAAAGUUGAAUAAGUUCUUCCUUGUAAGGUUUUUAUCAGUAAUGUUUUUUCACGUGAUUUUAAUUGAGAACUUAUUUUGAAUACUGUAGAAUUAUACUCACAGUUUUAAAAAACUUGCAACUUCAGGUGUAUCAAACCAUAAUGAGCUUUAGAUAGAUUUACCAUAUUUUAUUUCUUAUAAGUAGAUCUUUAACAGUUAAAUAUUUUGCUUUCAGCUCCUUAAUGAGGAUGAUGACCAAAGGAGAUCACAAAAAUAGUCACAAUUAAUUCAAUUUAAUAACAAGAGUAAUCAAUAACUUAAUCCUCCUUUUUUUUAAUCAUUUCAAAAUAGAUAUUUAUAGCAAUAGUGAUUCAUAUGAAAUAUAAGCUUUUCUUCAUUCACAAUCUCAGUAUGAGAUCCAUUACAAUGAAUAUAUUUUAAAACUAAUGCAUUAACCAUAAAAAAAAUUGUUCUUUUAGAUAUUGAUAUAUUAGGUCUUUUGGAGCUUUCAACUAAUUUUGUACUAUCAAAUAUUGAAAUAAUAUUUGUUUAUUUCAAUAACAAAUAAGGUAAAUAUUUUCUAUUUGUAAUGAUAGAAUUCAUUACUACAUUCUCAUAUCAUUCCUCAAAGAAUAUUAACGAAACAAAAUAUUUGGACAUAUGCCACAUAUGUGGUCAAUAAUCUUUCAUAUCACAUUGAUAACAUAUGUUAUCUUUAACCUUUAAAGAAUUAUCUUGAAAAUUCUCAUUGUUCUUUUAUUUAUUAUUAUAUUCUCACUUUUAUUGGUCAAUGAUUAUAUCUUUCAAUUUCUUUAUAUUUUCUUUCACUCCAGGGAAUGCAACAAAUUUGGUAUGACAAACUUCUAAAUUCCUUCAUUGAUUAUUUAUUUCAUUAUCACAAUCGCAAAACAUGCGUGGAUUUCAAAUCAAAAUCUAUUUAUUCAUAUUAUCAUGAUUAGUCUCAAUUAUAAUAAACAUGAUAUAAUAAAUAAAUCAUAGUAAAAUAUACUUAAGAUUCUUUAACAUCAUUGUUAUCACCCUGGCUAUUAUCACUAGCACCAUAAUGCAUAGGCCUCAAUUGAGGACUUAAAUAACAAUAGCUCUAGAAGGCAAUCGACAAUAGCUUGAGUAGCAAAUUUGAGUAACCGGCUAUUGCAUUAGUUGUUGCUUGAAAGGGGUAAGGCUUGGUGAAAGGGAAAAAAAUUUUGUGACUAAUGAAGAAAAACAGUUAAAAGAUAAUCGUGCUGAUAACGUGUUAUAAAAUAAAUAGACAGAAAGUAAAGAACAAAGAAAAUGAGAGAGAGCAAAAAAAAGCGUAUUUUAUUGAUCAAUCAGAGCAUUUAUAAAAUUUCUUCAAAUUCUCUAUUUAUAUGCAUAAGAAAUAUAAAUGAAGUAGCGAUCUACUUCUAAUGGCUAUUAGAAUUUAAAGUACAUCAAAAAUUAUCUUGAUCUUUAUAGACAUCCACUUAAUAAGAUAUUCAUAACAUGUAUAAUAAUAUUAAUUAUUUAAAAAUCAUAUAACAUAACUUUUUUUUUACUUUUGACUAUCAUAUUUAAAAAGAAUAUUUUAACCAUCAACCAUAAUUUUUUACGGUAAUAGAAAAUAUUAAAAAUUCAUAAACCACAUUUUUUUACCUUAUUUUUCAAAACCACUUUAUUUUUAUUUCCUAUAACUUUUCAAAAGUACUUUUGUGGCCAUAAGAAAUGUUAAACAGACAAAUUCUAAAAACAUUUUUGAAAAACACUUUUUAACCACAACAACUAAUAGAAAACUAUCCCUAAGGUGAUGAAAGGCGACAGAGCCACCCAUAACCAAGCCCAAAUGAGAACCUUCAGCUGAGGAGCUCACUUAAAACAACGGGACUAUGAUAGUUACCUUUAUUUUUUCGAUAAUUGAUAUGUAUCUUAACGUAUCCUUAAUUAACACACUUUAACCAACUAAACGAUAAGUUGGGUUUGCAAGUAAAUGAUUAGCCCUUGGCAACGUGAUCCCAAACUUCUCAGUCAUAUCAAGUUCAUCAGGUAACAUCCCAUCAGUCAACUCCCAAUCAAAGCAAUGAACUAAUUGAGCUAUAAUUAGACGCAUGUUGGUCAACCCCAACUGCAUUCCAGGACAUCCUCUACGGCCACUCCCGAACGGGAUGAGUUGGAAAUCAUGUCCUCGAAGGUCUAUGUUGCUAUCCUUGAACCUUUCUGGAAAGAACUCUUCAGCAUUGUCUGACCAUACUUUGUGGUCUCGCCCCAUGGACCAAACAUUCACUAAAAUCCGCGACUUCUU